rnacentral:lncRNA from 1 species
GAAGAACAAGAACCCAAUCAACCCAGAAGAAUUAUCUCUUACAUUCCCAAUCAACCCAGAAGAAUUAUCUCUUACAUUCUCCUCAUGGAAGUAUGAGUGAGACUAGAACGCAUGAACCGACAAAUUAUUGUUCCAAGAUAUUUCUUACCUGAAGUAAGAUAUAUUCAAAACAGACACUGGUACAAUACAGUUGCUUCCCAUGUCUACCCAAUUCUCAGCAACUAGUCUAGAUGAACCACUAAGAUGCAUGACCACACAUUCAAACAACAUUCUCCUGACUGACUGUUCCUGUUCUCCUCUCCUAUUCCAGGAGGAAAGAACCAAAACGGUAUCUAAUAUCUUCAUGAGGAUGUAAUGCAACAACCCCUUACCAUUCCACGGUGUAAUAUAUAUCAGCACAACAGCUAAAUUAACCAAGAAAUAAAGGGGGCAGAAUAAAUGAAUGACUAACUAUCUAUCAAAGUAUCAAGAGCAAGACUCAAAACAUUAGACAACAUGAACUAAGAAAUAACAACUCUGAAAGGUUAGCUUGCUUCUGGUUGUAAGCUCAUGUACAACAAACAAUGGAUGGAAGUAAAUCACAGUUCAUCAUAGACGCGAGGAGCAUUUGUUGGGGCAGGUCCAUCUUGGGGUACUUUACCCAAUAUGUCUCCAGCUCAUACUGAGCCCGAUCUGAUUGCAUCAGCCAACUUCCUUUGCAGUGUCAACAGGCCAAUACGUCUCGAGACAACAUACAGAACUGCUAAGGAGAUUAUGAGGAACCCAACAGUCAGGAUGAUCCUGGAAAGAGAUAAUAGUUAGAAACCAGUACAACCCGACCCAGACAGUAUUGUUAUUACACAAGCAAAAACUCGUCUUGCGGAUGGAAACCAAAUGCAUAUUGCAACUGGAGCAGGUAUACAUGACUUAAAAGACAUUUGUUCCACUUCUUUUGUUUGACUGAAAGACCAGAAUGAAAGACUGCACGACCCACCAAAUCAUAAACGAUUGGUGCUACAUACCUAUCAAGAACAUCUUGUCGUUGCAUCGUGGAGAGCAAACCACGGGUGCGCAUCAGCAAAGAGUGGUGUCCUUGAUAUUCACCUUCAGCCUUUCGGAGAACACUUGUCGAUUCAUCUGCAUUAGAAAAGAAUUAGCUAGCAACUUGGCCUCGAUAGGUCUGGAAAUGCGUUAAAUGACAGAAACAGAGUAGUUCUUAUUCAUAUGGAGCACAUGACUGCCAUGGUUCCUUAGUAACAAAUUAAUAACCAACAAAAGUCUAUAAUCAAAUAACUGUACAUUUGUAAGGAAAGCUUGACCAGGCUUAAAUGUACAGAACCUUACAAGCGAGCAUCCUAUGCACAGGCUUAAUCACAGGAAAACUUACCAAAAGUUGACAAGGUAUUAGCGCUUCUUUCCACUUCCUGUCAAAAAACAUAUAAUAAAUUACUUUUGAACUUGCGACCAAGAAAUCAUUAGCAAUAUGAGAUAUCAACUAUACGAGCAGGAGUGCUAACCUGAACCAUCAACUGCCGAGACCUACGGAGGCUCUCAGUAAUACUUUCUGCAGCAGAUGUCAUCCCAGCCUUUGUCCUACAUCAGUUAGCAGGUUUGUGUUCAUUGUACAAACAUAAAUUACAGAAUUAUUAAAUAAUAUAUAAGGUGAUUUUUUUUAAUUAGUGCACUGCGAUUUCAUUUUGACGUCAUAUGAAAGAGUUACAUCAACACAACAAUAUCUAAUUUGUUGACCACAUUUUCUAGUUCAAGUAAGGAAGAUGUCUUAAGCUUUGCUCUAGCCUACAACAUGAUUGUAGCUAACACCCUCUUUAGAAAGAGAGAAUCACAUCUGGUGACUUUUAGUAGUGGCCAACACUCUAGCCAGAUUGAUUUCAUCCUCUCGAGAAGAGAAGAUAGGCGUGCGUGCCUAGACUGUAAGGUGAUACCUGGGGAGAGUGUUGUACCCCAGCAUAAGCUGGUGGUUGCUGACUUCCGCUUUCGAAUUCGUGUCCAGCGGGAUAAGCGUGCCAAGGUCACUAGAACGAAGUGGUGGAAGCUCAAGGGGGAGGUAGCUCAGGUGUUCAAGGAGAGGGUAUUUAAGGAGGGCCCUUGGGAGGAAGGAGGGGAUGCGGACAAUGUGUGGAUGAAGAUGGCGACUUGCAUUCGUAAGGUGGCCUCGGAGGAGUUUGGAGUGUCCAGGGGAAGGAGAAGUGAAGAUAAGGAUACCUGGUGGUGGAAUGAUGAUGUCCAGAAGGCGCUUAAAGAGAAGAAAGAUUGCUUCAGACGCCUAUACCUGGAUAGGAGUGCAGACAACAUAGAGAAGUACAAGAUGGCGAAGAAGGCCGCAAAGCGAGCUGUUGGUGAAGCAAGGGGUCGGGCAUAUGAGGACCUCUACCAACGGUUAGGCACGAAGGAAGGUGAAAGGGACAUCUAUAAGAUGGCUAAGAUCCGGGAGAGGAAGAUGAGGGAUAUUGGCCAAGUCAAAUGCAUCAAGGACGGAGCAGGCCAACUCUUGGUGAAGGACGAAGAGAUUAAGCAUAGAUGGCGGGAGUACUUCGACAAGCUGUUCAAUGGGGAGAAUGAGAGUUCUACCAUUGAACUGAAUGACUCCUUUGAUGAGACCAGCAUGCGUUUUGUGCGGCGCAUCCAGGAGUCUGAGGUGAAGGAGGCUUUAAAAAGGAUGAAAGGAGGCAAGGCGAUGGGCCCUGAUUGUAUCCCCAUUGAGGUGUGGAAAGGUCUCGGGGACAUAGCGAUAGUAUGGCUAACCAAGCUUUUCAACCUCAUUUUUCGGGCAAACAAGAUGCCAGAAGAAUGGAGACGGAGUAUAUUAGUAUCAAUCUUCAAGAACAAGGGGGAUGUUCAGAGUUGUACUAAUUACCGUGGAAUUAAGCUGAUGAGCCAUACAAUGAAGCUAUGGGAGAGAGUCAUUGAGCACCGCUUAAGAAGAAUGACAAGCGUGACCAAAAAUCAGUUUGGUUUCAUGCCUGGGAGGUCGACCAUGGAAGCCAUUUUCUUGGUACGACAACUUAUGGAGAGAUAUAGGGAGCAUAAGAAGGACUUGCAUAUGGUGUUCAUUGACUUGGAGAAGGCCUAUGAUAAGAUACCGCGGAAUGUCAUGUGGUGGGCCUUGGAGAAACACAAAGUCCCAGCAAAGUACAUUACCUUCAUCAAGGACAUGUACAAUAAUGUUGUGACAAGUGUUCGAACAAGUGAUGUCGACACCGAUGACUUCCCGAUUAAGAUAGGACUGCAUCAGGGGUCAGCUUUGAGCCCUUAUCUUUUUGCAUUGGUGAUGGAUGAGGUCACAAGGGGUAUACAAGGAGAUAUCCCAUGGUGUAUGCUCUUUGCGGAUGAUGUGGUUCUAGUUGACGAUAGUCGGACGGGGGUAAAUAGGAAGUUAGAGUUAUGGAGACAAACCUUGGAAUCGAAAGGGUUUAGGCUUAGUAGAACUAAAACCGAGUACAUGAUGUGCGGUUUCAGUACUACUAGCUGUGAGGAGGAGGAGGUUAGCCUUGAUGGCCAGGUGGUACCUCGGAAGGACACCUUUCGGUAUUUGGGGUCAAUGUUGCAGGAGGAUGGGGGUAUUGAUGAAGAUGUGAACCAUCGAAUCAAAGCCGGAUGGAUGAAGUGGCGCCAAGCUUCUGGCAUUCUCUGUGACAAGAGAGUGCCACAAAAGCUAAAAGGCAAGUUCUACAGGACGGCGGUUCGACCCGCAAUGUUGUAUGGCGCGGAGUGUUGGCCGACUAAAAGGCGACAUGUUCAACAGUUAGGUGUGGCGGAGAUGCGUAUGUUGAGAUGGAUGUGUGGCCACACGAGGAAGGAUCGAGUCCGGAAUGAUGAUAUACGAGAUAGAGUUGGGGUAGCACCAAUCGAGGAGAAGCUUGUCCAACAUCGUUUGAGAUGGUUUGGGCAUAUUCAGCGCAGGCCUCCAGAAGCUCCAGUGCAUAGCGGACGGCUAAAGCGUGCGGAGAAUGUCAAGAAAGGGCGGGGUCGACCGAUUUUGACAUGGGAGGAGUCCGUUAAGAGAGACCUGAAGGAUUGGAGUAUCGACAAAGAGCUAGCUAUGGACAGGGGUGCGUGGAAGCUUGCUAUCCAUGUGCCAGAGCCAUGAGUUGGUUGCGAGAUCUUAUGGGUUUCACCUCUAGCCUACCCCAACUUGUUUGGGACUAAAGGCUUUGUUGUUGUUGUUGUUGUUGUUGUUGUUGUUGUUGACCAUAUUUUCUAGUUCAAGUAAGGAAAGUUAUCAUUAUCCCUGUUCUCUCCAUAUCAGCAGUGAACAUCACCAUGACUGUCACCCAUAGGGACGUCGACAUAACCCUCCAUCACUGCACGCAGCCACUGCCAAUCUACAAGCAUCCCCAGUGAGUACCACACCGCCUUCAUACAAAGGAGGUAAGAUCAUGAUUGAUUAACUAAGCGUGGCAGACUGGCAGUGACUGCCUGCUAUGUCGACACAUUCACAACAUGCCAGCUGCCUCUCGCACCCUAUGCACACCGACUGUCUAAAUGACUCCAACUUUGAGCCUUGCAACACUCACUGUAGAAGCCAACCAUCACAUUUGUCUGGUUGCACCUACUUUGCAAACAAGCUUUUUGAUCCCUCUAGCAACCAAGCUCUUCUCCUUCAAGCACGGGAGUCAUUGCCAAUUAAUGUGUUUUCUGUUCUUUUCUGGCAUGUGCCUAUUUCAAUUCUUGUUUGGAUUGAUCAAUUUGCCGCCCCCUUUCGAUUCGCACAAUUGGAUUCAGUUACUUUAGGUUCUCCGUCAUUUAUCAUGGGUAACUGACGUGUCUACCUUCAAAAAACAUGGCUUACCUUACCGAAAUUCCCGAUAAAAUGGAGUUAGCAUAUCUGCAUUCUUCUAGGCAAGAAAUGUGCUUGUGGCUGCAUAAAUAUUGUUACAGUUUCUCCCUGCAGUUUAACUGAGCACUGACAUUCAUGGGAGUUCUGCCAGUGAUGGGGCUGGCAAGUGGACAGAACACAGGAUGAGGGUGAAGAAGAUAAGAGGUCCAUUUUUUAUUUGCUGCUGAUGAUUGACUGGAUGUCACCAUUGCAUAUUCUGUGGUGUAAGCUGCUAGAGUGGCAAAAUAACCUCCACGUCAGUAGAAACACUAAUACGAACCACUAAUGGCCAUAUGAGAGGGUUAAAUAACCAGUUCCACAAUUUAAGGAGUUAAAUAGAAUUUCUCAAUAGUCCGGAUGAGGAAAGUAAACUUGUUCCAUUAGAACUAAUUCACAGCCUAUGGAGGCCUUCAUGAGUUCUACACUUGCAGGAAAUUCUCGUGAAACUGAACAUAUCAUCAAACCCAUUAUACAACUAACGUCUCAAAUAUUCCAACGAUAUGCCAACAAUGCAAAGACCUCAUUUAAUCAACUUACUGGAGAUUACGCCUACGGAUAGUGGACUCUUCUCCACCUCCCAGAAGAAGCUCCCUCUAGAGAAAGCAAAAUUAGAUUGUGAGAGCACCUUAAAUCACGGUAAGCUAGCAUUGCUCAGUUAGUAAAGUAUCAAAUUAAUGGAGCAUACUCUGAAGAAAAACCACACACCUCUUCUUGAGCAGCCUUUCCCAUGUUCGCUUUUGCUUGUAAGUUAGCACUCCUCAGUCUCACACGCAGCCUGAGAAACAAAAAUCAGUUGUAUACAAAAACUAAAGAAACAAAGCAAGCAAGAAAGAACUCUAAGAACAGCUUACCUCUGAUAUUGUUCCUUCCAUGACCCUAAGGUUGCCUGUCCAGACUGAACUUCUUCAAAAGUGGGUAGCUGCUCUGCCAGAAGAUCAAGUCUGCACUGCAGUGCAUUGAGCAAUUGCAGUGCAUCCUGUGCAGAACCGUUCAACCUAGGAAGAGACAUUGCUUCUUCUGUCCCUUUUCCCAUCUUCCCACAAGAUUCAAUUGCAGCAAUGCACACCUCAAGCUGUGCAACUGCUUGGCUCCAUUCCUUUUUCAAGUUUUCAACGGCUUGUGUGACCUCAUCCAUCCGUAUUAUCUGAAUAGAUCAAUUCAACGGAUUUAUAAUGCUGCUACUAAGAAAGCAAUUACUGGUUAAAGACGAGACCUGUAAUGAAAGCGGAAUCAAGCAAGAAACGUUCAAUUGGCAAACUGACAGGUAGUGCUGGGCUAGGCUCACUUCCUGCUGGUAAUCAAAUUUACCACCUCAACAAGAGAUUUCCGUCCCAAAUAUAAGCUUAGAUAAGGAAAGUACUUAAGUACAUGAAUACCUGCCCCAGGUAGCAGAAGAUUAAUCUGAACUAGAAAUUGUUUAAACGUAAGCUGCUACUCUAGCUGCAGUGCCCGAUGGCUGAAGCAGUUGAGCUCCAAACGGAUGGUUAUCGAAGUCCAAUUUAGGUGCUUCUAUUUCAUAUACUAGCAUGUAGAACUUUAUAACAUAGUGCUUUCAACAUGAAAGGCACGUAAGAACCAAUCAAUAACCACGCAUAUUUAGAAACUAUGUACCUUUUUUUCUCCUUGAGAAGGUUCAGUUGUUUAGAAAGACCACUAGCAAGUUUGUCAUGUGAGACAAUAAAGACAUGUUAUAAUCUUAUAAUCAUUAAUUGAUAGAGCGGUUGCAGCUGAUAUUUUUUAGCUGAGCUGAUUUUUAUUUUAUAUGUUGUGUAAUCACGUCACUAUACUAGAAGGCAAUCCCAUAUGCUCAAAAGAUAAAGAUAUAUUCUGCUCAAGUAAGAAGAAGAACACCAUGCAUGUCUUGCUCAUUGCAGUGAUAGCUCUAGCAGUACUGGUGUUGGGGGCGCGCUCGGCGGCGCGUCACACCGGCCGGCCACGGCAGCUGGGCGAGGCAAGCGCAGGGAGUCGGCGAGGGAGAGCGGGGCGGGACCAGCAGGGCGCGAGCAAGGAGGUGGGCGACGGGGCGCAAGCUGGUGGCUGUGGGUGCGGGGCGGGAUGCGCUUGGAGCGCGCAUGGGAACGACAAGGCCAGAGCGAGCGGCACGGCCAGGGCGCGUGCAGCAAGUGCAGCCGGCGGCGAACGGCGGUGGUCAGGCGGCGUUGCGAGGCUGCGGCAGGGAGGGCCAGCAGCCAGCAACGGUUGACGGCAAGCGACGACCGCGGGCAGGAACGAGAAGACGCCGGCGAGCUAGGGAGAGGCCACGGCGGGGGUAGCGGCGACGGGGAGGAACGGGGCGGCGCGGUGAGGGAGAGACGAGGAGAGGGAGGCGCUCACUGGGGCCGUAGGGUUAAGGGCAGUGGGGCGCGAGGUGGGGGUUGGAGACGUCCGCCGGAGGGGAGGCAGUCCAGCGGGGAGGUCUGGCGACAUCCAGGCGGCGGCGGGGUUCGUUCCGGGCGGCGGAGUCGUUCCCCCGAUCCAGAUCGGAUCGGGAGGGGGGAGGGGACGAGGGAGUGGGGGAAGUGGGUGGUUGGGUCGAUCUAGGUCACGGGAGGAGUGGGGGGUUAUGGGGGCGCCGGCUGGUGGCCGGUUGGGCCGGUGGCCGAAUGGGCCGGCCUGCUGGGCCGAAGCCCAGUGGGGGGCCUUUCUCUCUUUUUCCCUUUUUUGUUUGUUUUCUGUUUUCACAGUUUCUUUUCUGUUUCAAUUCAGUUUAAAACAUUUAUGCAUUUUAUAAAACUGUAUCCUCUACACCAUAAUUAUCUAUGUAAUAUUUAGUACAAACCGAACAUUUUAGUUUAAUAUUUUGAAAACUUUUGUCGUUUGACUUAUUUAGGGUUUAAAUUUGAAACGGUUUUGAAUUAACCCGAGAUUAAUUACAGUGACAGAGGUGACGUGUCACCAUUAACGUGAGAUCACUGUAGCAUGAUUAUCCGGGCGUUACAAAUCUCCUCCACUACAAGAAAUCUCGUCCCGAGAUUUAGGAGGUAGAAGGAAACAGUGCAGGGUAUUCAUCGCGAAGACGAUCCUCGCGUUCCCAGGUGGCUUCGUCUUCAGAGUGAUUCGACCACUGGAUCUUGAGGAACUUGAUCGCCUUCUGACGGGUGCAGCGUUCAGCUUGGUCGAGAAUGCGGACCGGAUGCUCUUUAUAGGAGAGGUCCUGUUGCAAUUCGAGCACUUCAUGGUCCACUGCUCGGAUUGGGUCCUUGAAGCAGCGUCGAAGUUGCGACACGUGGAACACAUCGUGAACCUGAGAAAGGUUUGACGGAAGCUCCAAUUGAUAUGCCACUUUUCCACGCCUUUCGAGAAUAGUGAAAGGACCAAUAUAGCGGGGAGCUAACUUUCCUUUGAUCUCGAAGCGGUGAGCACCCUUCAUUGGUGUAACUCGAAGAUAAGCCUUUUUGCCAGGUUGAUAGACCAUGUCUUGGUGAUGACGGUCAUACUGACUUUUCUGACGUGACUGAGCAGUCUUGAGAUUCUCGCGAAUAAUGCGAACUUGUCCUUCGGCCUGUUGGAUAAUAUCCGGACCAAAGAGUGGACAUUCCCCCGUUUCUGACCAGUUCAGAGGGGUUCGACACUUUCGUCCAUAUAGCACUUCGAAGGAGGACAUCUUCAGACUAGCUUGAUAGCUAUUAUUAUAAGAGAACUCGGCAUAUGGAAGAGAUUCCUCCCAUUUCUUGCUGAAUGAUAUUACACAAGCUCGAAGCAUGUCUUCGAGAACUUGGUUGACACGUUCAACCUGUCCUUGCGACUGAGGAUGAAACGCAGUACUGAACGACAGAUGAGUCCCCAUAGCUUCUUGGAAACUUGCCCAGAAUCUUGAAGUGAAUAAGCUGCCACGGUCUGAACUGAUAACCAGUGGAAUACCGUGAAGUGAAACAAUUCUGGCCAUGUAGAGAGUAGCAAGCUGACUAGCAGUGAUUGUCUCUUUGACCGCCAGAAAAUGUGCAACUUUAGAAAGCCGGUCAAUGACGACAAGAAUAGCAUCAUUACCUUUCUGCGAUUUUGGAAAUCCAGUGACGAAGUCCAUCUCAACAUGGUCCCAUUUCCAUUCAAGAAUAGAGAUAGGUUGCAGAGUUCCAGCAGGCCUCUGAUGCUCUGCUUUGAUACGGCGACAUACGUCACACUCAACAACAUAACGAGCAAUGUCCUGCUUCAUAUUAGACCACCAGAAUCUUUGACGAAUAUCCUGGUACAUCUUUGUACUACCAGGAUGGAUGGACAUAGGCGUAUCAUGAGCUUCUUGCAUAACCCUUUUAGUCUUAUCCAGGUUUUUCUUCGAACAUGGUACCACUAGGCGGCCUUUGAAAUACAAGGCGCCAUCGUCGGCGAUAGUGAAGAAUGAGGGCUUUCCUUCUGCUAGAUGGCGUUUAAUCUUAUGGACUUCAGAGUCAUAAUCUUGUAUAGUCUUUAUACCAGCUACGAGAUCUGGUACGACAGUCAGGGUAUUUAGAGAACCCUUAGUAAUAACAAGAAGAUUCAUCUUGCGGAAUUUCGGGGGAGGGGGAGCGAGUGCUCCAAGAGGAACAAUAUGGAGGUUCAGCUUUCUAAAUUCUUCGACAAGCGAGGGCUGAACUUUAUGAACCUGGAGGUGGUUGCAGUAAGACUUGCGGCUCAAGGCAUCAGCCAUUACAUUAGCCUUGCCGGGGGUAUAGGAUAUACCCACGUCAAAGUCUGCAACAGUCUCCAUCCAUCUCUGCUGACGGAGGUUCAGAUCUGGCUGAGUAAACAGAUACUUUAGACUUUGAUGGUCAGUGAAGAUCUCACAACGAUUACCGAGAAGGUAAUGUCGCCACUGCUUCAGUGCAUGAAUGACAGCAGCCAGCUCGAGGUUGUGAACUGGGUAGUUUUCUUCGUGAGGGCGCAGUUGAUGAGAGGCAUAAGCAAUCACCCUGUGCUCCUGCAUUAGGACACAGCCUAAUCCUUGACGGGAAGCGUCGCAGUAAAUAACGAAGUCCUUCUUAGUAUCAGGUGGUGCAAGCACGGGGGCAGAAGUCAACUUGCCUUUGAGCGCCUGGAAACUUUCCUGACACUUGUCUGUCCAGUCAAACUUGACACCCUUAUGCAACAGAUUAGUCAGGGGCCUGGUAAUCUUGGAGAAGUUCUUGACGAAUCGACGGAAAUAGCUAGCGAGACCGAGGAAACUUCGGACUUGCUUCACAUUCUUCGGAGGAGUCCAAUCGAGAAUAGCCUGAACUCGUUCAGGGUUGACGGCAAUACCAUCCUUGUAGAUGACAUGCCCAAGAUAGGUUACUUCGGGGAGCCAGAAUUCACACUUGGAAUACUUAGCAUACAGCUGAUGCUCCCGAAGCUUUUCCAGCACAAGACGAAGAUGUUCAGCAUGUUCUUCCUUGUUCUUGGAAAAUACAAGGAUAUCGUCCAAAUAAACCACGACGAACUUGUCGAGGUAAUCCAUGAAUAUAUAGUUCAUCAGACGAGAGAAGGUGGCUGGAGCAUUCGUUAAGCCGAAUGACAUGACGGUGUACUCGUAUGAUCCAUACCGAGUCACGAAGGCGGUUUUUGGGAUGUCCUCUUCACGAACACGGAUCUGGUGGUAACCCAACCUCAAGUUGAGUUUGGAGAACACUGAUGAGCCAGCCAGUUGAUCAUAAAGAUCAUUGAUCCGAGGAAGAGGGUAUUUAUUCUGAAUGGUAGCUUGGUUUAUAGGACGGUAGUCUUGGACUAAUCGGUUUGUCCCAUCCUUCUUCUUAACAAAGAGAGAAGGUGCUCCCCAAGGAGAGCAACUUGGGCGAAUGAAACCUUUGACAAGAGAUUUGUCGAUUUCCUCCUUAAGCUCAAUGAGCUCAUGCGGCGGCAUCUUGUAGGGUCGUUUAGCUAUAGGGGUGGUGCCGGGUUUCAAGUCGAUGAUGAAUUCGGCAGCUCUAGCAGGGGGAAUCCCUGGAAGCUCUUCUGGGAAGACAUCUUGGAAUUCAUGAACGACGGGAAUGUUUUCAAUGCCCUCGAGUGGUGCAGCGUUCAACGCAUUCAAGGCAUAAAGCCGUGCCUCGGCGUUUUGCACCAGAUGAGCUUGGUAAGUAACUAUUUCGUCUGAAGGGUGUAGCAGAUGGACGGUCUUAGUGGCACAAACUAUAGAAGCAGUAUGCGCUUUUAACCAAUUCAUUCCCAGAAUGAGAUCAAUGCUACAGGACUUCAGUAUGAUGGGAGAGACAAGGAAUUCUAGUCCUUCGAUUUCUACAGGGACGUCGUUGUAAAUCAUGGAGGUUCGACAUUGGCCCGCAGGGGUGUGUAGUAAUAGUGAAGCAUUCAUGUCCUCACAUUUAAUGUCGUGCAAGCAUGCAAAACCUUCUGACAUGAAUGAAUGUGAUGCACCUGUAUCAAAUAAAACGGAUGCUGGUACUGAAUUUACGAGGAGGGUACCCAUCACAGUAGCAGGCUGGUCUUGAGCUUCGCUCAGAUCAACGUGGUUGGCAUGAACACGACCAUAAGACUUGGCAUUGUUGCUGCGGGGCUGGUUGCUUCCACGGCCAGUUGCUGGAAGGGCCAGUUGAUUCUGGUUCUGGUUGCAUUCCCUAGCACGGUGCCCUGGUUGUCCACACCUGAAGCAUAACCCGUUAUUGGGAGUGGGAACAGGAGCUUGUGGUGGUGGAGCUGGGAGUCUUGGCUGCCUAGUCGGAGGAGCAGGCAGACGAGGUGCAACAUAGGUCUGCCUUGGGGCAGGUGCAUCCGGCUGGUACAUGCUAUUGGGAAUCUAUAUCUUGCGCUUCUGCGAGGACGGGCCCGAAGAUGAGCCCGUGUCAUGGUUGCGCCUGUGAGAGCUCUGGUAUUCCUGCAGACCAGUUUCGACAUUGAUGGCCUUGUUCACCAGAGUGGCGAAAUCAGCAAAGUCAUGCACUAGAAGUGCGAGCUUGAUGUCAGCUUGAAGGCCAUCACAGAACUUCUCCUGUCUGCAUGCAUCAGUUGCAAUGUCCUCUUCAGCAUAGCGGGACAAGUCAAGAAACUCCCGCUGAUAAGCUUCAACAGUCGUGUUGCCUUGGGUGAGGUUGCGAAACUCACGCUUCUUACUGUCCAUGACUCCCUGAGGAAUGAAGCAAGCAUGGAAGGCAGCUUGGAAGUCUGGCCAGGUGAUGAUUGUUCCAACUGGCAGAGCACGCCUGUGGCUAUCCCACCAUUGAGCUGCGGGUCCCUUCAGGAAGAAGGAAGCAAAGGUGACAUAGCUGGCAGGGGCUACAUCAGCAGACUGCAUCUCAUAGGUGAUGUCACGGAGCCAGUCAUCAGCAUCCAGAGGCUGAGUUGAGCUGCGGUACACAGUUGGGUUCAGGCGCAUGAAAUCCUGCAGAGUUACUGGGGUUGGCUGCUGGUUCAUAUUGGGGCGAGGAAACUGAGCCAUCAUAUUCUCCAUGAACUGGCGAUUCAUCUCAAGCUGUUGGAUCAUACCAGCCAUGUACUCAGGCGGUGGUGGGAGGUUGCCACCACGUCCACGACCACCUGGUCUAACCAUCCUGCUAAUAUAUAACAGGGGUAGUUCAGCAUCGAGAAAUUUUGCAAGGGCAAGAAUCAUUCAUGAUGAAACCUGCACAAUGAAAGCAGCACGAUAGAUACUACAUAGUAGUCGGCAUAUCUUACAAAAGAGAUCAUGCAUAGAGUUCGGUACACAGAGUUCAGUACAUAGACUAAUACAUCAUAGGCGGCACGCAGGAUCGCGACGAAUGCAUCUAACACUAAUAAGCAAGCCUUCAUCAGUCCCAGGAGGAACUGUGGAGGUAGGUGUAGCCUGACAGCUGGUAGUGACGCGAAGGGAAGACCGCCACGCGAGCAGCCUGGGGUCCGCGGAUGCUCUGGUGCGGAACCCGAUGCGCAGGUGGCAGGAGAGGACCAAGUGCAGGAGAGUAGCCUCCGACAUCUGGCCAGCCGACGCCCUGGGGCAUCACGGUCCUGGCAGGGUAGACCGCAGAACGCGACAGAUCACCAGAUCGGACAGAGGGGUGCAACAGCGUCAGAGCACGGUACAGGUGCUGACGGGUGGUGUACAACUCGUGGCGAAGAGCUCGGUUAGCUCUAUCCAGCCCAUCAGCAUGCAGAAUCAGGUUCUGAUGGUAGAAGGGCUCUCGGGUGACGGUGGAGUAGGCAGCAGUGUAGUAUCCCUCCACACCAACAUCAGAUGCGAUAGCAAUGUGCCUGAAGGGGGAGGUGUCCAACUCCUGAUACUCUCCAUGAAGACGUGUCAGAGCAGCAUAAGCAGCAUCGUGGACCGCCAUAUCGAUAGUCACUCCAACACCAUGAGCAGUGUGCAGCACAGUAGUGGAGUCAUACUCCCGAGAGUAGAGGUGGACGAUGGCACGGUACUGCUCUUGGUUGAAGUCCUGAUACUCCUCAUAUACAGUGUACUCAGGGUGCCAGCGAUAACCCAGAUAGGUCAUCAUCUCAACCAACACAACAGGUGAUCCUGAGGCACCAAUGGCCGUCGUGUGGCGCACGACCUGCCUCGUGGGUUCCAUCUGAAAACAAGGAUGUUUUCACAGGAGUCAAAUGACAAUGUGGAUAAUGUUCAAAUACUACUCUAAAGAAUAACUAGGGCUUAUCCAACUUUGGGGUGAACAUGGUCACGGGAUCCUAGUGUUAGAGUUAGUAAAAUCGUUUAACCCGAGUAGGAGAGAGUUCAGAGUCCCAGAGUAAGGAUCGAGGAGUAAAAGAUCCUAAUACCACCCAGAUGGCGACGUGGGCCCGUAAGGCACACAACCAUGUUAGUAAAAGUUUUGUAAUGUCUAGACUCAACUUCGGCCAAGGAGUGUGGAAGGGGGAUUCCUAUAGGCAGUCGGCUCUGAUACCAACUUGUGACGCCCCCGAUUUGACCGUACACUAAUCAUACACGCAAACGUGUACGAUCAAGAUCAGGGACUCACGGGAAGAUAUCACAACACAACUCUACAAAUAAAAUAAGUCAUACAAGCAUCAUAUUACAAGCCAGGGGCCUCGAAGGCUCGAAUACAAGAGCUCGAUCAUAGACGAGUCAACGGAAGCAACAAUAUCUGAGUACAGACAUAAGAUAAACAAGUUUGCCUUAAGAAGGCUAGCACAAACUGGGAUACAGAUCGAAAGAGGCGCAGGCCUCCUGCCUGGGAUCCUCCUAACUAUUUCUGGUCGUCGUCAGCGGGCAGCACGUAGUAGUAGGCACCUCUGGUGUAGUAGGAGUCGUCGUCGAAGGUGGCGUCUGGCUCCUGGGCUCCAACAUCUGGUUGCGACAACCAGGUAGAAGGGAUAGGGGGAAAAGAGGGAGAAAGCAACCGUGAGUACUCAUCCAAAGUACUCGCAAACAAGGAGCUACACUACAUAUGCAUGGGUAAAUGUGUAAAGGGCCAUAUCGGUGGACUGAACUGCAGAAAGCCAGAAUAAGAGGGGGAUAGCUAAUCCUAUCGAAGACUACGCUUCUGGCCACCUGCAUCUUGCAGCAUGUAGAAGAGAGUAGACUGAAGUCCUCCAAGUAGCAUCGCAUAGCAUAACCCUAACCGAUGAUCCUCCCCUCGUCGCCCUGUGAGAGAGCGAUCACCGGUUGUAUCUGGCACUUGGAAGGGUGUGUCUUAUUAAGUAUCCGGUUCUAGUUGUCAUAAGGUCAAGGUACAACUCCAAGUCAUCCUGUUACCGAAGAUCACGGCUAUUCGAAUAGAUUAACUUCCCUGCAGGGGUGCACCACAUAACCCAACACGCUCGAUCCCAUUUGGCCGGACACACUUUUCUGGGUCAUGCCCGGCCUCGGAAGAUCAACACGUCGCAGCCCCACCUAGACCAACAGAGAGGUCAGCACGCCGGUCUAAACCUAAGCACCCAGGGGUCUGGGCCCAUCGCCCUUAGCACACCUGCAUGUUGCGUGGGCGGCCGGAAGCAGACCUAGCCUAGUAGGUGUUCCAGUCCAAUCCAGUGCGCGCCGCUCCGUUGCUGAUGUCACGAAGGCUUCGGCUGAUACCACAAUGUCGAGUGCCCAUAACUAUCCCCGCGUAGAUGGUUAGUGCGUAUAGGCCAGUAGCCAGACUCAGAUCAAAUACCAAGAUCUCGUUAAACGUGUUAAGUAUCUGCGAACGCCAACCAGGGCCUGGCCCACCUCUCUCCUAGGUGGUCUCAACCUGCCCUGUCGCUCCGCCUCAAAGUAACAGUCGGGGGCCAUCGGGAACCCAGGCCCACCUCUACCGGGAUGGAGCCACCUGCCCCUUCAGCCCCCAUCUCCGAACAGUAUCACAGGUAAUGUAACUGUGUAAAGUAUAUUGUAUGUGCCCGUGAUCACCUCCCGAAGUGAUCACGGCCCAGUAGUAUAGCAUGGCAGACGGACAAGAGUGUAAGGCCACUGAUGGAACACUAGCAUCCUAUACUAAGCAGUAGGAUAGCAGGUAAUGGUAUCAACAGUAGUAGCAAGGAUAGGCUAUGCAUCAGGAUAGGAAUAACGGAAAGCAGUAACAUGCUACACUACUCUAAUGCAAGCAGUAUAGAGAAGAAUAGGCGAUAUCUGGUGAUCAAGGGGGGGGGGCUUGCCUGGUUGCUCUGGCAAGAGAGAGGGGUCGUCAACUCCGUAGUCGUAUUGGGUAGCAACGGCGUCGGUCUCGGUGUCUAGCGAGAGAAGAGGGGGAAGAAACAAUAAAUAUUUAAGCAAACAGAUGCAUAGCGAUGUAUGACAUGACAAGUAUUGGUGCUAGGGGUGCCCUAACACGGUAAGAGGUGAUACCCGGGAAGGGGGGAAACAUCCGGGAAAGUAUCCCCGGUGUUCCGCGUUUUCGGGCAGAGGAGCCGGAGGGGUAAAGUUGCGAGUUCGAUAGGUUAGGGAUGUGUGGCGGACGAACGGCCUGUGUAUCCGGAUUCGUCUCGUCGUUCUGAGCAACUUUCAUGUUGAAAAUAAUUUAAUCCGAGUUACGGAUUAAAAGAUAUGAUUUUCUAAAGAUUUUAUUAAUUUCUGGAAUUUAAUUAUUUAUUUAAUUUAAUUCGAAAUUUGGUUUUAUGACAUCAACAUGAUGUCAUGCUGACGUCAGCAGUCAACAGAGUUGACUGGUCAACCUGACCAGUGGGUCACACUGGUCAGUGACACAUUUUAAUUAAACAGUUUAAUUAAACUUAAUCAAAAUUAAUUAGGGGUGGGCCCCACUGUCAUACUAAUUAAUUAGCUAAUUAACUAACCAGGUUAAUUAGAUAACUAAUGUUUAAUUAAAUUAAUUAUUUGUUUAGUUUAAUUAAUCAAAACUAAUUAAGUUAAUUAUUUCUGUAAUUAAUUAAUUAAUUAAUUAGUUAUAUAUUUUUAUAUAUUUUUUUUUAAUUCUUCUUUUUUUUAAUAAAACGUUCUGGGGCCAUGGGGCCCCCGUGUUAGUGGCCCAGGGGGCCUAUUGGGCGCUGGGCACUAACGGGGCGGGUCGGGCGUUGUGGCACCCGACUGGGCGUUCGCCCAGAUCGCCGUGGCGAGGAGGGCCCGGGCACCGGCGAACAGGCACGGGGCGACGGCCGGCGGAGCAACGGGGUUGGGGGCGCGCUCGGCGGCGCGUCACACCGGCCGGCCACGGCGGCUGGGCGAGGCAAGCGUAGGGAGUCGGCGAGGGAGAGCGGGGCGGGACCAGCAGGGCGCGAGCAAGGAGGUGGGCGACGGGGCGCAAGCUGGUGGCUAUGGGUGCGGGGCGGGAUGCGCUUGGAGCGCGCAUGGGAACAACGAGGCCGGAGCAAGCGGCACAGCCAGGGCGCGUGCAGCAAGUGCGGCCGGCGGCGAACGGCGGUGGUCGGGCGGCGUUGCGAGGCUGUGGCAGGGAGGGCCAGCAGCCAGCAACGGUUGACGGCAAGCGACGACCGCGGGCAGGAACGGGAAGACACCGGCGAGCUAGGGCGAGGCCACGGCGGGGGUAGCGGCGACGGGGAGGAACGGGGCGGCGCGGUGAGGGAGAGACGAGGAGAGCGAGGCGCUCACUGGGGCCGUAGGGUUAAGGGCAGUGGGGCGCGAGGUGGGGGUUGGAGACGUCUGCCGGAGGGGAGGCAGUCCGGCGGGGAGGUCUGGCGAGGUCCAGGCGGCGGCGCGGUUCGUUCUGGGCGACGGAGUCGUUCCCCCGAUCCAGAUCGGAUCGGGAGGGGGGAAGGAACGAGGGAGUAGGGGAAGUGGGUGGUUGGGUCGAUCUAGGUCACGGGAGGAGUGGGGGGUUAUGGGGGCGCCGGCUGGUGGCCGGUUGGGCCGGUGGCCGAAUGGGCCGGCCUGCUGGGCCGAAGCCCAGUGGGGGGCCUUUCUCUCUUUUUCCCUUUUUUGUUUGUUUUCUGUUUUCGCAGUUUCUUUUCUGUUUCAAUUCAAUUUAAAACAUUUAUGCAUUUUAUAAAACUGUAUCCUCUACACCAUAAUUAUCUAUGUAAUAUUUAGUACAAACCGAAUAUUUUAGUUUAAUAUUUUGAAAACUUUUGUCGUUUGACUUAUUUAGGGUUUAAAUUUGAAACGGUUUUGAAUUAACCCGAGAUUAAUUACAGUGACAGAGGUGACGUGUCACCAUUAACGUGAGAUCACUGUAGCAUGAUUAUCCGGGCGUUACAAAUCUCCUCCACUACAAGAAAUCUCGUCCCGAGAUUUAGGAGGCCUUCUUCCAUCUGAGAACUCAUGAAAUUCAACUAAAAACAUUUUAAAAAAAAUUCUUAGAAACUACUACUAACAUGAACCCUUGCCACUUGAAAUGUUCGCUUGAUGCCGCAAUCCUACAAUACAACUCCACGAUUCCAAGUGGGUGUCUUGUAGAUCAGAGUAGAUACAAAAUACUUUAGUUCUGAACCACGGGGCACAGCGAUACAACAUUUGUGCGACGAAAGUAAAAACUUCGGGAUUAGAUUUCUGUGGUGUUUUCUACUAUUACAACUGGUACAAGCCAUGAAAUUCAAACAUGGCACAAAAAGCUUGCAAACAUAGAAGAGCGGUACAUGCUGCUGUUGCUGCUGGACAUUGCGCUAUCGCCUGGCCGUUUGCGGCUGGUCGCUUCCUCUGCCUCCUCCCCAGCACUGCUGCAGAAAGCAGCCGAACAGGGAGCAGAAAGCAGGGAGCGGGCGUGCGCGGGUGGAGAGACGAGCGGCAACGUGGGAAGGUCGGCAGGCGGAGCCGUGGCCCGUCGAGCCGUCGAAGACAAGGGGCGGCGGGCUGGCAGCGCCGGAGUGCGCAGGUGGAGUGGAGACCGGAGAGACCAGCGGCGGCCGCUAGGGAUUUAGAAAUACUGGGAAAAUUAUUUGUUCGAGGGAAAUAUUGGGGAAAUUUGGUCUACUGAUCGAUGGAUUUCUUCUCUUGUUUUCUUGAUUUUUUGAUGAGAUGAGAUCAGUUUCUUCGUGUCCGCUCGGUCUUCCGGCCGGAACAGGUUCCUUUAAGGCCAACUCCACCGCAGAACCCUAUCUUGUCCGGCUUUGUUCGUAUGGGGCCAAAUCUGUUCUAGCGGGCACAUCCAAACGGAUAAACAUGUCCGUUCGCGUUCGUUUUUGUCCGGCUCAACCUUAAAUCUAGACCAAACUUGAGUCACGAAUGCUCCCGAACGGACAGAAAACAGACGCUCUCCUCGUCCCUCUCGUCCGCUCCCAUCCGCCCUUGUCCGCCCUCUGGCCCACAAAUCAGUGAGACGAGAGCAAGACGCGGCCAGCGGCGAUGCCACCGGCGCAAGACGCAGCGAGCUGGGGGCGGGGCGUGCGCGGCGGGGCNNNNNNNNNNNNNNNNNNNNNNNNNNNNNNNNNNNNNNNNNNNNNNNNNNNNNNNNNNNNNNNNNNNNNNNNNNNNNNNNNNNNNNNNNNNNNNNNNNNNNNNNNNNNNNNNNNNNNNNNNNNNNNNNNNNNNNNNNNNNNNNNNNNNNNNNNNNNNNNNNNNNNNNNNNNNNNNNNNNNNNNNNNNNNNNNNNNNNNNNNNNNNNNNNNNNNNNNNNNNNNNNNNNNNNNNNNNNNNNNNNNNNNNNNNNNNNNNNNNNNNNNNNNNNNNNNNNNNNNNNNNNNNNNNNNNNNNNNNNNNNNNNNNNNNNNNNNNNNNNNNNNNNNNNNNNNNNNNNNNNNNNNNNNNNNNNNNNNNNNNNNNNNNNNNNNNNNNNNNNNNNNNNNNNNNNNNNNNNNNNNNNNNNNNNNNNNNNNNNNNNNNNNNNNNNNNNNNNNNNNNNNNNNNNNNNNNNUACUCGGGGCGAGCACGGGCGUGAGGCGACGGCAGGCCCAGGGCGGCGGCAGGCGCAUGGCGGCGGCGGGCGCGAGGCGGCACGACGAGCUCGGCGCGGCUCGGGGCGAGCGCAGUGAUACGUCUCCAACGUAUUUAUAAUUUUUGAUUGCUCCAUGCUAUAUUAUCUACUGUUUUGGAUGUUUAUGGGCUUUAUUAUACACUUUUAUAUCAUUUUUGGGACUAACCUAUUAACCCAGAGCCCAGUUCCAGUUUCUGUUUUUACCUUGUUUUAGGAUUUCGAAGAAAAGGAAAAUCACACGGAGUCCAAUUGACCUGAAACUUCACGGAACUCAUUUUUGAAAGGAAAGAAGCCCAGAAGACUUGAAGUGCACGUAAGGGAAGCUUCGAGGAGGCCACGAGGUAGGGGGGCGCGCCCUCCACCCUCGUGGGCCCCUCGUGGUCCCCCUGACGUACUUCUUCCUCCUAUAUAUCUUCAUAUACCCUAAAACGAUCGGAGAGCACAAUAGAUCGGGAGUUCCGCCGCCAGAUGUCUCCGUAGCCACCGAAAGCCAAUCUAGACCCGUUCCGGCACCCUGCCGGAGGGGGAAUCCCUCUCCGGUGUCCAUCUUCAUCAUCCCGGUGCUCUCCAUGACGAGGAGGGAGUAGUUCUCCCUCGGGGCUGAGGGUAUGUACCAGUAGCUAUGUGUUUGAUCUCUCUCUCGUGUUCUUGAUUUGGCACGAUAUUGAUGUGUCACGAGCUUUGCUAUUAUAGUUGGAUCUUAUGUUUCUCCUCCCCCUCUACUCUCUUGUAAUGAAUUGAGUUUCCCCUUUGAAGUUAUCUUAUCGGAUUGAGUCUUUACAGAUUUGAGAACACUUGAUGUAUGUCUUUCCAUGCGUAUCUGUGGUGACAAUGAGAUAUCACGUGAUUCACUUGAUGUAUGUUUUGGUGAUCAACUUGCGGGUUCCGCCCAUGAACCUAUGCAUAGGGGUUGGCAGACGUUUUCGUCGUGAUUCUCUGGUAGGAACUUUGGGGCACUCUUUGAGCUUCUAUGUGUUGGUUUAUUAGAUGAAUCUGAGAUUGUGUGAUGCAUAUCGUAUAAUCAUACCCACGGAUACUUGAGGUGACAUCGGAGUAUCUAGGUGACAUUAGGGUUUUGGUUGAUUUGUGUCUUAAGGUGUUAUUCCAGUACGAACUCUAGGGCUGUUUGUGAAACUUAUAGGAAUAGCCCAACGUAUUGAUUGGAAAGAAUAACUUUGAGGUGGUUUCGUACCCUACCAUAAUCUCUUCGUUUGUUCUCCGCUAUUAGUGACUUUGGAGUGACUCUUUGUUGCAUGUUGAGGGAUAGUUAUGUGAUCCAAUUAUGUUAUUAUUGUUGAGAGGACUUGCACUAGUAAAAGUAUGAACCCUAGGCCUUGUUUCAACGCAUUGCAAUACCGUUUACGCUCACUUUUAUCAUUAGUUACCUUGCUGUUUUUAUAUUUUCAUAUUACAAAUACCUUUAUCUACCAUCUAUAUACCACUUGUAUCACCAUCUCUUCGCCGAACUAGUGCACCUAUACAAUUUACCAUUGUAUUGGGUGUGUUGGAGACAUAAGAGACUCUUUGUUAUUUGGUUGCAGGGUUGCUUGAGAGAGACCAUCUUCAUCCUACGCCUCCUACGGAUUGAUAAACCUUAGGUCAUCCACUUGAGAGAAAUUUGCUACUGUCCUACAAACCUAUGCACUUGGAGGCCCAACAACGUCUACAAGAAGAAGGUUGUGUAGUAGACACCAAGCUCUUUUCUGGCGCCGUUGCCGGGGAGGUUAGGGCUUGAAGGUAUAUCUUUAGAUCUUGCAAUCGAGUCUUUUAGUUUCUUAUUUUAUCACUAGUUUAGUUUAUAAAAGAAAACUACAAAAAAAUGGAAUUAAGUUUGCCUCAUACGUUUCAUUUUUUUAAUAUCUUUCGUGAGUAUGAUGGAAAGGAAAAUUGUGCUCAAGUGCUAGAAGAAGAAUGCAUUAGAAUGUUUGGCACUAAAUAUUUGAAUGAUGAGCAUGAUUGCAAUGUUGUUAGUAUGAAUUCCUUGAAUAUCUAUGAUGCUAAUGAUAUGCAAAGCCACAAGCUUGGGGAAGCUAUAUUUGAUGAAGAUGAUAUUUUUUGUCCCCCAAGUUUUGAUGAGCAAAUUUAUUAUGAUGAAAGCAUGCCUCCUAUCUAUGAUGGUUAUUGUGAUGACACAUAUGCUUUAAAGAAUAAUGAUAACAGUGAAACUUGUCAUCUUGUUAUCAAUUUUCAAUCCCAUGAUAGUUACUUUGUUGAGUUUGCUCCCACUACUAUUUAAGGGAAGAAUUUUGCUUAUGUGGAGAGUAAUAAAAUUUCUAUGCUUGUAGAUCAUGAAAAAAAUAAUUUAGGUGUUGGUUAUAUUGUUGAAUUCAUUCUUGAUGCUACUGAAAAUUAUUAUGAGGGAGGAAUAUAUGUUUGUAGGAAUUGCAAUAAUACCAAGUUUCCUCUCUAUGUGCUUAAAAUUUUGAAGUUAUGCUUGUUUUACCUUCCUAUGCAAGUUGAUUAUUGUUCCCAUAAGUUGUUUUCUCACAAAAUCCCUAUGUAUAGAAAGUAUGUUAGGCUUAAAUGUGCUAGUCAUAUUCUUCAUGAUGCUCUCUUUAUGUUUUAAUUCUUAUCUUUUAUGUGAGCAUCAUUGAAAUCAUCGUGUCUAGCUAGGGGCGUUAAACGAUAGCGCUUGUUGGGAGGCAACCCAACUUUAUUUUUAUUUCUUGAUUUUUGUUCCUGUUUAGUAAUAAAUAAUUCAUCUAUCCUAGGUUUAGAUGUGGUUUUAUUAUUUUAAUUAGUGUUUGUACCAAGUAGAACCUUUGGGAAGACUUGGGAAAAGUCUUGUUGAUCAUGCUGUAAAAAACAGAAACUUUAGCGCUCACGAGAAUUGCUGCCAUUUUUAUUUGGAGAGUGAUAUUUAGUUAAUUCUUUUUGCAUAUUAUUAAUAGAUAAAUUCCUCAGGUCCAGAAAUUUAUUUGAGAAUUUUAUGAGUUCCAGAAGUGGUCGAAACCUACAGAUUACUACAGACCGUUCUGUUUUUGACAGAUUCUGUUUUGAUUGUGUUGUUUGCUUAUUUUGAUGAAUCUAUGAGUAGUAUCGGAGGGUAUGAACCAUAGAGAAGUUGAAAUACAGUAGAUAUUACACCAAUAAGGAUUUAGAAUGAGUUCAUUAGAGUACCUUAUGAUGGUGAUUUUCUUUCUUAUACUAACGGAGCUUACGAGUUUUCUGUUAAGUUUUGUGUUGUGAAGUUUUCAACUUUUGGGUAAAGAUUCGAUGGACUAUGGAAUAAGGAGUGGCAAGAGCCUAAUAUUGGGGAUGCCCAAGGCACUCCAAGGUAAUAUUCAAGGACAACCAAGAGUCUAAGCUUGGGGAUGCCCCGGAAGGCAUCCCCUCUUUCGUCUUCGUUCAACGGUGACUUUACUUAGAGCUAUAUUUUUAUUCGCCACAUGAUAUGUGUUUUGCUGGGAGCAUCAAUUUAUUUUGUUAGGAUUUGCUUGCUGUUAUUUAGAACAAUGUUUUUCAUCUUUUAUUUCAAUAAAAGUGGCAUUGAUAGCCUUUACUAUGCCUAUGUUACAAGUAUACAUGUUGCUGUUUGAAAACAGAGAGUUUACCGCUGUUGCAAUAAUUUCCUAGAAAAUUCAGAAUGUGAUAAAAUGUUGAAACCUUUUGCAUAUUAAGAUCUGAUAAAUUUACUACAGUGGGAAUUUUCUUUCAUAAUUUUUGAAGCUAGGGAAGUAUGGAUGUUGAUGCAUUCUUUACUGACUGUCCUGUUUAGGCAGAUUGCUGUUAUGUUUGCAUUGUUUGCAUAUGUUAGCUUCUUUAAUAAUUCUAUUUGAGGAUAGGACUAUUAAAUAUGCAGAGGCAUUUAGUAUGGAAUGUUUAAUAAUAAUUUUAGUGAUUUGCUACAGUAGAGUAUGAUACGGUUUUUGCAAUGGUUUAUACUAACUUAUCUCAUGAGUCCUUGUUGAGUUUUGUGUGGAUGAAGCUUUUGAUUUAAGGAGAUCGUGAUAUGAGAGGAAUUAAGAAGACACAAAAGCUCAAGCUUGGGGAUGCCCAAGGCACCCCAAGACAAUAUUUAAAGAAGUCUCAAGGGUCUAAGCUUGGGGAUGCCCCGGUUGGCAUCCCACCUUUCUUCUUCAACAACUAUCGGUUAGUUUCGGUUGAUCCUAAGUUUUUGCUUCUUCACAUGAUGUUUGCCAUUAUUAGAAUGUCAUUUUUUUUCUUUGCUUGCUGUUUGAAUAAAAUACCAAGAUCUAAAAUUAUUAAAUGUUAGAGAGUCUUCACAUAGUUGCAUAAUUAUUUGACUACUUAUUGAUCUUCACUUAUAUCUUUCGAAGUAGUUUGUCAUUUGCUCUAGUACUUCACUUAUAUUUUUUAGAGCAUGGUGGUAGUUUUAUUUUGAAGAAAUAGAUGAACUCUCAUGCUUCACUUAUAUUAUUUUAAGAGUCUUAAAUAGCAUGGUAAUUUGCUUAAAAUUCUAAUAUGCUAGGUAUUCAAGAUUAGUAAAAUUUUCUUAUGAGUGUUUUGAAUACUAAGAGAAGUUUGAUGCUUGAUGAUUGUUUUGAGAUAUGGAGGUAAUAAUAUAAAAGUCGUGCUAGUUGAGUAGUUGUGAAAUUGAGAAAUGCUUGUGUUGAAGUUUGCAAGUCCCAUAGCAUGCACGUAUGGUAAACGUUAUGUAACAAAUUUGAAACAUGAGGUGUUAUUUGAUUGUCCUCCUUAUAAGUGGCGGUCGGGGACGAGCGAUGGUCUUUUCCUACCAAUCUAUCCCCCUAGGAGCAUGCGCGUAGUACCGAGGUUUUUGAUGAAUUGUAGAUUUUUGCAAUAAGUAUGUGAGUUCUUUAUGACUAAUGUUGAGUCCAUGGAUUAUACGCACUCUCACUCUUCCAUCCUUGCUAGCCUCUUCGGUACCGUGCAUUGCCCUUUCUCACAUUGAGAGUUGGUGCAAACUUCGCCGGUGCAUCCAAACCCCGUGAUAUGAUACGCUCUGUCACACAUAAACCUCCUUAUAUCUUCCUCAAAACAGCCACCAUACCUACCUAUUAUGGCAUUUCCAUAGCCAUUCCGAGAUAUAUUCCGAUGCAACUUUCCCUCAUUCCGUUUAUUAUGACACAUUCAUCAUUGACAUAUUGCUUAGCAUCAUCAUGUAGUUGACAUAGUAUUUGUGGCAAAGCCACCAUUCAUAAUUCUUUCAUACAUGUCACUCUUGGUCCAUUGCAUAUCCUGGUACACUGCCGGAGGCAUUCAUAUAGAGUCAUCUUUUGUUUUAGUAUCGAGUUGUAAUCAUUGAGUUGUAAAUAAAUAGAAGUGUGAUGAUCAUCAUUUUCUAGAGCAUUGUCCCAAGUGAGGAAUAAAAAAAGAGAAAGGCCAUAAAAAAAGAGAAGGCCCAAAAAAAGAGAGAAAGGCCAUAAAAAAGAUAAGGCCCAAAAAAAUGAAAAAAAAUUGAAAAUGAGAGAAAAAGAGAGAAGGGACAAUGCUACUGCCCUUUGCCACACUUCUGCUUCAAAGUAGCACCAUAAUCUUCAUAGUAGAGAGUCUCUCAUGUUAUCACUUUCAUAUACUAGUGGGAAUUUUUCAUUAUAGAACUUGGCUUGUAUAUUCCAACAAUGGGCCUCCUCAAGUGCCCUAGGUCUUCGUGAGCAAGCAAGUUGCAUGCACACCCACUAGCACUACAAAAAAAUACACUUCCGUGAUGAUACGUGUUUGUCACAGUAGGUUGCUUUUUUUGUCAUGCAUGUACAUCCAUGACAAAUUUAUGACAGAAUCAAGAUAGUCAUACCUGUGCUGUCGUAGAAGUGUUCCAUGACAUUACCAAAAUUAUCAUCACGGAAGUGUCCACUUCCAUGACGAUAAAUUGUGCGUCACAGAAGUGCUUUCGUCAAGGGUGACCGACACGUGGCAUCCACCGUAACGGAACGCCGUUAAGCUAUCGGGCCGGGUUUUGGAUCCGAUAACCCGUUAACAGCCCCGACCAAUGGGGAUUUUCCACGUGUAAAAUCAUCAUUGGCUAGAGGAAACACGUGUCGGCUCAUCGUCGGGACAGAUGUCAUCCACUCACUGGACAGAAGGCGCCUAUGAUACGUCGACACAUGGCACGGCCCAACAAGUUUAAAUGGGCCGGCCCAACUAAAGGCCCACAAGAUUUUGCAGACCAUAAUGGGCCGACCCAGCUAAAGGCCCAUGAGAUUUUGUGGACCAUAAUUGGCUGGCCCAGCUAAAGACCCACAAGAUUUCGUGGGCCAUAAUGGGCCGGCCCAGGUAAAGGCCCACAAGAUUUUUGUGUGCCAUAAUAGGUCGGCCCAGGUAAAGGCCCACGGUGACUCUAGCCCAUAAUGAACAGUAAUUUUCUUUAUACCCGUUAACGACCCGUGAUUUACAUGGGCCGUUUCCAGCCCAUGUUAGCUUUCAGCCUAUUGACGGCCCAUACGUUCUUGGGCUCCUUUUCGGCCCUCGAUUACUUCCAGCCCGUUACUGGACUGUUCCCCUAAUGGACCAAAUUCGGCCCAUGGCAAGAGUCGGCCCGUUACUGGCCUGUUCCACUAAUGGGCCAAAUUCGGCCCAUGGCAAGAGUUGGCCCGUUACUGGCUUGUUACCCUAAUGGGCCAAAUUCGGCCCAUGGCAAGAGUCGGCCCGUUUCUGGCCUGUUAACCCGUUGCGUCGUUUCUAGCCCGUCCUAUAUUCUGGCCCAUUAACGACCCGUUAUGCCUGUGACAGAAUUAAGCCUUUUGAUGUCCUACGGCCUGUUAACGGCCUGUUACCGUGCUGGGCCGAUACCAAUUAUGCCCGAUUAUGGCCCAUGUAGACCCAUUUAUCAGACGGCCCGAGGCCCACCGAUUACAGGCCCAUUUAUCGACGGCCCGUAGGAGAGCCAUGGAUCCUACGGCCCAUAUAUGGCCCAUGGUAGUUGCGGCCACUAGCAAACUAGGGAAAAAGAAGACUAGGAAAUAAAUAAGGCCGAAACUAAUGCUAGGCUAUUAAGGCGAUUGCACAGAUUACAUCCACUCGGCAUCAAAGAUCGCCACCAGUGCAAAUAUAGGGAACACCCUACACUAUACAAAAAUGGCUUGCUGUUUUCUUCAUGCGGUGGCUGCACAUUAAGAAUAAAUUUUUUAUCACACCAAAACAAAUUACAACUAUAUAAUAAAAGGAAGGUUGGCAUAAAACUUAACAGUCUAACAGAUAAAUGCACCACCAGAAGUUUAGAAGCUCAGUUCAUUUGACCUGACUGUUAUGUUUUCAUGUUGUAUUGUCUGAUGGAGCACUAUAACCCUCGCCUUCAUUUCCCCUAGGCUCCUGAACAACAUAGCAAAUGUCUGAUAGUAUGGUUUCAAAACCAUGCAUAUCUUGACGACAUUGAGCAAUGUUUCUCCUUGUUUCACAAAGGGUCUCUGUUAGGGAAUUGACUUGUGUCUGGAGCGCAGAUACAACAUUGCUUUGAGCUUGCAUAUCUUGAUCAUGAGGCAGUUUGGACGAUAUUGCCUUAACAACCAACCCAGUAUUACGCAGGAAUGUGCUUUUGGCACUGUUAAUGGACAUGUACUGACCCACUACAGCAAGAGCUGACAUUGCGGUUAUAGUUGCCUCGCCACCUUCAGAAGGUAGCGGUUCCACCAUUUUUUUCCAUAGCUCGCUGAAAAGUUGAGGUUUUACAUUAGUAGUACCAGAACAGAAGAUAUUAAGGAGGCAGCAAAACCAAACAAAAUAGCUUUGGUCUAUAUACCGAAUUUAUUCUGGUGAACCCAUGUAAAAUAUUAGUUGUAUUUUAUUACAAAGUACAUAAUAAAACCAGGUUCCAAACAUAUGACCAUGUACCGUCGCUAAUGUAUUGUCUAUUUCUUCACAUUGUAUUGAGGGCUAAGGAUAAAGAGACGAAGUUUAUAAUACGGUAAGCAUAGUAUGACAUCAUUCAUAUCACAAAACAACUGAGAACAGACAAACAGGCAAUUGUAACGUUGUGUGGGCAAGUCCAGCACGGAACUAGAUUACGGGUCAAGAUCAAAGGAACAUCACUCCUCUCUUUUAAACAUUGUAAGGUCCAAUGAUACGCUAAGACAAUUGUGUAUAAAAUUGAAAAGAAUAAUAGACAUUGGCUGCAAACCAUGCAGUUCAAGGCACAAGUCGGAGUAAGUAGUAGUUAAAAGGCAUGAAGAUUAAGAACUUACAACAGCGGCUUUGACUGGUGUAGUCAUGCCCUUCUUCUUGCUGGUGUGACAGUCCUUGAAGAUUUCCACAGCAUUUGGUUCUUGCGGGCUUUCCUCUGCAUUUGGAACAAGUCGAUAUAGAUAUGAUAAUAUGGUACAACGAAAAGACUGAAACAGCAGCUAAUUACAAGAGCCUCGCAGUGUGCAAUAUAGCUACGAGAUCCUGUCGUCUGUUGGAAUUUCACUUUCGUACGGUUGGCCUUGUUCUUUGAACAGUUCACCUACAAGAAGAUAGAUUUGUGUGGCGCAUGCAUAAAUAGGACUUCAACAUGUGAUCUGAUGACAUAUAUAUAUAAUGUACCUGAUACUUCGGAUUGGACCAGUGUUUAACGAGGCCUCUCCAGUCUUCAUCAGAUAUAUUUUCCACUGGAGAUGUUUGGGCAAGUUCACUGUUAGCCUUGCCUUCAAAGUGAGUUUUCCUCAAGUUAUACCGAUAUUGUCGCAGAGCAGACUUGAAAACAUGGGUGCAAGCUUGUCUGGUUGCAUCAUCUUGGCUAUCCAACUUGAACCUCAUCUGUUGAAAAUUAUGGGAGUCUCAUUAUCAGCAACCACUACACCACACACCAGAUUUCCCUACCGGUGUGUGUUGGGAAAAGUUCUAACUAACUGUUGGUCGACAAUACUUAUCUAUCGUGUCCAACUGUCGGUCGACAAUACUUGGAUAUUUCAUGUUGGACUAUCGGUCGGGAAAAUUUGUGUCUUCAUCAGACUGUUGGUCGGGGAUUAAUGCCGACCGACUUGUUGGUUGCCAAUUGGGUCGGCCUGUCUUUGCGCGCGGGGGCCGAAAACUUAGCGCCAAGCCUCCCUCCUAUUUUUUUCGUUCAGCCUUCCUUCAUCCAAAUUCCCCAAACAUAAAUCCUCUCACGCACUCCCUCCGCCGCCGACCGCUAGCUAUCUGGCAGCCUGCACGCUGCCGGCCGCUCGCCGUCUCUAGCAUGCCGUCACCGCGGUAGCAAGGUUGCUGCCCUGUCUCCUUCAUCCUCCUGCACCCCCACUGCUUAGCCCCCAAACACUUCUAACCCUAGCUUGUGCGCUGGUGUUUAGGGAGAGGCCAAGGCGCGGUGGUGGACGACGCCGUCCCUCUCAGAUCCGGGGCUGAGAGAGAGAGAGAGGUGGUUCACCUGUGAGAGAGAGCACUCGCACCCUCGCUCGUCACCCAGGAUCCACCACCACCGCCGCCACGCCAUGGGCUUCCUCAUAUCCGCGCCACCCUGUUCGUUUGAAGAAGGAUCUGGCCAUUGAUUGCUGGUGCUUCCCCUCGCCCGACGGUGGGUGUUCUUCUCACUCUCCUCGCCCUCUCCACCCCUCCCCAGUCGGUGCUUCUUUUAGUUGAUUUGUUUGCUUUUCCCUUUUCCGUUCAGAUCUGCCAUGACUUGGGAUAGUACUUCUGUCCAGCAAGCAGCACUUCGGCUGGGAGCUCAAGCUCAAGCAGAACGUAAAAAACAUGGGCUCUAUCUGCUAAUGGGGUAGCCGGCAAUGCAGUCUAAGGGCUGGCUACUGCUCAUCUGAUUUAUGGAUAUGAGAGGAUGAGAACUUGAGAAGAACAAGCUUGAUGCUAUGAUUGCAAAAAAAAAUCUGUACUACAGGUAUUCCUUUCAGUACUGUUGCAGCAAUCCUUAAUUAGCUACUAUUUUAUGAACUGAAUGUGAUUGAUUUGUGAACUUUAGAGCUUGUAAGUUGUAAUUUGUGAUUUCAUAGGAUGCUUGAAGGUCAAUAGAAGGGUAUUAUUCCUAUGAAAAUUCAUUACUUUCUAUAUAUAUAUAUAAAUUUAUCCACAUAUAUGUGCUUUGAUACGAGGGACAACCCUCAGAACUAGCUUCAGAUUCCACAAAAAAUUCCAAAUAAUCAUACUAAUGUUUCAGAUUUUUAGUUAAGCAUUGUAGAAUUCUUGCAAACAGAGGAGUAUAUUAAAUCUUCAUCCUCUGAACCAGGUGAGAGUUAAUACACACCAUACACAGGCUCUGUAAGAUGGCGGAAAUAGACCUCUUCGUCAACGACUUCUACGAGGACGAUAUUGACCUAGAGGCUGGAGCUUUGCUACUCCUUCCGGCCAACAACAAGGCAUCGUUUACUUUUUCUCUCCCCACAUCCAAUACUUCCCUGUUCCUGUCCCUACCUCUUAUUUCUUGCUAUAGGGCAACACACUGCAAGUGUUUGAUAAACUGUUAGUCUCAAUGCUCCAAUUCUGGCAGAAGGAUUUUCGGUAGGAAGACAUAGCACCAAUCAAGGAUUUUCGGUAGGAAGACAUAGCAUCACUCAUGGUUAUAUAUAUUUACUGUUGUAUUUCUGUAUUUUUGCAAAAUUAGUUCUGUGAAGCUUCUAGAUUAUUUUAGUUCUUCAGUGGUUUUACCCUUAGGCUUGGCUUGUAUUAACUUACAACUUUUUUUCUCCAUAAUUUUGCAACAAUAGUUCUGUAGUACUUAAUACAGUUUUUCUGGAAUCAUGAUAAAAUAAAUAUAUAUCUAGCCGUUUGUAUUUCGACGGUCAUGUUUCUAAAGAUUUUAGAGUUUUAUUUUCACUAUAAAUUUGCUUUAGUAGUUCUGUAACUUCCAGAAUAGUUCAGUUAAGGGGUUCUACUCUUAGGCUUGUAUAAACUUACAACAUCUUUUAUUUGCAAUUUUGCAAUGAGAAUGGUUUCACAACUGUAGACAGUUCAUCUUUAUAAGGCCAUUGUAUCCAUGAAGAAAUUUGUUACUUAUUUCUGAAUACAUCUCGUACUGUUUAUCUGUACAUUGUAGAGGAACUCAUAAUGGUGUAGCGAUGCAUUUUAAGAUAUGGCAUGAAGCUAGCUAAGGGCUUUUAUUAUUUCUAGCAGCAUGUGAUUCACUGAACAAAAAGAGGACUGCACUCACAUAUGAAAUGCUUGCAAGUUAUAGAAAAAUGAAGCAAAGGACCAGCGGUGUAGGUAAGGGCUUUAAUUUGUUAGUACUCCAUUUGCUAUGCAUCAAGAUUCAAUCAAGUAGGAUUCCCAGUGAAUUGGCAGUUUUUACAUAGUGUUUUGCAUGUGAAUUGUGGUCACUACUAUCAAUCCAUGGAAAUUUAAAUGUAUAGUGAUGGAUGAAACGAAUGGAACCUAUAUCCUGGGUUCCCAGUACUAUAUUGUUGCUUCAAAAACACUUGUAUGUACAGAUAGUUUCUCUUGGUUAUCAUAAGUAAACGUUCUUGAGAUAAAUUUCGCUCAGUUUUUUAGUGGGGAAGGAAAGCUUCAUGAUAUUCCAUUUAAAGCGCUGAUAUCUAUUUGAAAAUUAAUUUAAGUGCAUACCUCCUCGAUCCUAACAGUAUUUGUGUACUGUAUAGGAGAAAUCUUCUCAGUUUCUGAAUCCUGAGCAGUAGCAAGUCAGGUGCUUAAUGGUGAUCCUACCACGCAUAUGUCAUAAGCAGGUUAGUUCUAAAAAGGUCAUUGUUAAUUCGCCCGCGUCUGUCCCGCAAUUGCCACAACUUAGUGCAGUGAGAUCAGAGGAUGGUCGUCAAUUUAAUCUAAUUUGUGGCACUGAAGUACAGAUGCUUUUAUGAAUAUAAUAGUCAGGUGCAGUGUAAGUUCAGAUGCUUUUUGUUUGGUAUUUUGCAAGUCCUCAUGUGCUUAGUACUGCAUUUAGAAAUGAUUGCGAAUAGAUUCUUAUCCUUGAGAUUCGUUUCUAACAUUGGGAAAGUAUGUGUAACCUCCUGAUGUACGUGGGUUUUUGAGAAUGCUUUUCCCAGGGCAUGUUGCACUCGUCAUUGAAACUCCUAGAUGUGUAUUAGAUAGUAAUCAUUUUGCCUAAUGCAUUGCCGUCUAGGGCAGCAAAGUGCGGUCUUUUCCACCCCAGAGAAGAAAAAGAAAGAAAACUAGUGCAGUUUUUUCUUCAAAAAUGACUUUAUUGUGUCCGUUGGUGGAUGGGUUGCUCCCAAUAAUUGGGUCUGGACAUGUUAAAUUGUUGCCCUAUGGCCAGAUGAUGCAUAUGCUCCUUUUCCAUUUAAUAUACUUCCUAGUCUGUGGCUUGAGGAGAUUGAUGCAUGCUAUAUGGUGGGUCGAUGUGGCAUUGAUGCUUUAUUAUGUCUAACACAUCACAAAUUCUAAUUAGAACAUGCCCUGUUUUUAUAAUACUAAAAUCCCAGUUUGUUUUUUCCAUUGAUGCUUUAUACAAUUAUUAUUUUUGCCAUUAUCUCCAUGAAUGCAAGAAUUCACCGGUGACCCUUUUAUCCUUUGUAUGAAUGACAUGCAAGAGAACCAGGAAGGAACCAUGAAGAUGGCAGUUUGCAUCAGCUAGACAUUUUGUGUAAUGGAGCAAAUACAAUGUGUCUUUUAGUUAUCGUUUUGUAAACCUAUAUGGUGUCUUGUCAACUGGGUAUUUUGUGUAAAGGAGCAAACAAUGUAUCGUCAGACAUGCAUCUAUCAUUUUGUAAACCAAUCAGGUGUCUUCGUGAUUGAAACAUAAAUGUUUCCUCCUUCCAGUUAGUUACUUUUACCUAUAAGAAUAUUCUUCUUUUGUUGUGGUUUAAUAUUUUUAGAGUUCAUGCAAGUUUCCGUUGCAAUGAGAUAUGCAACUUGAUUGAUAUUCUUUGGCAAGGCACAAGCCAAAUAAUGGCUGGAUAUUAAAUAUAUCUUGCUCGGCUAAACAAAAUGCUAUCGAACUGUUGGUUGGCAAAAGAUAACAACGUCCUACUGUUGGUCGGGAAAGUUUUAUGGCAAGGCCGAGAGAAAGUCGGUCGGCAAAUGUACUGCCGUCAGACUGUCGGCCGGGAAAGGUUUAUGGCAGGGCCAACAGAAAGUCUGUCGGCAAAGAAAGUACCAUCGAACAGUCGGUCGGGAAAGUUCAUCGUCAGACAGUUGGUCGGGAAAGGCUCAUGGCAGGGCCAACAGAAAGUCGGUCAGCAAUGCUUUCGAUAGCUGUCAAACAGUCGGUCGGGAAAGAUACGUCGGUCGGGAAAAGGCUUUCCCAAAAGGCUUUCCCGUCUGGACUUUCCCCAACAGACUUGGUCGGUCGGCAAUAGUCUUUCCCGACCGAUUGUCUGUUGGUGGAUGUUGUUUUCCCUACCGACUUGUGUGUUGGGGAUGUAGUGUUGUGGUGUAGUGAACCUAGAAAGUAUUGGACAGAGCAAGACGAUAUUACUAGUUUCCAUACAUAACCAUACUUACAGAUAAAUGGUCGAGGAAGAUGUUGAACUGGGUUUCGUCUUUGUCAUUCCUGUACUGAAUCCAUGUUGGGAGGAUACUACAUGACACCUAACAACAACCGCUGCCUCUGAUACUAACUUGGCUGACUCUGUAGCAUCAUGUGGCCUUUUUAAACCUGCCUCAAAACGGAUCUCCAUUCUUCCUCUUCUAGAUUUAGUUAACCUAUCGAGUAUUAUCCCUGAUGUUUGUUUCCUCUUGCGCCUAGGUGCUAGUCCAACAGCAAACAUAGAAAGUGUUAGUGUACAUCAAACUGUGAGACUACAUAUAAAGAAGCAUGCAACUGUAACUUGACUCCAGCAACUACCUUCUUGCUGUUGAAGCUCACAAGGUUCAUCUGAUAUUGCCAACUCGUCUUGUGUCAAGGGUGCUUGUGAAGUAGUGUCAGGUGGCAAGGGAGCUUGGGAAUGUGCUGCUAGCUCAGUUGACGCAUGAGUACGUCGUGUAGCUGGUAGUACUGUGGUAGGUGUUGCAAGAACUAGGGCUGUCUCUGCUUGUUUGGUGGCAGCUAUUUGUUUCUGUUUGUAUUUUUUUGCAACUCGUGUAGCAUGGGAUGCCGUGUUUGUAGAAUUUUCUACUGGACUUUGACAUUCUAUUGCACCAUCAGUACCAGCAGAAUCUGCAGGAUUCAUCCGCUUCUCAUUCCCUGCCAUUCUGUGUUUCUUCCUCUUUCUCUGUGCCAUGUUAAGUCAAGCCGACAAGAAAAACGAAUAACAAUUUAGUUCUUCAGAACAAAUUGAUGCGUGAUGCAGACGAACUGAACUUUGAUGUUAGACAACCACAUGAUAGGAGGAUGUAAUAUGUAUGAAAAACAGGACGGAAGAGAUAACCAGAACUAUGAUGUGUAAACUAAGAAGAAGACAUUUCACCAAAUUAGAAGCAAUGCAAUUGAAGGUAGACACCAUAUGAAAGAUGUUGCAAAUAUCGCUCUGCCAAGUUAACAGUGUCUCAUCAUAAAUGGUGUUUAAACAAAUGUGAAGCAGUACAAGAAAUAAAUCAUAUGCAAGAUGCAAACAACAUCACACUACCAUGUUAGAGGUCUCUCAUCAUUAGUGCCAUUGCAUAUUCACAGCUUAUGAUGUCUAAACUAAGGAGAAGGCAUUUCAACAAAUUAGAAGCAAUGAAAACUAGACAACAUAUGAAAGAUGCAACAAAUAUCACUCUACCAAGUUAAAACUGUCUCGUCAUAAGUGCCAUUUCAACAAAUUAGUAAUACAAGCUAGAAAAGAAUGUGAGAUGUAACCUAUAUCACACUCCGAAGUCAAACGUGUCUUAUGAUAAGUGAUUGUUGCAGGUUACACAACAGUAGUAAUUUGAUGUAAGAACAUGGUGUGAUAGACAGAUAUUGUAUGUUCUAGAAACAUGAACACGUGUCUUAUUCAAGUAUAAUGUGUAAAGUAAGCAGCUGGAAUUCAACAAAAUUAGAAGCAAUACAAGCUAGACAUCACACAUAACAUGCAACCACAUAUAACUGUGCCAAGUUAGAGGGAGCACCGGUGAUGCUGCACUAGGGGAGACGUGCUCAUCAUAAACACAACUUUGUUGAGUGUCUAUGCAUGUGUUGUCUUGGAAAUCAUCUUGGGGGUGUGGAGGAGUAGAAACUGUAGAGGCCCUCCGUUCGGAAGGAGCACCUUUAUCCGCUGCCUUGCUAACUUCUUUCUGCUUUAUUGAUUUUGAAUUGUCAAGUAAAACCGACAAGAAAAAGCAAUAAAAUUCUCUCUUCAGAACUCAUUCAUGCAUGAUACUGACAAUCACUACUUUGAUGUAAGGCAAACACAUGAUCCCAGGAUGGAAUAUGUACGAAAACAGGACGGCAUGACAUGUUCACAACUGUUUGUGUAAACUAAGCAGAAACCAUUCCAGCAAAUAAGAAGCAAUGCAAGCUAGACACCACAUGAAAGAUGCAACCAAUAUGACUCUGCCAAGUUAAAAGCGUCCCAUCAUAAAUGGAAUUUCAACAAAUUAGAAGCAGCGCAUGCUAUAAAUCAUAUGAAAGAUGCAACUAAUAUCGCACUGCAUAUACUAAAGGUGUCUCGUCAUGUUGAUUGAUGCGGGAUACAAAAAAACAAUAGUUUUAUGUAAGGACAUGCUUAAUAGACAGAUGUACUAUGUACUAAAUACAGGAAGGCAUGUCACAUUAACAGGUAUAAUGUAUAAGCUAAGCAGACUAGCACAUGCAGUUUAACCAGAUUGGAAGAAUUACAAUCUAGACACCAUAUGCAACAUGCAACCACAUAUCACGCUGCUAAGUUAGAGCAAGCACCUGCGAUGCUAGUGUAGGGGAAAUGUUGUAAUCAACUACAGAGCUACGUUCACUAUCUUCAUCUAGCAUUUCUGUUUCUUGAGAAUCAUGUCGGGAGGCUGACGCUGCAUUCUUUAAAUGAGGAGUAGUCCCCUUGCUUGCCUGCCUCGUCAUAAGUGAUUGAUGAGGGAUACACAAGAACAUUAGUUUGAUAUAAGAAUAUGGUUAAUACACAGAUGUACUAGUAUGUACCAAAAACAGAAAGGCAUGUCAUAUUCAAAGGUAUAAUGUGUAAGCUAAGCAGAUGCAAUUUAACCAAAUUGGAAGCAAUACAAGCUAGACAUCCGGCUGGAGUGGUGAGCAUGAUCAUCUAGGACCUGAGAGCCUGGUGGGAGGCGGGCUGCUUCGCCACCAUCGCAGCUUUUUAGUUGGCUCCUAGGUGAUGCCUAUCUUUGCCGGACUUGUCACUGGCUCGGCCAGUACCCUGACUAGAUAUUUGUCUUCUGGUGCUCACGGGAUGGUGGUUCAUGUAAAAAAAAUAUCUUUCCUUAUCUUACCGACUUCGGCCUUUCGAAUACAAGCUAGACACCAUAUGGAACAUGCAACCACAUAUGACACCGCAAAGUUAAAGCAAGCACCUGGGAUGGUGGUUCAUUGCGAGCGAGGUCAUCAACUCCAGAGCUACGUUCCCUGUCUCCAUCUGCUGACACUACACCCUUUAAAGCGUUGAAACGUGUCUUGCCUAGCCGCACACCAAACUGGAGUGACUUCUCUCUUUUCUUUUUGGCUUCUCUCAUGGCAGCGGAGUCUGAAAUACCCUUGCAUAAAAACACAACAGUGAGAGUAAGGGUGAAGUGUGUGCAGAACUAGUGCACUGUAAAAGUAGCAGAUAGUAGGUGGCUGAAAAAUAAAUGACAGGAGACAUAUGAUAGCUCUAUAACAUUGCAUGGCAAACAAAAUUAGAUUCUACUCUGUAUGAUUUUGUAAUAUAUGAGCACAGGAAAUGCAGGUACUCCUCCAGCACACCACCACAUGUGGUCAUAUCUAAGAUAACAGUCGACUGAAAAUAAAUAGGUCAGUCGAUUUUUUUAAUGAACCGUCCGAUCUAUAAGGAAUGGGCAGAUGGCCUUCGUCUACCUCCCGCCAGUCACUAUUGACGAUCUUUCUCGAACCACCAGCGACCACCGGCCCAGACCCCUGCCUCCGCCGCCCCGCCCUCCCAUCGACCUCACACCACCACCGUGCUUGGCAGUGCCCCCAGGCCAUCCCUUUAAUCCCGGACGACCUCCAGAUCGGGCGCCAGUAGCUCUAGGACGCACACGCCCCUAAGAUAAACACCAAGGCACUGCUUCCCCAGCGUAAUAGGCGUACUAGAGCCUGUUACGCCGGGGAAUGCUUCCGUUAAUUGGGAAUCAAGUGGCCAGAAAUUGAAAUUCAGGGGGGCGACGGACCUCUAGCUAAGGUGAAAUAGUAUAUGAGGAGAAAUCUUGUGCAUCACGAGUUACUAGGAACAUCUAGUAUCAAGAAGAAGCGGUCAACUAGUGUCUUCUGUGGGAUGAAUACCGUGCAAGCAGAGACGUAAGAUUUGCACGAAUAAGGGAAGAGGAGUACCUUUUUUAGUUGCCGGUGUGGUCACCUCCACAAGUCGCGCCGAUUUUCUUCUUUUUACCGGGGAAACCGAUGUUCUAGAGGGUGCAGGCUUGGACGAACCCAUGGCCAAAUUGUUGACUGUGUUGCCGUGGCCGUAUGUCGGCGGAGGGGAAGCAGAUCCGAGGCGGCGAAGGACGGCGUAGCAGGAACAACUCUGGUGCGGUGGAGGGUGGCGAAGUUGGAGCGGCAGCGGUGAGGCGCAGGACGGCGUGGUUGAACUGGCUCAGGUACGGACGGCUCGGCCUCGGCUUCAACUACUAGCCGUGGAGGGCGUUGCGGUUGAGGUUGCGGUGGACGACGACGUCGGGGUAUCGGCUCCGGCGUGAUGGAGGAGGGCGGCGGUUGAUGGGUGGGAUGGGGUGGCGGACGGAGGACGCCGGGGUUUCAUGGCUGGUGGAGAGGUAGUUUUGGCGCCCACUGAGUACGAAUGGGGAAUCGGACGGGUGGGGGGAACCAUGUUUCGGUCUGGGACGCGCUUGUUUUUGGCUUUUUGAACAGAAAUGGGAUGCGCUUGUUUGAAAUUUGGGGAAAGUACAAACUUUGCCCCCCUCUUAAAUUUCGGACCUACUGCGGGUCGGGGCUAGGAUGGUAAUCCCAGGUGUCCCAAAAAGUGGGCGGGAGCGAUUUCGGCCGCGCGCAUGUGUGCUUAGGCGGCCAUUGUAUAUGAAUGUUUUUCGGAUGCGGUUGCAUGGCGUCUAGAUGAAGGUACAAACCUACCCCGGUUUAGACCUUUGGACGUUGGGCCGGUAGGUUUCACGGGUCGGAGUUAUUAGAAAAGUAAUUUCCUUGUACUACCAAACAUUGGUCUCACGCGGUUUCGGGCGAGUAGAGGCUCUUUUGGCGCUUCGUUCGAAAUUUUGAAACACAAGCAUUCACGUUUAGAGUACUCUUGAACUAUGAGGAUUGACCUAAAUAUACAACGUUAUAUUUGACCUUGCAUGUUUGAAAACCUCAUUAAAUUAUCCGCUUCUUUUUGAAAUUUUGACACUUGAAAAUCCUAUAACUACGAUUAUUUCGGAAUGGAUGAGCUAAAUUUGAAUCUAUUUUGUACACGACUACAUAUGCUAUUAUGUACAAAAUCAGAGCAAAGAUUGGUGCCCCCAUAAUUUAGGUAUGGUUUACAAAUGCCAUGAUAUCAAAUUCAAAUAAUUGAAUGGACUUCAUGUUGAAUUCGAUUUUUUUAAACCACCUUAAGUUGAAUUCAAAUGUAUCCUAGUUCAUAGGUAGUAGUUAUUUAUAAUGUCCAUUGUGUAACUUUCGUAUGUAUAAUGUGCUUUACACACACAACAUGAAUUAUACUCACGUUUAUAUUCGAUUGCUAAAGCGAUGCAUUGUCUGGAGUUCAAAAUACUAACUAUGUGGAUCAGUUGUGUCGAAUAAUAACAUAGACAUGCUCAAAUUCGAUAGAAUCUAGAUGUAUGAUGGAUCAAUGACCGCUCCUUACGCGAAUUGCAAAUAUUAUGAUCCCAUCCUAAUAUUUGGAUACAAUUUAUAUCUUUAAUCAAUGUGUAGAGCAGUCUUUUAUGUGUAGUUUCACUCUCCAUCGGUGGUCUCUCACACAUGCUCACACACUCUCUCCCGAGGUGUCUUUCUCACACACAUGCUCUAGAUAUAACCCUCCCUCCCUCUCCUAACCAUUUACAACUGUUUUCACUAACCUUUAUCACAAGCACUCUUCCUCUCGCAAACAUACACACGCAAAAUCCUCAUCGACCCUUUCUAUAUACAUGGACCUGCCUACGUGUCUCAUGUACGCACAUUAUCUUUACACCUAUCUCUCACGCAUUGUCUCACACCUCUCUUCCUAAUCGACGAGUAUGAUUCUAGCAGAGCAUUCUGUAGGAUGCCCCUUAAAGUUAGGUUGGAUGAAUAGUAAUAUCAGAGAUAAAGGGGUUACCUUAGUUCGAGAACCUAGGGUUACAAAUCCUAGCCGGCUUUGUCAGUGGACACAAAGUCCUUCACAAUUCUGCUAUCUUUGUCUUGUAUGACUAGUCAUCCAUGGGUCUUCCUAAAUGCAUCACGGGCUGACCAAUGUGGCACAGGACGGAACAGAACGAAGGGCCUCACCUCGACCCACCGGACCUCACGCGGUGACACGCCCUCUGCCCCCACGUCUCAUUAUCUUCUCACACCCAAACAUACCAACACAAACACCACACACACAGAAAAUUUCUCCUGGUGCCUCUAUUCCCUCCCCCCCAUCAUAUUCGUCUCUCUCUCUCUCUAGACCACUCUCAUUUCUCGUGAUAUCUCUCCCACGCCCCGCCCCCCCUGUCGGCCCCUCUAUCCAUGCCUCUCUCGAAUACGUAAUACACACACAUACCUCUCUAGGCCCCGCCAAAUGCAUCAACUACACAUUCACACAUGUUACAUCACAUACCCCAUUGAUCUAAAAAGCCCUCUCUUCACGUUUAUUUCGCAUACAACAUUCCUUUUGAAUAAAGUGUGGCCAAAAAAUUAUUUUAGAGUUUCUACAUAUAUACAACAUUACAAAGUUAUAUGGAGGAGUACGAAUGCUAAUUUGCAUUGCAUGGUGCCCACAAUGAUAUUUAUUCCGCACUGUGAAUUUGUAUAUUUUUAUACUAUAUACAAAGUUAGUCAUAAUAAAGAGAAACGAAGAGCAUCUCUCUCUCCAUCGCAUACCCCCCCUGUACGCCCCUUUCACGUAUGCACACAAAACUAUCUCCAGGUCCUCUAAAAGUAAGCCCCUAGAAAAUUCACGCAUGUUUCAUCUUUCUCUCGCGAUAUAUGCAAUGACGAUCAUUGUAUUUGAAGCGAAAGCACGAUACAUACAUUGGACUUCAGAAUCCACUCAUUACGGUCACCAUUUACGUUUAGUGGUUAUUAUGCAGUCACGGGCUCACCGUACAACUCUGUAUUUGCUCAUGACAUGACUAGUUGACCAGUUAAACGCUCCACGUGGCACCUCUAGUGUUGCAUCACAUUAUCUCACUACCAUCGUGCCCACCUGUCGACUUGUAUCUACUCUACAUCUACACUCUUAUAAAAUACAUAAAAUACACUCUUAUGAAAAAUAGAGUUGGUGAUGAUGGUGUGCCUGCCAUCCUGCAAUAUAGGUCGUCCAAUUUAUAUCUGACGGAUAGGAAAGAAACUAUGGCAAUUUUGCAAAAAGGUACCCACACACCUCUCCACAUUUGCAAAUAAGGCCUUCCCUCAUUCAUCCUUUUCUCUCACAAGAUAAACAAGUCAUACAAAUGCAUCUUGAUGUUACAUGCAACGCACGGGCAUCUUGCUAGUAAGAAUGAAAACAAACGACAAAAAAUAUUUGGAUGGUGGUUCGAAGUCAUGACCGCAGGCACAGCGGACAAGGUGGCCUUGUAUUGGUAUGCUGAGUCGUCUGUUUUAACACACAGGAGCUGGUGUGGUGAUUAUACACACACGCACGCAUGCACACGAACUGCAUCCAUGCAACACUCACACAAACACAUGCACCCAUGCACGCGCGCAACACUCACGCGUACACACUCAGCCACGCACGCACGCAUGCAACACUCACACGCACACACGCACGCAUGCAUGCACACACCAGUACACCACACGACCAACACACACUCUCAUGCUCAAGUGCUCAACCUACACGUGCAUGCGCACACAUCAGGCCUGACAGACACAUACACAACCAGGUGAUUCCCGCGCACAGGUUGGAGCCUUGUCGCGCCUGCGUAAAUUUGUGUUUAUCUGACCUUUUGCCUAUGCGAACUGACAGGUGGGACCCACAACGAACAUGGUCAAUUUAACUAGUCAACAUGGCGCCACGCGGACUAUUUGGCCGGUCAACAAAGUGCAAUCCGAUGCUAAGCUGUGAGCAAGUGACCGUAUAGUCACCACAAAACGUAUAUAGUGACCGUAAUCAGCUUAUUCUGAAGGUCGGUGACCGUAUUAUGCUUUUCUCUCUGUAGGCCCUCCAAAACUACAUCUCUACACGUUCUCGCAUGUUACAUCUAACAACUAUGCAAUACAGCACUACUACUACACUCUAACACAAUAAAUCAUAUGUGUUUUAGUUUUACUAGAUAUCAUACUGUUACUUAUAAUUAUUCAGUUUGCAUACAUUAAAAUUGCCUUUGAAAUGUAUGGCCAGUAUCAUCUACCGCGCGGGAAAAAUCCCACCCUUUCCUGUUUAAUCGGAUUCGUAUCAAUGGAUCGUGAGAAACAACAAAACUAUAGUACUAUACAGUACAAGUGACAUUUCACUGGGCCGUCGUGUCGUCUACUCCUCCGUCGUAAGAGUGGAGCGCUCGCUUUCAUAAAUCUUCUAGUCCCUUUCACCGACAUGUGGGACAUCAAGCUAACGGGUCCACGUGCCAUACCGGAAUACAGUGCAGAGCAGCCGAGGUGAAGCACCCCAGUCAUGGCGCCAGCGUAGUAAUGAGCAAUGAGGCGUCAAAUCACAAAGAUGCACCUUUCCCACAGUUAAGUUGGAGGGACGAAGCAACCAUCAUUUCACUCGUUGCUGAAUCCGCUUCUCCCUCAUCUUCUUCAACUUAACCACGUGUUGCUUCUGCCGUUGUUCUGCCUCAUGUGGGACGCGAAUCGGCUUGGUAAAGCACUGACACGUGGGACCGCAUGUUAGCAAACCGCCAGGACAACGUCCUCCGAAAAUAAGAAGCCUAAUCCUAGACUUACAAAGGGCUACGUAGCUGCUACAUAUACUUUCCAUCUAAUCUAUGUAUGCCCCCCUGUUUUUCAGGUGGGGUGGGCCUAAUCUUCUCCUUUAAUCCAAUCAAAUAGUCCCACAUCACAUCAGUUCGUAACUUUACGUAAACCAUUAUGUGGAUGUAGCAUUGCUCAAAUAAGAAACCUCCCCCGCCAUCCGUGCGGAAAAAUCACCUCCUUUUUACUAAUCUCGAUUCUAUAAUUUUUUAGAUCAAUAUAAUUGAGAUUUUUAUAGAUAGCACACAUGAGCAAAACCAAGUGGUACGGUUAAGGGCAUCCACAAUGUGUAGCCAAAUGUGAAAAUAGCUUUUGGCAUCGUGGGAACCAUUGUGGACGGUGUUGCCAAAGCCAAAAAGAUGGAACCGAAGCUCCCUGAUUGAUUGAUUGAAGGAAUAGAAAAAUGCAAUGUCUCUCCUCUUUCUCCCAUGCUUGGACGCAUGUAGUACAUUAUAGAGCACAGAGUCUACUCCCCUGUCCCUUCUAUCACAAAUCACAAAGCAGUGAGGCGUCAAAUCACAAAAUCACGGACGAAGCAACCAUCAUUUCACUCUUCGCUGACUCCGCUUCUCCAUCAUCUUCUUCAAGAAGCCAUCUCACUGCAUUAGUUAUAGUAGUACUAGUAAAGGACUUCCUGGAUGCAAAUAAGGCGGUUGUCUCGGCUUGCAGGCGGCACUUGCGAACGACUUAUCGUGGUCUCCCUCAAUGGUGUUCUCCGUCGAACGCACUUCGCGAAACCACCAAAAAAAAUAUUGUCGACGUCACCGCAAUGGGGAAGAAAGUCAAAUAUAGUUACUACCUCCAUUUUUUUGUACACAAGGCCAGUAUAUCAAAAUUACAAUUUGCAAAGGGCCACUAACACUAAUCGAGGCAAAAUUGAUGAGGUUAGCAACCAAGUACAUUAAUAUCCCCUGCAUGCAUGCGGAAGUGAGAAGGUUGGUUUGCAUGGCGCUGCAUUAAUCAAGCGAUGAGGAGUGAGAUGGUUAGCUCUUUGGUCUUUGGAGAAAAAAAUACGGAUUAAUUGACACGUGAAACGAGGAUUUGUAUCGAUUAAAUCCCGCGAAGGAAAACCCAGCCUUUCUUUUUUAACACUAGUACUCCUAGUACGUACGUAGUUCUCCUGUUUGGGUCUAGGCCUUGCUUUGCAAAACUUCGCCACACAUUUUUUCCAAGCUUGCCUAAAGUUUUCAAAAUGAGAAGGAGGUACACUUGCGCACGGCUAUCGCGGUCGCACCGCACCCUCACACGGUCGCUCCUGCACGCCCCGGUCGCACCGCACCCUCACACGGUCGCUCCUGCACGCCGCAAACCCAACCAAGGGAACGCACCCUCACUGACACAUGAUGUCGCAUGUGAACACACCAAACUCAGCCAUCCUAUCGCUGACACAUAAUUUUCGUUCAUAGAGUAUGUUUAUCCAACCGCAUGUUGAGGAGUAUCCGUACGACCCGUGCGGUGGUCUGUUGGGGAAGAAGAAGAGGUGAGGAAGAAGGAAAGAAGGGUUAGGAGACGUAGGAUAUUCAUCCAACCGCCUGAAAUGGUAGACUGACCCAAGUCAAGCGACUUGCAUAACAAAUAUGUUUUUACACAGCAAAAGAUCCAUAAAAACAACAACAUAAAGAAAAACUAUCACUGCUCGCAGAAAGAGAUGACCUCGUCGUCUUUGGCUGCCGGUGCGAACCAACCAUCGCUGCCGACGUGUGUCUCCGCACCGUGGUUGUCCUCGGCCUCUUGCUACUUGUUCAAGCGGAGCAUGCGGGUGCUCUACACGGACGAGAGCACAACCCGGUUGAAGUUGAGGACGUCCGGUUCCGCCUGCAGGAGGGCCUCAAUGGCAGCGGCAUCCGCGCGCUCCGUGUCGAGUCGAGCCUCCGUCGCCCGGUUCAAGUCCAGGAUGUCCGGUUCUGCCUGCAGGAGGGCGUCGAUGAGAGCGGUAUCCACGCGCUCUGUGUCGAGUCGAGUCUCUGCCGCCCGGUUCAAGUCCAGGACGUCCGGUUCCGCCUGCAGGAGGGCCUCGAUGGCAGCGGCAUCCGCGCGCUCCGCCUCAAGUUGAGCCUCCGCCGCCUGGUUCACAUCCACGACAUCCGGUUCCACCUGCAGGAGAGCCUCGAUGGCAGCGGCAUGCGCGCGCUCCGCGUCGAGUUAAGCCUCUGCCUCCCGGCCCUCCUUUAGUAUCGCCAUGUUGAACCGCUGGUCCGCCUGCACCAUGGGGGACUCGGACGCCGGCACGAAGUCGACGUCCAUCGUCUCAUACCCAUCAGGGGCCUUCUGCAUCGUGACCUCCGCCAUGAACAUUGGAUCGGCUUCCUCCUCCUCGUAGCUUGGCUCCAGAGAACUCGAGGAUUGGCCCACCGCAAAGCGAGCUUGGGAACGGAGGUCUGUGGCGCCGACCGCCACCGCGAUUUUUGCGCGGCGCUCCGGCGUCAGCAUCUUGUAGUAAGUGACCUUGCGGCGCAUCAUGGCUUUGCGGCGAACUAGGGGACGCUUGAUGCGGGCUAAGGGAUCGAAAGGUGGGGGAAUGGGCUGGAGAUUUGGUGUGGUUUCAGGGCAGUGGCUGGCAUAGGCCGAGCAGCGAAGGUUCUGGUGUGAAUAGUGGUUCCGGUGACGACCGGUCAAUCGUUCUGACUGUACAUCGCUCUUGUCGCGUUCGCAUUGCAGCCCGGCACGCUAGACCCUCCACAUCGCUCACCGAAUGGAACGCGCUUCGUCUUGCGUUUUCGCUCGCUUACCGCAGUUGAGAGCAAACCGACGUCCNNNNNNNNNNNNNNNNNNNNNNNNNNNNNNNNNNNNNNNNNNNNNNNNNNNNNNNNNNNNNNNNNNNNNNNNNNNNNNNNNNNNNNNNNNNNNNNNNNNNNNNNNNNNNNNNNNNNNNNNNNNNNNNNNNNNNNNNNNNNNNNNNNNNNNNNNNNNNNNNNNNNNNNNNNNNNNNNNNNNNNNNNNNNNNNNNNNNNNNNNNNNNNNNNNNNNNNNNNNNNNNNNNNNNNNNNNNNNNNNNNNNNNNNNNNNNNNNNNNNNNNNNNNNNNNNNNNNNNNNNNNNNNNNNNUCAUUUAUUAUACCACCACUCCCUCCGUUUUAUGCGGAGUAAAUAAAAACAGAGGGAGUAUACUAUGGAUGAGGAUCCCCUGACGUGGCCGAACCCAUUGAGUAACUGACAUGCAGGGCCUAGCAAGCAUGGGGUCCGCCAGUAGGUGACCGAAAGGGAGGGUAAGGCAGGGAUACCUACGUCAGAGGAUCCACUUCCACUAUACUACUUUGACCAAAUGUUAGAGUAAUAAUAUAUGACAUGCAACUUACACAAAUGUUAGAGUAAUAAUAUAUGACAUGCAACUUACACAAAGCAUACAGGGUCUAAUGCAUUUUUUUAGGCUAACUUUGACCAAAUGUUAGAGUAAUAAUAUAUGACAUGCAACUUACAUAAAGCAUGCGGUCAAAUUCGUAUGUGAAAGGAGUUUCUAAUGAUAUAAUUUUCACAUUAUACAUCUCAUGCACUAUUAAUCUUGUCAAUAGUCAAAUUGGAAACCAUCUCGAGUACAAAUCUAGGAGUACGUACGAAUCUAACAAUAUUGAUUGGGCGUUGUUGAAUGUUGAUACCUUUUUGAUCAAAGUAGAUAUACUUUGACUACACAUAAAACUUAUAUGUAAACUAGAAAGUAUAGGAUGGAGUAUAUUGUACAUUCAAAAACGAAAUGAACAUUGAAUACCCUUUAUAUAUGAUUUGCGGAUGCUAUGAUCACCGGUUCAAAAUUUUGAAUCCGCCUUAGGUAUCACGUGCCCCCACUCGUUCCCUCUCGAUUUCAUCUCAGGGUCCGGAGAUCUAUUGAAAGAGGACUAGGGUGGGUACAUGCGAAUGAUACUCGGCGGAAUGUUCAAAUGAGGCAUGCGGGAGGAUGGACUCGACUGGAGGGCGACAUGAUCGAUGGAGAAGAGGGUUGGAGAGGAAUGAGAAAUAAGCAAACACCACAUGAUUAUACUUGAACGGCUCAAAUAAACAAUAAGUUGUCUCGCUUGGCCUACAUAGUGAAAGGCCUAAUGCGCAAUGCGGAGCACUGACGCUCGAAUGUGGCCGGGAAAACAGGGAAACAGACAUGUGGGGCACACCCGUCGGGACGACAUAGUGCAGACUAGUCCAAUGGAGGAGCUGGCCCACGACCUCCUCGCCACCGACAACCGUUCAUGUGGGUCGUUGGGGCCAACAACGGGGCGCAGCUCCAGCACCACCUCUGGACACGGCGACCGCGGUGAGCGACACACUCAUAUCGUCGCUAGACACGAUCGGUUUCAGUUUGCCGAGGGUGGCGUUAGUGCUGUGGCACGACCAAUGGUAUGUUUGGUUUGUGCCCAAGGUUGCCCCAUCAAAGCAUUGGGUAGCCAAAAUUUUGGUUGAGGUAUUGGUUGCCCAUGAUCUGACCGACAUUGGCAAUAAAAAUGAACUUGAGUUGGCUAGAGUUCAUUGGCAUGCCAAAGAAAUGGCAACCAUCCAAACAAAGACCAAUCUUUGGGUCAUGACCAAAAUUUUGGUUGAGGUAUUGGUUGCCCAUGAUUUGGCCGACAUUGGGAAGAAAAAUGAACUAGAGUUGGCUAGAGUUCAUUGGCAUGCCAAAAAAUGGCAACCAUCCAAACAAAGACCAAUCUUUUGGUCAUGACCAAAAUUUUGGCAAGGUGCACUUUGGCCACAAUCCAAACACACCCCAACACCCGGCUCGCCGAGGAUGCACGGGGCGCCGCGACGCGUCCGCGGAGUGGUGUAGCGCGGCCAACUGCAUCCUCUGGACCUGAGACCGUGCCAGGUCGUCUUACUUUUCCAAUGACAUGCGGGGAUCGCAUGUGAGAAAAGGGCAUCUCCAACGUUGCCACGACCGCAGCUGACUACCCUGGCACACCAAAACCCUCGUCCCUCGCGCCAUCGCGCGCUGCGUUCCCAGCCAGCGCCAACUGCCCGCAUUCAUGCCGUCCGUUCGUAUGUCGUCAUUAAGAGGCUCGGUGCCUGCAGAACCAACUCCGGUGACUUAAUGACGCACCCGGACGCUUGUCCUCACCGGAAUGCGCUACUUAAAGCGGCAACGCCCAGCUAACCUCCACACCAUAGCGCAUCGUCCUCCUACCUGGAACCACAUCCGCCAUGACCGCAAGCGCGAACGCUCUGCGGGAGAGCUUGUCUUCGGGGAUGGAGCUCGAGGUCGCCGCCCUCGCUCAAGUCACCGCACAAGCGGUGGCCACGCUGGCGGCCGACGACGGGAGCACCAUUAGCCACGUGUCCUACUUUCCGCCGUCCAACGUCCGGCACCGCCGAGGUCGGGGACUCCUCCGAGGAUGAGUAGGGCAUGGGAGGCGGCAGGGCAUGGUGUGCCAACUGGCCGGUCCGUCUCCCGUGUCCUACUUUUCCUUGCCGGAGACAGCACCUUCACUUCACGGGUCUUGAACCCCGCCCCGUACAUGGAGAUCACAGAUGGAGGACGUCGGUCGCCGCCGUAGAAUAGGUUUAGGGUCGGGUUUCUUUUAUUUUUUUGUCCUAUAAAAGUUCGAAAUGUAAUGAAAAUCUGCCGUGUUUGCAUUAAUCUCGGUCGGUGUAUAUGAACUUUCACAAUAAUAUACAUAUUGUAGGAGUACUAGCAAGAUGCCCGUGCGUUGCACGGAAGAUCAAGAUCUUGUGGGAGAAAAGGAUGAAUGAGGGAAAGCCUUAUCUGCAAAUGUGGAGAGGAGUGCGGGUAAAUUGUCAUAGUUUCCUUCCUAUCCGUUAGAUAUAGAUCGGACGACCUAUAUUGCAGGAUCGGACACAUCUUUAUACAUCUACGGGAACCUACAAAAGGGUUAACGUAAAUUGCCUCUCUCUCUCUCUCUCUCCUCCCCUGAUUUUCAUGGUGGUGGGCCCCUCCCUCCCCCCAAUCUACAAUCAACAGCUCACACGUUUCACAUUACGUUAAUUACGUAACUGGGAUUACGUAGGUGUAGCAUUACUCGUCCUAAAAAACCCAACUAAGCCAACCUCCCAGCAUAUCGCGCGGGAAAAGACCUGGUCGCGCCGUUUUAGUCGGGAUUACCGGAUUACUAGUAGUAGUAUCGAUGGAUCGCGCGAAGCAACAGAUUUUUUUUGAGGGGGCGAAGCACCUAGUUUAAAAGGAAAAAAUGAUGUACACUCACAACACUCCUGUCGCAGUCGCAUUGCACCCCACACACGUUCGGUCCUGCACACGGCUCACGCAAACAGAACGCGCUUUGACUUGCCUCUUCACUGACACAUGGGACUGCACUUGGAGAAAUCGACCAUGCUCCAAACUCCCCCCACCCACCGCGCGAAACCCCCCGCCCCCACACACACACCAAAAAAUUCCCCCCAAAUCCGAUUCAAUCGCCCUUCGGGCAACUAGCCAAUAAUAUUCCCCAAACCUCCCUCCCCCCUGUCCCCCUCCACUCCAUUCGCUCCGCCAAAGCCGCCCUCCCCGCCGCACUGAUACGUUGGUGCCGCGGUUCAGCGAUCCUCUCGCUCCCACAGUACACUCUCGUAGACUGUCGUCCUCUAGCCGUGCCGCCACCUCUGGCUACGUUCUUGUGGAGGCGCACGGCGGUCAGCGCCGCCACCGCUGGCGACGUUCGUGUGGAGACGCACGAUGGUCAGCUUCUCCCAUGGUACGCGCAUUCUAGACUGAGGCCCCGUUCAUGUCGGUGUAGCGCUGAAUGUUAGCUGAUAGACACUGUUAAUCUCACUGUUUACCGAAGUAGUUUACUAUCAAUAUGCUCUGCUUAAGAAGCUUCCUUGCCCUGUUCUGCACUCAAUCUGCUUAGCUGAGAUGGCAUGCCAAGGCCGAUUAGUUGCUAAAAUAUCCUGCCAUAUAUUUAUUGUGACGUAUAUUGCCAUGGUCUAGUAGCCAAUCUGUUAGCUGAAAUAACUCUACACUGUUUUAUACUCGAUCUUUAUUGCUGCGAUGACCUUCGAUAGUUCGAUGGAUGUGUGCUCGGCCUCAUUGACUGCUGAAACAGCCUGCCAUAAUUUGGCACUCAAAUCUGUUUGCUGAAUUAGCUUUACAUAUAUUUUGUUACUUAGAUCUGCUCGUCCAAAUAUCUUGCCAUAGCUUUAGACAUCGACCUAGGUAUUUUUUUUCUGGACUUCAUAAAAAAGCAUAUAUGUUUUUCCCGUAAUAUCUAGUAGAAGAACUAAUUUGUAUGUCUAACAGAUGGACAGAACUUGGAUCACUUCUGCUCGAAGAUUCUCCACUGCAUAUGUCGAGGGAGUUGAAAACUUCAUGAACUUUAUCAGAGCUGAGUACGGUGGUCCGAAAUCAGAUGUGCUCUGCCCGUGUAGCAGUUGUAUGAAUUCAGUUACAAGACCCCAGUCAACUGUGCAAAAUCAUCUACACUUGUAUGGGAUGUCAGUCACAUAUACUAGGUGGGUUCAUCAUGGUGAAGCUGUGAACAUCAAUGUUAUUGACUACGUGGAAGCAGCAGAUCACCAUCUUGAUCUGCCUGAUGCUCAGGUGGAAGAGGAGGAGGAGGUGGUGGUGGCGGAGCCAAUGAGUUUGACCAACAUUGAAACAAUGCUACGAAAUGCUCGUGUAUUCCAUGAACUCUCACCUGCAGAAGAAAAACGGUGGGCCCGCAUGUUGGAACAAUGCAACGUUGCUGUCACCCCAGGAAAUAAGCUGUCAGUAUUCUCAGCUAUGGUCACCUUUCUUCAGGUGAAGACAUCUGAGCAGAUGACCAACAAAUCAUUCGAUGUGAUGUUGGCUGCUUUCCGCAAAUCUUUCCCAGAUGCGUCUGAGCUGCCACACACAUACAGUAAUAUGAAGAAUUUCCUUCGUGCAGUUGGAAUUGGAUAUGAUAUGAUCCAUGUUUGUAAGAAUAAUUGUGUUCUGUUCCGGAAGGAUUAUGCCAACUUAAGUGAAUGCCCGAAAUGCAAAUCAUCAAGAUGGAAAGAUGGCAAUGCUGUGAAGAGGAUUCCUCGUAAUGUUCUGAGACAUUUUCCAAUUAUACCAAGAUUGCAGAGGUUGUUUCAUGAUGCUGAAACAAGAGAGGAUGUACUGUGGCAUUCUAGGAACCAGGAGUACAGAGAUCAGAAUGUAAUGAGCCAUCCAUCUCAUGGUAGUGAGUGGAAAAGCUUCAAUGAUAAACACAAAGAGUUUGUUGCUGACCCAAGAAACAUUAGACUUGGCUUAGCUUCAGAUGGAUUUAACACAUUUGGCCACCAGAGCGCCACAUAUAGCAUGUGGCUAGUGCUUGUUAUCCCUUACAACAUGCCUCCAAAUGUCUGCACCAAAGAAUCAAACUACAUGAUGGCCUUGCUCAUCCCAGGUCCAAAAAGUCCUGGAAAGGAUUUUGAUUUGUUCAUGGAGCCUCUUGUGGAGGAACUUCAAUAGCUAUGGAAGGGUGUUCUCACUCGAGACCUAUAUAGCAGCCCACCAGCUGAUUUCUUUCUGCGUGCUGUUAUAAUUUGGUGCAUCCAUGAUUAUCCGGCUUUGGGCACUAUGUCAGGGCGAACGACACAUGGUUACAAUGCAUGUGUUCGCUGUGACUGGAAUCCGCUGUCAUACGCAAUACUUAGCAAGAUCUGUUACAUUGGACACUGCCGUUUCCUUGCCAAGGACAAGCCGCAUCCUAGAAAAUACUGAAGACAUGUGUUCAAUGCAAAGCAUGAAAACCGUGAUGCGCCAAAGAGGCUCACCGCCGAUGAGUUGCAAGUGGAAUUAGAGAAGGUCAGGCAUAUUACACCAGGAAACCAUCCUGGUAAUGGUAGCGGGAAAAGGAAGCGUGGCAGGGUAGAAGAGAGAUUAUUGUUUACCCGCAGGUCCACUUUGUGGGACUUGGAGUAUUGGAAAGAUUUGGAUCUAAGGCAUAAUCUUGAUGUGAUGCACAUCGAGAAAAAUAUAUGUGACAGCAUUAUCGGCACACUUCUUAAUAUUGAAGGCAAGACGAAAGAUACCUUAAAAUCUAGGAUUGAUUUGACACACCUGGGUAUCAGAAAGGAUUUGCAGGUGCAAGAUGAAGGUAAACCACGGGAUAUGGCACCAGCUGUGUACGUCUUGGACAAGGUAAAAAGAAAAGAAUUCUGCGAGGUCCUGUCACGUGUGAGAUUCCCACAUAGAUUUGCUUCCAACCCUGAAAGGAGAGUCAGUGCAGAUGGAAACAAGGUACAAGGGUUGAAAACUCAUGACUGCCACGUCCUACUUCAAAGGGUUUUACCUGUUAUCCUUAGAGGAUUGGGCCGCCCUGACUUAUACAGAGUAGUUGCAGAGUUGGGACAGUUCUUCAGGGAACUCUGUAGUAGGAAUAUCAGGAUAGAUGCUUUGGAGCGUCUUAGAGAAAAUAUACCAACUAUCCUAUGCGACCUUGAGAAGAUAUAUCCUCCAGCCUUCUUUGAUGUGAUGGUGCAUUUGGCUGUUCAUCUACCUGAUGAGGCACUACUUAGAGGUCCAGUACAGUAUGACUGGAUGUACCCUAUUGAAAGGUGGCUAGGCACUUUCAAGGGCUAUGUUAGGAACAGAGCUAGACCCGAGGGUUCCAUUGCAGAGGCCUACAUUGCUACAGAAGCGUUGACAUUCUACUCAAAAUACAUUGAAACAGCUGAUCAGCUUAGCAAAGAGGUGGGUGAAGACAAUCCCGGGCUCAAUGUUUUCAAUUAUUCUGUUCGAGUUACAGGGAAGAGUCAACAAGAGGACAAACCUAAAGAUUUGAACAAAAUGGUUUGGUAUGUGUUGAAUAACUGUCCUGAGAUACUACCUUAUAUCAAGUAAGUGCAGUACUGCAGCUUAUACAUCGUAAUCUACUAAACUUGCAGCACAUUCUUAUAUAUUUAGAUGUUUGACGCGAUCACUAUGUUGUGCAGCAUCUACAAAGAGGAGUUACUGCCGCAAAAUCCAAGAAACAUUGACAAACUGGUUAUGGCGGGAUUUGCGAAAUGGUUCAAGAACCAUGUAAUCUUUUGAAGUGCACUGUCAGUUUUUUAAUAUAUUGAGUACAUAAGAUGAUCAGCUUGUCUAUUUUCUAACCAUAGGUUAAGAAGAUGCGGGAGGAUGGACAGGCAGUUGAUGAUGCCCUUUACUCACUAGCAAUGGGUCCUGAUACUCGGGUAGACAUUAUGAAUUUUGCGUUGUUGGAGAUGUGCGCUACAACACCUUUGCACGAGAUGAAGGCAGGAAGACACAAAACAGUGCCAUCAUGAGCACGGAUACGUAUGACAAAGAGACAACUGAAAUGUAUGCUAACAUAAUAGACAUUAUUCAGUUGCAGUAUAUCUCCAGUUUCGAGGAUCAUCGGUGUGUGGUUCUGUUGUGCUGUCGUUGGUAUAACCUGUUUUCCAGGAUCGCAAAACCUAGAGCUGAUGAUUAUUUCAAAUCCAUCAAUGUCAAGGCGGCGUAUCAGACCAACGAGCCUUUUAUUUUGGCAAAUCAAGCAACACAUAUAUUUUUCUUGGCAGACACAUUUGCACGUAGCGAUGACUGGAGAGUAUUGCAAAGGUUUGAGCAGAGGAAUUCGUUUAAUGAAGUUGCACAACAAGAUGAUGCUUACACUGCUCCUGAUGUACAAGAUAACAUAGAUGUUCCUAAUAUCUUUGAGAACCAUCACGUCAAUGACGCCGGCGAAAAGAUUGCCUGUCGUGCUGUGGACAUACAAGAGUUGAUCAAGAAGAAGCCAACGUUCGAGGACGUUGAGGACAAAGAAGAAGAUGACACCGUGGGGAAUUACGAUUCAGACUAAUACACAUGACGAAGAUGUUGACACUGCUGCUGCAGAUGAUGAUUACAUUGCUUUUGUCGUAUUUGCCUGUUAGAAGACGUUUUUUUAUCUACUAUGUGAAAUUGUGUUUGCUAUGACAACUGAAACCUGAUGAAUAUGUUGUUUAGUAUUUUGCUGUGAGAACAUCACUUGUUAUGUAUGCUGAUUUGUGUUUGGUGAUUGUAUGACAACUAAAACAUGAUGACAUUGUUGUUUAGUUGUACUCAUAUUUGGCUGUGAAACUUGAAUUUGAUGACAUAGUUUGCUGUUGGACUGCAAUUUGCUCGACAUCUUCGAAUGAGAACAAAGCUGACCUGACAGGGCCUCUGGUAUUUAUUUAUUUAUAUGAGCAAAAGGGGAUACCCCCACAUUUCCGUUAAUAGAAAUUAUUGGAUGUUCACAACACUACGCCCAGCCUGCUACACAGGUUUCAUUCAUUACUAGUUUCAGCAAAGUGCUCAUGUCGUAGCCACUGAAUACAUCACGAGUGCUACAUACACUGCAAAUAAAGAGACAAUCAUCCUACAGAGCACAUCGAUUUUGCCCAUUAUCUUCACAAGCUCUUUUAUCUCCUCAUUGCUGUCAAGGCCGUUCAGUAGCUGUUGCUUGGCCAUGAUCAGAGGAACUGCAUCUUCCUCUUCUGCCGUUCCUUCAGUUACUGAUCAGUUGUAGGUACAGUGGGGUUUUAACGCCCCAUUCUGUGAGUGUCGUGUUCUCCACAGGGACUAGACGACGGCAACGAUGCUCGGCUAAAGCUAGGUGACAGAGUUCAGAUGAUGAUUGCGAGGAAAUAUAGACCUAAACUAACCAAAGUCGACGACAAAGAAAAUGAAAAUAAGCAAAAGGGAGAUCCAGAUUUUACUCAUUGUCUUUUUGGUAUUUUUGUAAUGCUUGAGAAGUUAAAAUACUAAUACGAGUAUACAUCAAUGACAAGAGAAGUGGAAGGACAUGAACAUAACAUGACAAGGACACAUUACUAUCAAACAUAAACAAAGGGAAGAAGCGAGAAUAUAUGACAAAAUAUAAUUGUAUCAAAUCAAACACACACACACACACAUUUAUAUAUCACAGGUACAUAGCUAAUACAGGGACUACAGAACACACAAAACCACACAUAUGCGAACAAGAUACUACACCACGGUUCAGGUUAACAAGAGACAACAGAAACGAAAUCUUACAAGCCACAAGAUUAGUACCCACAGAACAACACAAUAGUAUUUAACAACUAAAAAUUACUGGUAGAAAUUAACUAGUACAGCAAGAAGAAAUACACAGGGUGAACACACAUAUAUGCUGACAGAACACGUAUUACGAAAGUAACAAAAUAUUGCAUAUUAGUUAGUUCCCAAAGCAACAAGAAAUCCACUAUUCAGAACAUAGAAUUUAUGACAUGAUAUUUAACAAGUACGAACUGAGCAAACUAGUUGGUUGCAAACACUUAACAAAAUCUGAACCUUACAAGUACUACACAUCUCCUAUUACAGAAAAUUCAGAAAGAGAGAUAAGCAGCGACAAGAUAGAAGAAGAAGAGAAGCAGUAGGAGAUUGAGGAAGGAGCAGCAGCAAGUUCGUGGGGGAAGGAGGAGCAGCAAAAGGUUCUGAGAAGAUACAGGAAGCAGUAAGGUAGGUGAAGGGAGCAGGAAGUCGCAAGAAGAAGCAGCAGCAACGCGGGGAUGUAGAGAGGAGAAGGAGGAGCAGGGGCGCAACAAGAAGGGAGCAGCAGCGGGGCUUGGAGAAGAAGCAGUAGAAGCAACAGCAAGGCGAGGGAAGAAGGAGCAGCAGCAAGGAAACUCUCGCGCGGAGGUGCUCAGUGGUGCGGUGGUGAUGGUGGCACGGUGAAGCGGGGAGUGGUGGUGAUGGAUGGCGGCGGUGUGGAGCGUGUGGAGGUGCUGGGUGGCGCGCCGCCACGCCAGCCUGGCCGCGGCGGCGGCCGGAGAUGGAAGAAGAAGUGGUGAGGGAGAGAGAUGGAGAUGCCAGACCCGAUGGGGAUCGGCAGCCUCUAGGGAUUUUGACCCCUCCUCUGAUCUGCCACUUUGCAAUUUUGGCCCUUCUCCUUUUCUUCUUUCUUCACAAGAAGGUCCCUUUCUUCUUUAACUUGUCCCCUGGAGCAUCAUUUCUUCACACACAAGUCCCUCUGUCUUUCUUCUUUCUUUUCACUUGACCGGUUCCCUUAACCACUAGUCUGGAUCUUGAAGUUUAUAGUGCCUUUGCGCACUUUUCUACAAAAGAAACAAAUGACUAGUAAAUGAUUCUUUAUAUGAUUAUCAUUCACAAAUUCAACAAUUCAUAGCAAGAAAUGAAUGAAUAAAACUCAAUAAACCACAUAUUUGAUUGCCAGAAGAUGUAUGUGAAAUGUGUUGAUCAAGUUCCCCCACACUUAAAUCUUUGCUUGUCCUCAAACAAAGGUAGAUGACAAGAGCAAGAAUAUGAACAGUGAGCUGAGUAAAGGAUGUCCUGGUAAAAUAGAUCUCCAAACAAUGCAUGCUUUGGACUUAGCUAGUGAAAAUUGAUGGUUAAGAGUGCUACAAAGGAGUAGGAUACUAGUAAGCAUGACCAUUUUACAAUGAUAAAAGAGGAUCAACAAGUUUAAAUGAUGACUACGCCAAAUGGUUCCUAAAGAGAGCAUGAUCCCGAGAACAAAAAGAACUGGAAUUAAAUCUCUUAUUUGCAGAAAUAAAAUUUUGUGGUUGAACCACUUAUUGAAUUUGAAGAAAGUAAUGAUAAUAUUUUAUCAGUCUUACCAAAGGAACAUACCACCGAUCCCGAGAACAUGGUAUACACCUGGCUCGACCAAUCAUUAGUUUUUUUUGUUUUUCUCCCCAAAGGAAUAUACCACCGAUCCCGAGAACAUGGUAUACACCUGGUUCGACAAUUACAUUUUUAUUUAUUUAUUACUGUCCAAGCUACCAGAUUUCACAUGCCACCGAUCUAGGGAACAUGACAUGCUACUGUAGGUAGACCAGACUUAUUUAUUCAUUAUUAGCUAUCUUAAAUGAACAACGCAUAAGCACAAAAACAGGAAUCAUCACUUCUCCAUGUCUGGUUCACAUGCUACCGAUCCAGGGAACAUAGCAUGCUAAUCCAUAGUGGUUAGGUGAUUGCUCUCAAUGGGAACACACUUAGCACAAAUUCAGCAUCUAAACAUGGUGAUCUAGGUGUAUCAUAGUAAAUGCAAAAAAUGAUUAAGUUUUCUAGUGCACUAGGGAUUUGAGCACUCAAAACUAAUAGCUUCCACUACUUUCAGCAAAGCAAGCAUUGUAUAGAUCACUAGUUUACAAGGCAUUCAACACUCAGUUCACAUAUUCACAUCAAUCACCCUAUGUCGAAGGUAAAAUUCAGUGGGACGAUAUUUAAGAAAUGGCUCAAGCAACCCAACUAGCAAUUGAUUUCAGCUUGUAUCAAUAGAUGAUAUAUUCAGAUUGGGGUCAUGAAACAGCUCACCGGGCUUUAUGAAGUAGAACUCGCUCGAUCAUCUCACAUCCUCUUGCAUCGUGACUCCUCUCCUUUUGCUUCUCUAUCCUCGUGCAUGCUCCAGCUUUUCUCUUCCUUGUAUGUGCCCAUUGCUUCUCCUCUUCACCAUGCUCUAAAUCCAUCAGGGUCCCAAGGAAUGUCACCUCGAACCUGGUCAGCAUGUAGUGAACGGUGCAGUAGCAAAAACCUGAAAGAGCACUCGACAAAAGAGACCAUACAAGUGAAAGGGGUAAUGCCCUCUAAAUCAUCAAUAGAGUACCCAAUUACAUAAGCAUAGCUAUAAAGAACAUGGCGAGUAUGAUAGGAAUCAUCAAGCUCAAUACUAACAUGAGGAUGAUAUUUAUCAUUAAGCAUAGGUUUGGCAUGAGGAAAAUAAGUGUGAUCAUCAUUAAUAUGAGCAAUGCCACCAACAGUAUAUGUAUCAUCAUAUCCAAGCAAACACUUCUUCAAAUCUACUUUAACAGAUAACAUCAUGCAAUGCAAGGUAGUAGCAAACAAUUCAUAUGGACGCAUGUCAUCGAGAGGAUUAGAUAAACCUACUAUAUCAUGCUCUUGUAUGACAAUAGGAAAAUGAAUCUCAGGUUCUUCAUCUUCAACUACAUCAGCUUCUUUUACUUCUUCAUGAGUGAUAGGUAGCAGAUCUUCAUCUUGAUCACUUGGGAAUUGCAGCUCUUGAUCAUCUUGUUCCUUGUCUUCUAAUUCAUCUUCAAUCUGAGGUCUCUCUUUCUCUGGACUCUCGCUAUCUUGCUCAGCUGGGUGUGACGGUGUUGGAACCUCACAUGUAUGAAGGGGAAUCUCGGCAAGACUCAGUCAAGGAGGGAGGAGAUAGUACUUCCAGCAUUGAUGUUCUUCUGAAUUUUCCUUACUUCUUCCACUAGCUCUUUUCCACUCUUGAUCUUCUUCAUUUCCUCUAGUAUCACCGGCCUAAUUGGAUCAUCCUCGGCACUCCAAGUGAACUCGAGACUCAAAAGUGUGAGCUUGUCUAUGUCAUCGAACUCAUCUUGUGUGGGCACUUGCACAUGAGAUUGCACGAUAGGUGCUGGAAUUGUUGGUUGACCAAAUGGAGGACCAUUUAACUCCAUUGGCAACAUCUCCUGGUGCUGAGGCAUAUGAGUAGGAGGUGAAUAAAAUUGUUGUGGUGCAUAGUUGUGGCUCUCCUCAUUGUACCUAAAUCCCUGCAUUGGAUAACUAGAGGCAAACGAUGAGAUCUCAGGGUUGUUGCUCCUAUAUGACAUAUUCUGGUUUUCAGGCCACCCAUGUGAGUAAUUGUUUUGGUAUGAGCUUGGCUGUGGGGCGAAGCUCAUGCCAUAACAAUCGGGAGCGUGAGAGUAACCACGCUGACAUUCGGCGGGUGAAUGGCCCUGAAAUCUACAAAUAUGGCAUGUAGGAGCAACAUAAGGAUGACCUCUAGAAUAAGGAUCAUAAGAGCUAGGCCUAUCCUCAAAAACUACUUCUCGCUGCCGAGCUAAAUCAUCUAAUCGAUGGGAAAUAUUACUUAUCAGUUCUUGAAUACUUUCCAUGCUGUUUGUAGUGUUCCUCGCAUCUCCGAGACAAUCUGAAUAAUAUGCCAUAACCAAGUAGAUAGCUCUAACCUGCAAAAGGAAAAGAAAACAAAAAGAUACUAGCUAGAACAGGGGUUAGUGAUUAGAGACAUAUCACAAAUGUAUGGCACAAACUAGAGAAAGAAGAAAAACCUAGUCUAUAGCCUAACACAAUCGCAUGACGCUAGUCCCCGGCAACGGCGCCAAAAUGAUCAGUUGUAGGUACAGUGGGUUUUUAAUGCCCCAUUCUGUGAGUGUCGUGUUCUCCACAGGGACUAGGCGACGGCAAUGAUGCUCGGCUAAAGCUAGGUGACAGAGUUCAGAUGAUGAUUGCGAGGAAAUAUAGACCUAAACUAACCAAAGUCGACAACAAAGAAAAUGAAAAUAAGCAAAAGGGAGAUUCAGAUUUUACUCAUUGUCUUUUUGGUAUUUUCGUAAUGCUUGAGAAGUUAAAAUACUAAUACGAGUAUACAUCAAUGACAAGAGAAGUGGAAGGACAUGAACAUAACAUGACAAGGACACAUUACUAUCAAACAUAAACAAAGGGAAGAAGCGAGAAUAUAUGACAAAAUAUAAUUGUAUCGAAUCAAACACACACACACACACACAUUUAUAUAUCACAGGUACAUAGCUAAUACACGUACUACAGAACACACAAAACCACACAUAUGCGAACAGGAUACUACACCACGGUUCAGGUUAACAAGAGACAACAGAAAUGAAAUCUUCCAAGCCACAAGAUUAGUACCCACAGAACAACACAACAGUAUUUAACAACUAAAAAUUACUGGUAGAAAUUAACUAGUACAGCGAGAAGAAAUACACAGGGUGAACACACAUAUAUGCUGACAGAACACAUAUUACCAAAGUAACAAAAUAUUGCAUAUUAGUUAGUUCCCAAAGCAACAAGAAAUCCACUAUUCAGAACAUAGAAUUUAGGACAUGAUAUUUAACAAGUACGAACUGAGCAAACUAGUUGGUUGCAAACACUUAUCAAAAUCUGAACCUUACAAGUACUACACAUCUCCUAUUACAGAAAAUUCAGAAAGAGAGAUAAGCAGCGGCAAGAUAGAAGAAGAAGAGAAGCAGUAGGAGAUUGAGGAAGGAGCAGCAGCAGGUUCGUGGGGGAAGGAGGAGCAGCAAAAGGUUCUGAGAAGAGACAGGGAGCAGCAAGGUAGGCGAAGGGAGCAGGAAGUCGCAAGAAGAAGCAGCAGCAACGUGGGGAUGGAGAGAGGAGAAGGAGGAGCAGGGGCGCAACAAGAAGGGAGCAGCAGCGGGGCUUGGAGAAGAAGCAGUAGAAGCAGCAGCAAGGCGAGGGAAGAAGGAGCAGCAGCAAGGAAACUCUCGCGCGGAGGUGCUCAGUGGUGCGGUGGUGAUGGUGGCACGGUGAAGCGGGGAGUGGUGGUGAUGGAUGGCGGCGGUGUGGAGCGUGUGGAGGUGCUGGGUGGCGCGCCGCCACGCCAGCCUGGCCGCGGCGGCGGCCGGAGAUGGAAGAAGAAGUGGUGAGGGAGAGAGAUGGAGAUGCCAGACCCGAUGGGGAUCGGCAGCCUCUAGGGAUUUUGACCCCUCCUCUGAUCUGCCACUUUGCAAUUUUGGCCCUUCUCCUUUUCUUCUUUCUUCACAAGAAGGUCCCUUUCUUCUUUAACUUGUCCCCUGGAGCAUCAUUUCUUCACACACAAGUCCCUCUGUCUUUCUUCUUUCUUUUCACUUGACCGGUUCCCUUAACCACUAGUCUGGAUCUUGAAGUUUAUAAUGCCUUUGCGCACUUUUCUACAAAAGAAACAAAUGACUAGUAAAUAAUUCUUUAUAUGAUUAUCAUUCACAAAUUCAACAAUUCAUAGCAAGAAAUGAAUGAAUAAAACUCAAUAAACCACAUAUUUGAUUGCCAGAAGAUGUAUGUGAAAUGUGUUGAUCAGUUACUUGUCCAACACCCCAACCUGCUGGUAUUGAGAUUCCUCGGCUAACCAAAUAAUCAGCAUAGUUGCAUUCCCCCACAUCAGCAACUUCCCAAAAAUAUAUGGCACGAAUCUUCCCUUUUUUGCACGAAUCAAAUUAGUAGAUCAUCAAUCAAGCUAUUAAAAAAUCAGCAACUGAAAGCAGCAGAACAACACUUAAACAUAUUAUUACCCCAUGAUUCGGGCAUUUGUAGAAGACUCGGCCAGGGUUGCGGAUUGUGGUUGAGACGCGACGGAUGACUUUGCGUGAUUUGCAGCAGUGGCACCACACCAACGGCAGCGGGUUGCGAUGAGCAAUCGGCUGCGGUGCGCGUGCCGGCGAGGGUGUGAUGAGACCCACAGGCGAUGGUACGGGUUGCAACUUGGCGCAUAUCUGGUUGUUGCCUAUUGAAGAGCAGGUGGACGAGCAGCCAGCAGACAUGGUUGCUGCGGCCGGAGCUUCUGAUGCUAGGCAGAGUAAGUAGAGAAGAGGAGAAGCGAACGUUGGAUAUGUCAGUUUGAUUACUUGCAGAGUUGCAUAGCACCAUAUAUAGUCAUAGUCUAGGUUUGGAUUCGAACCAGCUACAGGAGCACGUCUUUCUUUUUUCUAAAACUCGGCAACGUCUCAUUACUGGUACACUAGCUUGUUCUGUACGCCUUCCCUAGUCUUUGAUUUUCUUUCCUUUUUUUGCGAGGAAGGAAGGAGGACAAAAUUGAGAGUUCCUGGGACUCGAACCCAAGACCUCUCGGUUGAAAACCAAGGGUGCUAGUCACUUAUGUGGCGAACGUUCCCUAUGAGGAGGACGGCAGACGAACGCAUUUCCUCUCUAUAUAAAAAAGUAUGCUACUUGGUGUCCGCUUAGUCAACAAAACGAUUGUGCCAACCUUGACCAUUGGAUUGACAUUCAACGUCUGUCGCGUUUCUUCAGUCUCUUCUUCCUCGAGCCGCCAAAGCCAAACCAGCGCCGGCGGGACCGCCUGCUCCCGCCUCCCACGGUUGGCUGUGAUCUGCCCCGGCUCCUGUUCGUUCCCGUCCAAGGCCUCACCAUCGUCCUCCGCCUUGGUUCGCUCGCCGCGGCGCCGCCCUCCGGUGUUGUCAACAUGGUCAACAACCGAGAAGAAUAAGGAGAUGACUGUACAUGGUGAGGAUGACAGUAGGGACCCAGCAGCGCGCGCAGUAAUUUUGUUUUUUCGGGACGGAGAAGGGUAUCAACUGGGUUGUGCGGGACCCGUGGCCCGUCUAUCCCAGGCUUUUAUUUCAUAUGUUUAGCACAUGGCCAACCCAGUUUGUUUUUUUCCUUUCUGAAAAUUGCUAGCCAGGUAUUUUGUUUUUUGUAGAAUAACCAACGUAGGCCUACUUGCUUUUCUACGCCCUGCUGGGCCAGAAAUCUUUCAAGACGAGGAGGGAUGCAUUUUGCCCAGAAAAUGGGCUAUAAGUAAUAAGAAAUGGGCUAUAAGUAAUAAUAAAUGGGCUGUAAAAUGAAAAAAUACAGCAAACAGACAAUUAGUUCCAAAAUACUAUUUUCUUUUGGAUUUUGAUAUUUUAAAUUUCAUUGUUUUUGUGCGGGUAAAAUUUCAUUGAAUUUAAAUUAAGGUAUAUUUAGAUUUAAAAUUAAUUUGAAUCUGGCUAGAAAUUUCGGGCUGUAUGCUGUUUGGGACAGAUUUGGAGGCUAACUUGUGGGUCUACUAGGUUGGCGUGUACUUUGGCUUUGUCAACUUAGUCCACAAAUGAUUCUAGCAGCAGUGACUGUUGGAUGUUAAUCCAAUGGCCGUGUUGCUUCUUCAAUAUCUGAUCUUCUUGCUCUAGCCGCCCAAACCAGUUCCGGUGGGACUGCCUGCUCCAGCCUCCCGUGGCCAGCUGUGCUGCCGCACAGGCCGCACCAUCCCACCCUACUUCAUUGCUGGCCAGGCCAUUCCUCUACUCACCCACACCUCCUGUUAUUUUCCGGCGACGGCAGCCGGACCAGUAAACCCUCGUACUCCCCACCGUGUGGGCAACCAUUGCCGAGUCUUCCCCGGCUCCGUGUCGUUCCCUUCCUAGGCCUCGCCGUCGUCCACCGCCAUGGUGCUCUCGGCGUGGCCUGGUCAACUUGGUCAACGAACGACAUCCAUCGGCCGUGGACUGUACACGUAAAAUAAUGAUUCCUCCACCUGACAGUUGGGACCCACCGGAAGGGCCUCUGUAUUUCGCAACAAAAAACGUUCCCCCCGCUGACAUGUCGGACCCACUAGCUAUAUCUUCGCACGCAAGGAAGUGCCUCCUUAUUAUGCACAAAAAAAUGAAUACCCCCUGCUAGCUGGGACCCACCAUAGUGGGAGGAUGACUUGUGGGCCAACAAAGUUGACGGGGACGGAGGGCUUUGUCAACUUAGUCAAUAUGAACGAUUCUAGCUCCAGUGACCGUACGAUGUCCAUCCAACGACCGUAGUGCUUCUUCAACCUCUGGUCUUCUUGCUCCAGCCGCCCAAAGCAGCGCCGGUCGUGCCGCAUGCUCCUACCUCCCGUGGUCGGCUGUGCUUCCGUGGAGGCCUCACCGCCCCUACUAUUCCCACCGCUGGCCAGGCCCUGCGGCGACGGCAGCCUCACACCGCAACCAAACCAGUGAACCCUCGUACACCUCUCCACGCGGGUUUCCACUGCCACAUCUUCCCCGACUCCGCGUCGUCCCCUUCCUAUGCCUUGUCAUCGUCCACCGCCGUGGUGCUCUCCGCGCGGCAUGGUCAACAUGGUCAAGGAACGACUUCCAUCGGAAGAGUACUGUACGUGGAGAGCUGUCAGCUGGGUCCACGGCCACAACCCAGUUUUUUGUGAUUUGCCAAGUAAGUUGCUUUGUCAGGCCUGUUGGGCUGCAAAUCUUUCAAGACGAGGAGAGCUUUCAUUCGGCUAGCCAAGAAAAUGGCCCAUCAGUAAUGAUAAAUGGGCUGUACAUUUUUAAAACACAUCAAACCAGCAAUUAGUUUCAAAUAUCUUUUUUUUCAUUUCAAGAUUUUAAAUUACAUUAAUUUUUAUGCGUGGAGAAUUUGUUGGAUUUUAUAUUGAUAUACAUUUAUUUUUAAAAUCAGUUUGAAUGCGAGUCGAAAUUUUGGAAUUAAAAACAGUUCGGACCGCACCGGAAUAUGGAAAAUUUCGUAUAAUUUUUUAACCGUGGCCACAAUUUGGGCUGUAAUGCUAACAAAAAGAAUAUGGGCUCAAAAAAACCUUAAGAAUUAGCAAAUAGGCUGAAAAUUAUCAGAAAUAAUGGCAGAUGGGUUGUAUGGUGUUUUCCACAUAUUUGAGGCUUUCCUCAAAAAAAGGUUGACGCACAAGCAGUGACUGUUGGAUGUCCAUCCAAUGGCCGUCGUGCUUCUUCAAUCUCUGCUCUUCCUGCUCCAGCCGCUCAAACAAGCGCCGGCUGGACUGCCUGCUCCCUCCUCCACGCGGCCGGCUGUGCUACCGCGCAGGCCUCACCGCCCCACCGUACUCCCAUCGCUGGCCUAGCCAUCCCUCUACUCACGCAAGGAAGUGCCUCCUUAUUACGCACAAAAAAUGAAUACUCCCCCUGUUAGCUGGGACCCAAUAUAGUGGCAGGCUGACUUGUGGGCCUACUAAGUUGACAGGGAUGGAGGGCUUUGUCAACUUAGUCAAUAUGCACGAUUCUAGCUCCAGUGACCGUACGAUGUCCAUCCAACGGCCGUAGUGCUUCUUCAACCUCUGGUCUUCUUGCUCCAGCCGCCCAAACCAGCGCCGGUCGUGCCUCGUGCUCCUGCCUCCCGUGGCUGGCUGCGAUGCGGCGGAGGCCUCAGCGCACCCUACUACUCCCACCGCUGGCCAGGCCAUCCCUCUACUCACCCACACCCCAUGUUACUCUGCGGCGACGACAGCCUCACACCGCAGUGAACCAGUGCCCUCGUACUCCUCUACGCGUGGGCAUCCACUGUCGCGUCUUCCCCGGCUCCGCGUCGUCCCCUUCCUAGGCCUCACCGUCGUCCACCGCCCUGGUGCUCUUGGCACGGCAUGGUCAACGUGGUCAAGGAACGGCUUCCAUUGGACGUGGACUGUACGUGGAGAGGCUGACAGCUGGGUCCACGGCCGCAGCAAGGAAGUGCCUCCUUAUUACGUGCAAAAUAAUUAUUCCUCCACCUGACAGCGGGGACCCACCGGAUGGGCCACCGUAUUUCGCCCCCCUGACUGCUGGGACCCACCAACUACAUCUUCACAUGCAAGGAAGUGCCUGACAGUCGGGACCCACCUGGUCGAAGCGUACGUAGCGUUGUCAUUCUGGUCACGAACGUGUACGUACAUAUAUACUGGUGGAUGUAGAGGCGCGCACGUGUCGUAGUAGAGGGCGGCCAGGGUGCAAGAAAGAAAAUACGGCCACCUAUGUGUACAUACGGGUGGGGUCUCGAACGCCUACUCGCGCAUACGUACGGUGAAAGCUCGUGUACAUGGCUAGGUCGGAACGGAGAAACAACGUCGUCGUCGUGUUCAUGGGGAGGCAACGGAAUGCGUCGUGUUCAUGGGGAGGCAACGAAAUGUGUCGUGUUCAUCGGGAGGGCUUGGACGGAACAGGCGAUGGAAACGAGGCCUGGCGUACCGCACAACGGAGGAGACGGACCUCCUACGUUCGGAACGGGGUCCUGUUGAUCGGGAGGGGUCUGGCGUACCGUAAAACGGAGGAAACGGACCUUCUACGGUCGAAACGGGGGUCCUGUUCAUGGGGAGGGGUGUGGCGUACCGCAAAACGGAGGAAACGGACUUGUGUUGGAGCGCUACGGUCGAAACGGGGGUCCUGUUCAUCGGGAGGGGUGUGGCGUACCGCAAAGCGGGACUCCACGGGAUACUGUUCAUCUCCACCGUCGACCCCCUACAGCCUCCACGAGCUACUGUUCAUCCACCGUCGACCUCCUCCCGCCUCCAUCUACGACUGUUCAUCCAGCCUCCACCGCGCGCUACUCCACCGGCUACUGUUCAACCAGCCCUCUCCAUGGGCUCCUGUUCAACCACCCCUCCACGGGCUACUGUUCAUCCUGCCCUCCACCGUCUACUGUUCAUCCUGCCCUCCACAGGGUGGUCCUGUUCAUCCUGCCCUCCACGGGGUCCUGUUCAUCCAGCCCCAACCGGNNNNNNNNNNNNNNNNNNNNNNNNNNNNNNNNNNNNNNNNNNNNNNNNNNNNNNNNNNNNNNNNNNNNNNNNNNNNNNNNNNNNNNNNNNNNNNNNNNNNNNNNNNNNNNNNNNNNNNNNNNNNNNNNNNNNNNNNNNNNNNNNNNNNNNNNNNNNNNNNNNNNNNNNNNNNNNNNNNNNNNNNNNNNNNNNNNNNNNNNNNNNNNNNNNNNNNNNNNNNNNNNNNNNNNNNNNNNNNNNNNNNNNNNNNNNNNNNNNNNNNNNNNNNNNNNNNNNNNNNNNNNNNNNNNNNNNNNNNNNNNNNNNNNNNNNNNNNNNNNNNNNNNNNNNNNNNNNNNNNNNNNNNNNNNNNNNNNNNNNNNNNNNNNNNNNNNNNNNNNNNNNNNNNNNNNNNNNNNNNNNNNNNNNNNNGUUCAUCCAGAGGCAGCAUCGAUCGGCUUUAGUUAGCAGCAGUAGCGAAGGAAUCGCUCGAUCGGGUUCAGUUAACAGCCAUCGAUCGAUCGCUCGGGUUCAGUAACGCGUAGCCUGCAGUGCAAUCGCUCGGGUUCAGUUAGAGCCCAACGCCUCGUUCGGGUUCAGUUAGAGCCAACGCCUCGCACACACGCGCAUAUGUGUACGAGAGAAACGCGCAUCGCUCGGCCCCGACCUCCCACUGUAACCGGGAACUCCCCGAAAUUUUCCUUCCCCUCGCUUCUACCACGGUUUUUUCCGUCAUGGACGGCCCAAAGAAUGUCAUGCGGCUGCGUCUCUGGCCCACCCAGGACGAAAAGCCCAUUUUCUGUCAUGAUUUUUUGUCAUAGAAGUAGGAGCCCACCACAUCUAUGAUGAUACCGGGUUUUGUCACAAUUAUCGUCAUAGAAGUGUCAUAUGUAUGACAGAAAAAAAAUUCGUUCGGCCCAAAAUGUCACGGAUGUGUCUUUUUUUGCAGUGUAGUUUCUUUUGUUGAGCUUUCAUACAUUUAUAGCUCUAGUGCAUCCGUUGCAUGGCAAUCCCUACUCCUUGCAUUAACAUCAAUCGAUGGGCAUCUCCAUAGCCCAUUGAUUAGCCUCGUUGAUGUGAGACUUUCUCCUUUUUGUCUUCUCCACAUAACCCCCUCAUUAUAUUCUAUUCCACCCAUAGUGCUAUGUCCAUGGCUCGCGCUUAUGUAUUGCGUGAAAGUUUAUAGGUUUCAGAUUACUAAAGUAUGAAACAAUUGCUUGGCUUGUCAUCGGGGUUGUGCAUGAUGAGAGCAUUCUUGUGUGAUGAAAAUGGAGCAUGACUAAACCAUAUGAUUUUGUAGGGAUGAACUUUCUUUGGCCAUGUUAUUUUGAGAAGACAUAAUUGCUUAGUUAGUAUGCUUGAAGUAUUAUCAUUUUUAUGUCAAUAUGAACUUUUGUCUUGAAUCUUUCGGAUCUGAAUAUUCAUGCCACAAUUAAGAAGAAUUACAUUGAAAUUACGCCAAGUAGCACUCCACAUCAAAAAUUCUGUUUUUAUCAUUUACCUACUCGAGGACGAGCAGGAAUUAAGCUUGGGGAUGCUGAUACGUCUCCAACGUAUCUAUAAUUUUUGAUUGCUCCAUGCUAUAUUAUCUACUGUUUUGGAUGUUUAUGGGCUUUAUUAUACACUUUUAUAUCAUUUUUGGGACUAACCUAUUAACCUAGAGCCCAGUGCCAGUUUACCUUGUUUUAGGGUUUCAAAGAAAAGAAAAAUCACACGGAGUCCAAUUGACCUGAAACUUCACGGAACUCAUUUUUGGAAGGAAAGAAGCCCAGAAGACUUGAAGUGCACGUAAGGUAAGCUUCGAGGAGGCCACGAGGUAGGGGGGCGCGCCCUCCACCCUCGUGGGCCCCUCGUGGCCCCCCUGAUGUUCUUCUUCCUCCUAUAUAUCUCUAUAUACCCUAAAACGAUCAGAGAGCACAAUAGAUCGGGAGUUCCGCCGCCAGAAGCCUCCGUAGCCACCGAGAGCCAAUCUAGACCCGUUCUGGCACCCUGCCGGAGGGGGAAUCCCUCUCCGGUGGCCAUCUUCAUCAUCCCGGUGCUCUCCAUGACGAGGAGGGAGUAGUUCUCCCUCGGGGCUGAGGGUAUGUACCAGUAGCUAUGUGUUUGAUCUCUCUCUCUCUCGUGUUCUUGAUUUGGCACAAUCUUGAUGUAUCGCGAGCUUUGCUAUUAUAGUUGGAUCUUAUGUUUCUCCUCCCCCUCUACUCUCUUGUAAUGAAUUGAGUUUCCCCUUUGAAGUUAUCUUAUCGGAUUGAGUCUUUAAACAUUUGAGAACACUUGAUGUAUGUCUUGCCGUGCGUAUCUGUGGUGACAAUGGGAUAUCACGUGAUUCACUUGAUGUAUGUUUUGGUGAUCAACUUGCGGGUUCCGCCCAUGAACCUAUGCAUAGGGGUUGGCACACGUUUUCGUCGUGAUUCUCCGGUAGGAAUUUGGGGCACUCUUUGAGGUUCUAUGUGUUGGUUGAAUAGAUGAAUCUGAGAUUGUGUGAUGCAUAUCGUAUAAUCAUACCCACGGAUACUUGAGGUGACAUUGGAGUAUCUAGGUGACAUUAGGGUUUUGGCUGAUUUGUGUCUUAAGGUGUUAUUCUAGUACGAACUCUAAGGCUGUUUGUGAAACUUAUAGGAAUAUCCCAACGGAUUGAUUGGAAAGAAUAACUUUGAGGUGGUUUCGUACCCUACCAUAAUCUCUUAGCUUGUUCUCCGCUAUUAUUGACUUUGAAGUGACUCUUUGUUGCAUGUUGAGGGAUAGUUAUGUGAUCCAAUUAUGUUAUUAUUGUUGAGAGGACUUGCACUAGUGAAAGUAUGAACCCUAGGCCUUGUUUCAAUGCAUUGCAAUACCGUUUACGCUCACUUUUAUCAUUAGUUACCUUGAUGUUUUUAUAUUUUCAGAUUACAAAUACCUUUAUCUACCAUCCAUAUACCACUUGUAUCACCAUCUCUUCGCUGAACUAGUGCACCUAUACAAUUUACCAUUAUAUUGGGUGUGUUGGGGACACAAGAGACUCUUUGUUAUUUAGUUGCAGGGUUGCUUGAGAGAGAUCAUCUUCAUCCUACGCCUCCUACGGAUUGAUAAACCUUAGGUCAUCCACUUGAGAGAAAUUUGCUAUUGUCCUACAAACCUCUGCACUUGGAGGCCCAACAACGUCUACAAGAAGAAGGUUGUGUAGUAGACAUCACGCAGGCGCGAGAUGGCGGCGGGCGCAUGGCCGCGGCGGGCUCGGAGUGGACGCGGGCGAGCUCGGCGCGGCGCCCCGGCAGACGCGGGCGACCUCAAGGCGAAGGCGGCGAGCUAUGCAUGUCAACAGCGGCGAGGCGUGCGCUGGGAGGCGCUGCAGAAAGCCGGGGCGGGCUGUUUGGGGCAAAAUCUGGCCCUGCAGCGUCGGGUGGGGAUGCACCCAUCGCCUGUCCGCCCCCUGGACAUCCGCCAAAUCGCACCCCAAACAGACGAAAGCGGACGUCCGGAUGGGGUAUUGCGAUGGAGUUGGCCUAACAUCUCGAUGGAAAACUAGAGAAGCUACAAUAUCCUAACUUUUCUUCUUUCUAUCCAUACAAUUAUGGCUAAAAUGACUUAAAUUAAUUUGCAAAUUGAUGAUCUACUGUGUACAUUUAUAGUAAUUACAUACAAACAAAUUGAUGAUGAAAUAAAAUAAAAUUUAAAUUAUUUAUAUCUACAGUAAAUACCUACAGUAAACAAUCUACUAACUACCUACUAACGGUCCCUAACUUUUCUUCUCCAUUUUACACUGGGCAAACAUUUUUUUUGAAAGGAAGCCUCUUGGCACUUUAUUGCAAAUUUGAGAGUGUUACAUCAUUCAGUACAUGAGGUAAUAGAAAAUUAGGCGGAACAUCAUCGCAUCAAAUCAUUUCUUUAAGCAUGUCUCGCUAAAACAUGGGCCAACUUAUUUGCUUCCCCGGGGCAAUGACGGAACUGAAUCGACGAUAUCUCAUGUGCAAGUUGGAAAGCAUCAUAUAAAAUAGCAGUAUAUGAUGCCAGUAUCUCUGAACCUCCAUUGCAAGCCGUAACGAGCUCUAAACAGUCUGACUCCACGGUGAUUUUUGAGCAUCCAAUAUCACGUACUAGUCGAAGACCAAGGUAAAGUGCCAUUGCUUCUGCAGACGCAACAGUUGAGGCAUAACUGGGCAAACAUUGUAGCACGCUGACUUUCCUUCGUAAUGUUAGAAGAUCCGGUUCCCUUUCAGCCUCCCCGUCCUCGCUCGUCCUGCCAUGGGCUAGCAACAACAUGGGCUUACCAAACUUAAGCCCACAUCUAUUCCACUUUUAUGUUCCUUUUUCCUUAUAUAUUUUUAUUUUGUAAAUAAUUCGAGAUAUAAAAAGGUUCUAAAUUUUUAAAAAAAUUGCUUAUUUUAAAAAUAAUGAUCAUGAAUUCAAAAAAAUGUUCAGGAAUACAAAAAAUGUUCAUGGUUUAAGAGAUUUUUCAUGAAUUUGUAAAAAAUGUUCACGAAUUUAGAAAAUGUUCAUGAUUUCAAAAAAAAGCGAAUUAUAAAAAUGUUCACGAAUUUUUUGAAAAUGUUCAAAAAAAAAUAAAAAUGUUCACGAAUUUUACAAAAAGUUCAAAAUUUCUAAAAGAUAUUCGUGAAUUUAAAAGGAUUUCAUGUUUCAAAAAUGUUCAUGAUUUAAAAAAAUCACGAAUUUCUAAAAACAAAUUCACGAUUUUGAGAAAAUGUUGAUGAACUUACAAAAAUGUUUCAGUAUUUCAGAAAAUGUUCAGCAUUUCAGAAAAUGUUCACGAUUUAAAAAAAUAUUCACGAAUUUAAAAUAUUGGUGCAAAUUGAGAAAGCAAGAAUAAAAAUUAAAAAAAGAAAAACAGAAAAUAAAAGGAAAGACAAAAGAAAAGAAAAAAAAGAAAAAUAAAGAAAAAAUAAAGAGAAACAGAAGAAAAAAAUGGUUGCGGGUGAAACACGGAAAUGGGCGGCCCAUAUAAACGCCGCGCGAGAGGGGGUGGGGGGGUUAUGCGCGCGGUUGCUCUACUACGACCCGCACACGAAAUAGGAGCCACCGAUUUCGGUUGAUCGCCUCACACGUCAUGUGUGUCGUGCUCGCCACGUAGGUGUAGGCCCCGUGCGCACCGCUUCCUCUCUUUUCGUGUACUCCCUCUGUUUCUUUUUACCCCGCAUAUAAGAUUUGUGUCAGGUCAAAUUUUACAAACUUUGACCAUAUUUAUAUAAAAAAUAUCAACAUCUACAAUACCAAAUAUACAUAAUAUGAAACUACAUUUCAUAAUGAAUCUAAAGAUAUUCCUUUGACCUUGUAAAUGUUGUACUUUCUUUUAUAAGUUUUGAUCAAAAUAGAGACACUUUGACUUCAAACAAAAGUUAUAUGCUGACUAAAAAGAAAUGGAGGGAGUAGAUUCGAUGAGAUCCACUCCGUGGUGUGACCCAUUGAUAACCCACAAGUAUAGGGGAUCGCAACAGUUUUUGAUAAGUAAGAGUGUCGAACCCAACGAGGAGCUAAAGGUAGAACAAAUAUUCCCUCAAGUUUUAUCGACCACCGAUACAACUCUACGCACGCUUGACGUUCGCUUUAUCUAGAACAAGUAUGAAACUAGAAGUACUUUGUAGGUGUUGUUGGAUAGGUUUGCAAGAUAAUAAACAACAAGUAAAUAAAAUAUAGGGGCUGUUUAGAUUAAGAAACAAUAAAGUAAAUAUAGCGAGUGUGGAAAAGUGGUGGUAGAAGUUGCGAAAUUUUCCCUAAGCAAUUGACUACUUUACUAGACCGAUAACAAGUAUUAUGUGGGAGAGGCCACUGCUAGCAUGUCAUCCCUGACUUGGAAUUCUAUGCACUUAUGAUUGGAACUAUUAGCAAGCAUCCGCAACUACUAACGUUCAUUAAGGUAAACCCAACCAUAGAAUUAAGAUAUAUUGGUCCCCUUCAAUCCUGUAUGCAUCAAUUUCUAUGCUAGGUUGAAACUUCUAUCACUCUUGCCCUCCAAUACAUAGUCCUAUAAACAUACAACUAACCCUAGGGUGUAAUCCACGCGUGCAAUCAUAUGAUGGGCACCAAAGGACAGCAACAUAACCACAAGAAAAUUAAAUCAAUCAUAGCAAUUCAUUAACCACCGAUAGGACAACGAAAAUCUACUCAGACAUCAUAGGAUGGCAACACAUCAUUGGAUAAUAAUAUGAAGCAUAAAGCACCAUGUUCGAAUAGAGGGUACAACGGGUUGCGGUAGAGUGGACCGCUGUAGAUAGAGGGGGAAGGUGAUGGAGAUGUUGGUGAAGAUGGCGGAGGUGUUGGUGUAGGUCGCGGUGAUGAUGAUGGCCCCCGGCGAGGGGGGGAGAGCCCCCCUCGUUCUUCUUCUUCCUUGACCUUCUCCCUAGAUGGGAGAAGGGUUUCCCCUCUGGUCCAUGGCCUCCAUGGCAUGGGAGGGGCGAGAGCCCCUCUGAGAUUGGAUCUGUCUCUCUGUCUCUCUCUGUUUCUACGUUCUCAGAUUCUUCUCUUUCACCGUUUCUUAUAUUCCCGGAGAUCCGUAACUCCGAUUGGGCUGAAAUUUUAACACGAUCUCUAUCCGGAUAUUAGCUUUCUUGCGGCGAAAGAAGGGCAUCAACCGCCUUACGGGUGACCCACGAGGGUCAGGGGUGCGCCCCCUACCUCGUGGCCACCUCGGGCACCGUCUCGCGUGGAUUUUUCUUCCCAAAAAUCAUAUAUAUUCCAAAAAAUCUCUGUCAGUUUUUAUCCCGUUUGGACUCCGUUUGAUAUGGAUAUUCUGCGAAACAAAAAACAUGCAACAAACAGGAACUGGCACUGGGCACUACAUCAAUAUGUUAGUCCCAAAAAUAGUAUAAAAAGUUGCCAAAAGUAUAUGAAAGUUGAAUAAUAUUGGCAUGGAACAAUCAAAAAUUGUAGAUACAACGGAGACGUAUCAGCAUCCCCAAGCUUAAUUCCUGCUCGUCCUCGAGUAGGUAGAUGAUAAAAAUGAUAAUUUUUGAUGUGGAAUGCUACCUAGCAUAAUCUUGAUCAUAUGUCUAAUCAUGGCAUGAAUAUUAAGACAUGAGUGAUUCAAAGCAAUAGUCUAUCAUUUGACAUAAAAACAAUAAUACUUCAAGCCUACUAAUAAAGCAAUCAUGUCUUUUCAAAAUAACAAGGCCAAAGAAACUUAUCCCUACAAAAUCAUAUAGUCUGGCUAUGCUCCAUCUUCACCACACAAAAUACUCACAUCAUGCACAACCCCGAUGACAAGCCAAGCAAUUGUUUCAUACUUUUGACGUUCUCAAACCUUUUCAACUUUCACGCAAUACAUGAGCGUGAGCCAUGGACAUAGCACUAUAGGUGGAAUAGAAUGGUUGCUGUGAAGAAGACAAAAAGGAGAAGAUAGUCUCACAUCAACUAGGCGUAUCAACGGGCUAUGGAGAUGUCCAUCAAUAGAUAUCAAUGUGAGUGAGUAGGGAUUGCCAUGCAACGGACGCACUAGAGCUAUAAGUAUAUGAAAGCUCAAACUGAAACUAAGUGGGUGUGCAUCCAACCUGCUUGCUCAUGAAGACCUAGAGCAUUUGAGGAAGCCCAUCGUUGGAAUAUACAAGCCAAGUUCUAUAAUGAAAAUUCCCGCUAGUAUAUGAAAGUGAUAACUCAAGAGACUCUCUAUAUGAAGAACAUGGUGCUACUUUGAAGCACAAGUGUGGUAAAGGGAUAGUAACAUUGCCCCUUCUCUCUUUUUCUCUUUUUUUUUCUUUUUUUCUCUUUUUUUGUAGGCUUCUUUGGCCUCUCUCCUUUUUUUGUGGGGCUUCUUUGGCCACUUUUAUUUUGAUAACCUCACAUGGGACAAUGUUCUAAUAAUGAUGAUCAUCACACUUUUAUUUACUUACAACUCGAUAUUACAACUCGAUACUAGAACAAAGAUAUGACUCUAUAUGAAUUCCUCCGGCGGUGUACCGGCAUGUGCAAUGAUCUAGCAUAGCAAUGACAUCAAAAAACGGACAAGCCAUGAAAAUAUCAUGCUAGCUAUCUUACGAUCAUGCAAAGCAAUAUGACAAUGAUGCUCAAGUCAUGUAUAUGAUGAUGAUGGAAGUUGCAUGGUAAUAUAUCUCGGAAUGUCUAUGGAAAUUUCAUGAUAGGUAGGUAUGGUGGCUGUUUUGAGUAAGGUAUAUGGUGGGUUUAUGGUACCAGCGAAAGUUGCGCGGUACUAGAGAGGCUAGCAAUGAUGGAAGGGUGAGAGUACGUAUGAUCCAUGGACUCAACAUUAGUCAUAAAGAACUCACGUACUUAUUGCAAAGAUCUAUUAGUCAUUGAAACAAAGUACUACGUGCAUGCUCCUAGGGGGAUAGAUUGGUAGGAAAAGACCAUCGCUCGUCCCCGACCGCCACUCAUAAGGAAGACAAUCAAUAAAUAAACCAUGCUCCGACUUCCUUACAUAACGGUUCACCAUACGUGCAUGCUACGGGAAUCAUAAACCUCAACACAAGUAUUUCUACUAAUCCACAACUACCCACUAUCAUGACUCUAAUAUCACCAUCUUUAUAUUGCAAAACUAUUGCAAGGAAUCAAACAUAUCAUAUUCAGUGAUCUACAAGUUUUAUGCAGGAUUUUAUGACUAACCAUGUGAAUGACCAGUUCCUAUCAUCUCUCUAAAUAGAUAUAAGUGAAGCAAGAGAGUUUAAUUCUUUAUAUAAAAGAUAUGCCCACGCUCUAACAAAUAUAAGUGAAGCAAAAGAGCAUUCUACAAAUGGCGGUUUUCUAUGUAAAGAGAAACAGGCAAUCCAAACUUCAAAUGAUAUAAGUGAAGCACAUGAAGCAUUCUAUAAAGCCAUACUCAAAAGAUAUAAGUGAAGUACAUAGAGAAUUAUAUAAAUCAACCAAGGACUAUCUCAUACCAGCAUGGUGCAUAAAAGAAAAAUGAAAACUAAAUGCAAAAGAUGCUCCAAGUUUGCACAUAUCGCAUGAACGAAACGAAUCCGAAAACAUACUGAUACUUGUUGAAGAAAGAGGGGAUGCCUUCCGGGGCAUCCCCAAGCUUAGACGCUUGAGUCUCCUAGAAUAUUUACUUGGGGUGCCUCGGGCAUCCCCAAGCUUGAGCUCUUUCCUCUAUCCUUCUUCUCACAUCAAGACCUUCUCGAUCAUCGAACACUUCAUCCACACAAAACUUCAACAGAAAACUCGGUAAGAUCUGUUAGUAUAAUGAAGCAAAUCACUACUCUAAGUACUGUUGUAAACCAAUUCAUAUUUUGUUUUUGCAUUGUGUCUACUGUAAUAUAACUUUUUCAUGGCUUAAUCCACUGAUAUGAAUCGAUAGUUUCAUCAAAACAAGCAAACUAUGCAUCAAAAACAGAAUCUGUCUAAAACAGAACAGUCUGUAAUAAUCUGAACAUUCACCAUACUUCUGAUACUUCAAAAAUUCUACCAAAAUUAUUAAAAAUAAACAAUUUGUAUAGGAAGACAGUGCAAAAAGAAUCAGAACCAUUUGACAUUCCAGCAAAAAAUGUAAAAUCGCGCACUACAGCCAAAGUUUCUGUCCUGCACCGUACAAACCAUCAAGCAAAUGUAAACAUCCUAAAGGCAAACCUUGGCACAUUAUUUUUAUAAUACAAUGGAAUUGUACAAGGGGAUAAUUAUUUUUAUUGAAAAGUUUAUGUAAUCAAGAUUCACAAAGUUUCCGUGAGCAUGAACAAAGUCCAAGGCUAGCUCCCACUUCAACAAUGCUUGUCUCUCUCUCUUUCACUUUCCUUUUUGAAAAUGUUUUGGGUUCCCCUCUUUAUUUUUGUUGUUUUUAAACUAUAUAAAAGCACUCAACAGAAAUUGUUAGAUAAUAACGAGAAAUAAACGAGACAAAGAGACACGGAUUUUUACGUGGAAACCCUUGCGGGAGAAAACCACGGACGCACGAAGGCGCAAUCACUAUGAGGAGGAGUAUUACAAGCACGAGACGACAGUCGUCUGAGGUGCGACUACAUGGGUAUAUAAGAGGGUAAUACAUGAGAGUCCUUGGAGGACAAGUAAACGAGUUGUACUCGUAUGCAUCGACGUCAACGCAAAGGCCCACACCAGUUGUACUACAUCUAGUCCAACACGCUAUAAUUUGGAUCACAAUUUAACAAUCUCCACCUUGAUCCAAAUUUCCUCCAGUAGUCGAAGAAAGUGAAUAACUCCAUCUAAAUCAGCAUAAACACCUUGUGCGUUAAAGUCCAUAGGACUAGUGAGAAAUACCAACUAAGCCUGAGCAAAGCUCAAACUUAUUGGUCGGAACUGGCUUUGUCAUCAUAUCAGCUGGAUUAUCAUGAGUACUUAUCUUGCAUACCUUCAAAUCGCCUUCAGCAACAACAUCUCGAAUAUAAUGAAAUCUGACAUCAAUGUGCUUUGUCCUCUCAUGAUACAUUGGAUUCUUUGUAAGAUAUAUGGCACUUUGACUAUCAGAAAAUAUGGUAGGGCAAGAUGAAUCUCCACAAAGCUCAGAAUACAAACCUCUCAACCAGAUAGCUUCUUUGCAUGCCUCGGAAAUAGCCAUAUACUCAGCACCAGUAGUGGAACAAGCCACAAUAGACUGCAAAGUUGCUCUCCAACUCACAGCACAACCACCAAUGGUGAAAACAUAACCUGUGAGCGAUCUUCUCUUAUCCAAAUCACCAGCAAAAUCAGAAUCAACAAAACCAACAAGUCCAUCUCCAGUUUUCCCAAACUGUAAAUAAGCAUUAGAAGUACCACGUAGGUAUCUGAAAAUCCACUGAACUGCUUUCCAAUGCUCUUUUCCAGGAUUAGCCAUGUAUCUACUGACAACACUCAAUGCAUAUGAUAAAUCAGGACGAGAACAAACCAUGGCAUACAUAAGUGAACCAACUGCACUCGAAUAGGGAACUCUAGACAUGUACUCAAUAUCUGCAUCUGACUUAGGACAUAAAGCUGAUGAUAAUUUGAAGUGUGCAGCUAACGGAGUACUUACUGGCUUGGCAUUAUGCAUAUUAAAACGAUGAAGAACUUUAUCAAUAUAUCCCUUCUGACUUAGAUACACUUUUCCAGACGGUCUAUCUCUGGAUAUUUUCAUGCCAAGUAUUUUCUUUGCUGCACCCAAAUCCUUCAUCUCAAAUUCAUUACUCAAUUGCUUCUUUAGUUCAUCAAUAUCUCACAUAUUCUUUGCAGCAAUUAGCAUAUCAUCAACAUAAAGGAGCAAAUAAAUAGUUGAACCUUUGACAGUUCUCAAAUAAACACAACUAUCAUAAUUAGACCUUUUGAAACCUUGAGAGAGCAUAAAGGUGUCAAAUCUCUUGUACCACUGUCUAGGGGAUUGCUUCAAUCCAUAAAGAGAUUUCUUUAACUUACAGACAAGCUUUUCUUUUCCAGGAAUAACAAAACCUUCAGGUUGUUCCAUAUAAAUAUCCUCUUCUAAUUCUCCAUGUAAAAAUGCAGUUUUAACAUCCAAUUGUUCAAGCUCAAGAUCAUGCAUGGCAACAAUACUGAGUAAAGUGCGAAUAGAGCUAUGCUUCACAACAGGAGAAAAUACUUCGUUAUAGUCAAUACCUGGAAUCUGGCUGUAACCUUUAGCAACUAACCUUGCUUUAUAUCUUGUCUCAUCAUUAGGAGAAACACCUUCUUUCCUCUUGAAAACCCACUUGCAACGAAUAGGUUUCUUCUCUCUAGGUAAUUUUACUAAAUCCCUAGUGUCAUUCUUUUCAAGUGAUUCCAUCUCAUCAUGCAUAGCGGUCAUCCACUUAUUACUAUCACCAGAAAUAAUAGCCUCGGAAUAUGAAGAAGGCUCAGAAUUACCUUCAAUUUCUUCUGCAACAGAUAAAGCAAAAGAAACAAUAUUGCACUCUUCAAUUAACCUGUCAGGUUUAUUAAUACCCCCCUGACUCUGUCACGUGCGAGAUUCCAACUGGGUGGAACAAUAGGCUGAUUUGGAGUGGGAGUGACAUUAUCAUCAUUAACGACGGGUUCAUCAUGUGCAUCAACAAUUUCAUUACGAGAUGUAUCACCUGAAAUCAAUAAUAUGCUCCACCUGAACAGUGGGCUCCUGAACAAUAGGCUGUUGUUCACUCUCAACGGGAACAUUAGUAGAUGAAACAUCAUGUAACAUAGCAGAUUCAUUGAAGAUAACAUUUCUGCUAAUAACAACCUUCUGGGUUUCAGGAUUCCAUAAUUUAAAACCUUUAACACCAGACUUAUAACCAAGAAAGAUGCACUUAACAGCCCUAGGCUCCAAUUUUCCAUUAUCAACAUGAGCAUAAGCAGUGCAACCAAAAACUCUCAACUGUGAAUAAUCAGCAGGUGAACCAGACCAUACCUCAAUUGGAGUUUUCUUAUUAAGAGCAAUAGAUGGUGAACGAUUAAUGAGAUAACAAGCAGUGGAAGCGGCGUCAGCCCAAAACGCCUAUGCAAACCUGCAUUGGACAACAUGCAACGGGCUCUGGAAAUAAUGGUCCUGUUCAUGCGCUCAGCAACACCGUUUUGUUGAGGAGUAUAAGGAACGGUGUAGUGUCUGACAAUGCCUUCAGACUUGCAAUAAUUCUUAAAUUGCUUAGAACAGAAUUCCAUACCAUUAUCAGUGUGAAGUAUUUUUACCUUCUUUUCAGUCUGUCUUUCAAUCAUAAUCUUCCACUCCUUAAAAGCUGAGAAUGCUUCAUAUUUAUGCUUCAAGAAAUAAGUCCAUACUUUUCUCGAAUAAUCAUCAAUAAUAGUCAGCAUGUAACUAGCACCACCUAGUGACUUCUUGCGAGAUGGUCCCCAUAAAUCAGAAUGCACAUAAUCAAGAAUACCUUCGGUUGUAUGAGUCGAAGUGUUGAACUUCACCCUCUUGUGCUUGCCGAAGAUACAAUGCUCACAAAAUUUCAAUUUACCAGGUUCAUAUCCAUCAAGAAGACCUCUCUUAUUUAACUCUGCUAAACCAAGUUCACUCAUAUGUCCAAGAUGCAUAUGCCAAAGGUUAGCAGCAUCACAAUCAGAAUUCUUUGAAAUAACUGGAAAAGCGUUACCGGAAACGGUAGAACCUCGAAGGUAAUAAAGACCAUUGGUCGAACUUAAAUCACCUUUCAUCACAAUAAGGGAGCCUUUGGUGACCUUCAAAACACUAUCUCCACCUGAAUACUUGUACCCCUUUGCAUCAAGGGCACUAACAGAGAUAAGAUUUCUCUUCAUCUUCGGAAUAUACCGAACAUCUGUCUAAGUUCUGAUUAUGCCAUCAAACAUCUUGAUUCGAAUAGAACCUAUGCCUUCAAUCUUGCAUGGUGAAUUAUCAAAACCCAAAACGGAACCAGUAGAAGUAGUGGAAUCAAAAGUAUUAAACCAAUCUCUAUGUGGGCACAUAUGAAAAGUACAUGCAGUAUCAAGUACCCACUCAUCAUUGGUCUCAGCACAUCCAGCAAUAACGACAAGAGCAUCAUCGAAACUAUCAUCACGAGCAACGUUAGCAGAAUUUUCACCUGGUUUGUUACCUUUCCUCUUUUCUUUAUUCUGCAACUUGAAACACUAUGAGAUGUCAUGCCCGUCUCUCUUGCAAUACCUGCAAUAUUUCUUGUCUCUGGAUUGCGACCGGUCCCUGUAGCCGUUCUUACUUUUGCCUCUGUUUCCAUUAUUGGAGUUCUUUUCCUUUGUCCUGCAACGAAUAGAUAAUCCCUCGGCUUGGGAUGAACUCGAACCAUCAUGAGGCACCAUUAAUUUCAUCUUCUCCUUAGAGUUCAAAGCUUCAUAAACUUCAUUAAGUGUGAGAGUAUCACGACUGUAUAAUAUGGUGUCUCGAAAAUUGGUAUAAGAACUUGGCAGUGAACAAAGUAACAUUAGAGCAGUAUCUUCCUCUUCAUACUUAACCUCCAUUGCAGCUAGAUCAGAUAUAAUCUCCUUAAAUUCUGAAAUAUGAUUCAAAACAUUACCUCCCUCGGGUAACCUCUGCAGGAAUAAUUUUUGCUUCAGAUGCAUCUUGCUGGUGAGAUCUUUAGUCAUGCAAAUCCCUUCCAGCUUUAACCAUAGAGCGGCGGCAGUUUUCUCGCUCAAAACUUUCUGCAAAAUAUUAUUAUGCAAAUGGAGUUGAAUUUGUGACAAAGCCUUACAAUCAAUUCUUUUCUCCUCAGCAGUCCAGUCCUCAGUUCGGUUCUUCCCAAAACUAUCCGGUGCUACAUCAUAGUCGGCAUGUGCCAACAACGCCCGCAUCUUGACUUGCCAUAGGGUAAACCUUGUGUCACGAUCCAGCAGCGGAAAGUCGUACUUCAUGGAUGCCAUGAGUAGAUAAAUCUGUGUACACAAAGUAGUACAAGUCGGAGUAGAAUAAUUCUUAACGGAAUUAAUAUGCGGAAUAAACGAAAAUAGGAUAGAUAGCACCUGGUAGUCGCUGGUGGUCAUAGUAAUUGAAAACAGAAAUCUAAAGUACUAGUAGUACUCAAACUAGUACUGGCACGUGAGUAGCCUUCACGGCAGCACUUGAUUUGUUUUUUGGUACUCACGAUGGACUACCAGCAGAAGCUGCCGCGUGAUCCUUGAUGGAUGGAGUAGCAGCGACAGAACAGCACACCGGCGCAUCGUACGAUACACGAGGGAAGCGAUCGGCUCCUUGGGACUUCCGCUUGUGAACCGCAGCUUGGGAUUCAGGAAUAAAUUCAUAGCAGAUCGACUUCCAGUCAAUCUCGGACACGACCUGGCAGUGGAGAACUUGGUCGAACUCGACGACGCAGCAGCGGAAAGUCGGAUUUCGACGGAUCGCCGAGAGACGCGUGCAAGCGUCUCGAACAGAAACCCUAAUUCACUCAUCUCAAAAAACUCGUAUCUGCAACUUGGCUCUGUAUACCACUUGUUAGAUAAUAACAAGAAAUAAACGAGACAAAGAGACACGGAUUUUUACGUGGAAACCCUUGCGGGAGAAAACCACGGACGCACGAAGGCGCAAUCACUAUGAGGAGGAGUAUUACAAACACGAGACGACAGCCAUCUGAGGUGCGACUACAUGGGGUAUAUAAGAGGGCAAUACAUGAGAGUCCUUGGAGGACAAGUAAACGAGUUGUACUCGUAUGCGUCGACGUCAACGCAAAGGCCCACACCAGUUGUACUACGUCUAGUCCAACACUGUAUAAUUUGGAUCACAAUUUAACAGAAAUAAAUGACUCUCUAAAACUUCCGGGUUGUCUCUCUGGCAGCGCUUUCUUUAAAGCCAUUAAGCUAGGCAUAUAAUGCUCAAGUAAUGGAUCCACCCGGAUCCCAAGGUAUAUCAAAGUCAAUUUUAAUUAACAAUGAUUUGUAAUUUAUUAGUGAGCACAAAGUAACAUAUAUCAUGCAACAACGAAGUCUAACUCUCUUCCUAUGCAUUGGCAUGUCAUAAAAGAACAAUUCAUGCACACAAAGUACAGGCCAAUGCAUAGUAUAAACAGUUUCUUGCAAUUUUACCAUGUUGGAAACAUAGAGAAGUGGAGAUAUAGUUCCUCUCUCAUAAUAAUUGCAAGUAGGAGCAGCAAGCACAUGCAUAUUAUAUUCAUCAAAAUCAUCAUGUGCAACGGUAAAAGGCAACCCAUCAAUAUAUUCCUUAAUAAGAGCAAACUUCUCCGAUAUAGUGUAGUUUGGAGAAUUCAAAAAGAUAAUGGGACUAUCAUGUGUGGGUGUAAUAGCAACAAUUUCAUGUUUAACAUAAGGAACUAUAGCAAGUUCAUCUUCAUAAGCAUAAUUCAUAUUGGCAUCUUGGCCACAAGCAUAGCAAGCAUCAUCAAAAAGGGAUAUUUCAAAAGAAUCAACGGGAUCAUAACAAUCAUCAUACCAAUCAUCCUCCGGUAAGCACGAAGGGAAAUUAAACAAUGUAUGAGUUACUCUCAUUAGAAGGUGGGCAUGGGUAGCUAAUCCGCUCUUCCUCCUUUUGUUCUUCGCUCUCCUCCUCAUCUUUUUCAUCCAAUGAGCUCACAGUUUCAUAAAUUUCUUCUUCCAUAGACUCCUGCAAAAUAUUAGUCUCUUCUUGGACAGCGGAGACUUUCUUAAUAAGUGCAUUAAUGUCGGAAUUGUAUUCAUAAUUCUCAUAGCAAUAUUUAAGGAUAGCUAAAUUUUCAGGUCUAUAAACCGAAUCAUCAAAAUCUUCAAACUCUUUAAACAUAGAUUCAAUUUCAUAAGCACCCAUAAAAGCAACAAAUUCUUCUAUUUGUUUCACAUCAUAGUAAUCAUAUAUACCAUUAGCAUAAGAAGCUAAGGUUUUAUUAUCAUUAAAUUCGCAUAAAAAGGGAAGGUGUGGAGCCUUCAUCCUAGAGCAACAAGUAUAAUCAUAUCUCAAGCAUAGUUGCCUAGCAUACCAAUUCAAUAUAUGAAUUUGAUCCCAUAAUAGUUUCCCUUUUUGUGUCAAGCGGUAAUCCCUAAAGUAUUCACGUUGAUCCAACGUUACUCCCAUUACAUAAUUGAAUGGGGUUUUCUCAGGAUUAUUAAAGUAGUACAUAAUAUUUUUCACAUAACCAGCAUCGAGGGUUUUAGGAGGUUCCCCAUCUCCAUGAGCAGAAAGUACACCUAAUUUUUUUGGUAUUUUGUGUUCCAUAUCCAUAACUAAAGAUAAAGAACAACUAAGAACAGCAAAUAAAAAUUACUUAGUGAUAAAACAAACAAGCACACACGAGAAUAUUCACCCCACGCUAUUGCUCCCCGGCAACGGCGCCAGAAAAAGGUCUUGAUAACCCACAAGUAUAGGGGAUCGCAACAGUUUUCGAUAAGUAAGAGUGUCGAACCCAACGAGGAGCUAAAGGUAGAACAAAUAUUCCCUCAAGUUCUAUCAACCACCGAUACAACUCUACGCACACUUGAUGUUCGCUUUACCUAGAACAAGUAUGGAACUAGAAGUACUUUGUAGGUGUUGUUGGAUAGGUUUGCAAGAUAAUAAAGAGCAAGUAAAUAAAAGGUAGGGGCUGUUUAGAUUAAGAAACAAUAAAGUAAAUAUAGCGAGUGUGGAAAAGUGGUGGUAGGAGUUGCGAAAUUGUCCCUAAGCAAUUGACUACUUUACUAGACCGAUAACAAGUAUUAUGUGGGAGAGGCCACUGCUAGCAUGUCAUCCCUGACUUGGAAUUCUAUGCACUUAUGAUUGGAACUAUUAGCAAGCAUCUGCAACUACUAAUGUUCAUUAAGAUAAACCCAACCAUAGAAUUAAGAUAUAUUGGUCCCCCUUCAAUCCCGUAUGCAUCAAUUUCUAUGCUAGGUUGAAGCUUCUGUCACUCUUGCCCUCCAAUACAUAGUCCUAACAACAUACAACUAACCCUAGGGUGUGAUCCACGCGCGCAAGCAUAUGAUGGGCACCAAAGGACAGCAACAUAACCACACGCAAAUUAAAUCAAUCAUAGCAACUCAUCAACCACCGAUAGGACAACAAAAAUCUACUCAGACAUCAUAGGAUGACAACACAUCAUUGGAUAAUAAUAUGAAGCAUAAAGUACCAUGUUCAAAUAGAGAGGGUACAGCGGGUUGCGGUAGAGUGGACCGCUGUAGAUAGAGGGGGGAAGGUUAUGGAGAUGUUGGUGAAUAUGGCAGAGGUGUUGGUGUAGAUCGCGGUGAUGAUGAUGGCCCCCGGUGGCGUUCCGGCGCCACCGGAAGCGAGGGGGGAGAGCCCCCCUCCUUAUUCUUCUUCUUCCUUGACCUUCUCCCUAUAUGGGAGAAGGGUUUCCCCUCUGGUCCAUGGCCUCCAUGGCAUGGGAGGGGCGAGAGCCCCUCCGAGAUUGGAUCUGUCUCUCUGUCUCUUUCUGUUUCUGCGUUCUCAGAUUCUUACCUUUCACCAUUUCUUAUAUUCCUAGAGAUCCGUAACUCCGAUUGGGCUGAAAUUUUAACACGAUCUCUAUCCGGAUAUUAGCUUUCUUGCGACGAAAGAAGGGCAUCAACCGCCUUACGGGUGGUCCAUGAGGGUCAGGGGCGCGCCCCCCUACCUCGUGGCCACCUCAGGCACCGUCUCGCGUGGAUUUUUCUUCCCAAAAAUCAUAUAUAUUCCAAAAAAAAUCUCCGUAAGUUUUUAUCCCGUUUGGACUCCGUUUGAUAUGGAUAUUCUGCGAAACAAAAAACAUGCAACAAACAGGAACUGGCACUGGGCACUGAAUCAAUAUGUUAGUCCCAAAAAUAGUAUAAAAAGUUGCCAAAAGUAUAUGAAAGUUGAAUAAUAUUGGCAUGGAACAAUCAAAAAUUAUAGAUACGACGGAGACGUAUCACACAUCAUUCCCCACAUGUGCUCCGGCGACUUCGCCACCAUGGAGCAACAAACCGGCGAGCCCGCGCCGCUUCAUUCAAAAAAUUCCGACGAGAUCCACGGUCGCACAUCCUCAUCUCCUCUAUUGUUUCUCCUCCAUACCCCUCCUCACCAUGGGCACGUAAUCCCGCUGCUCGCUCAUAUUGCUUCAGUGACCCCCACAUCAUGGGAGGGCAAACCCACUGGAGACGAGGUGCUGGAACCGACGAGGUCAGAUGCCUUGCAACCGGCGAGCAUAAUGCUUGGGGGCAGUGAUGGUGGUGCCUUGUUGUUUACAACCAGGGGCGCGGCGGUGAUUCGAAACCACUAGCUGAUUUUUGUUGGAAUCAACCGGGGCGGAAGCUGGAACCAGCGACCUUUUUUUGCUACAACCGGCUAACGUAGGAGCUGGAACCAUCAACUUUUUUUGUUGGAACCAACCGGAGAGGGAGCUGGAACCAGCAAUUUUGUUGUUGCAACUUGCCCACACCGGAGCUGGAACCAAUAGUUGCUUUUGCUGGUGUUGGAAAUAUGCCCUAGAGGCAAUAAUAAAAUGGUUAUUAUUAUAUUUCUUUGUUCAUGAUAAUUGUCUAUUAUUCAUGCUAUAAUUGUGUUAUCCGGAAAUCGUAAUACAUGUGUGAAUACAUAGACCACAACACGUCCCUAGUGAGCCUCUAGUUGAUCAAAAGAUAGUCUUGGUUUCCUGACUAUGGACAUUGGAUGUCAUUGAUAACGGGAUCACAUCAUUAGGAGAAUGAUGUGAUGGACAAGACCCAAUCCUAAGCAUAGCUCAAAAGAUCGUGUAGUUCAUUUGCUGUAGCUUUUCCGAAUGUCAAGUAUCAUUCCUUAGACCAUGAGAUUGUGCAACUCCCGGAUACCGUAGGAGUGCUUUGGGUGUGCCAAACGUCACAACGUAACUGGGUGACUAUAAGGUACACUAUGGGUAUCUCCGAAAGUGUCUGUUGGGUUGGCUCGAAUCGAGACUGGGAUUUGUCACUCCGCAUGACGGAAAGGUAUCUCUAGGCCCACUCAGUAAUGCAUCAUCAUAAUGAGCUCAAUGUGAUCAAGUGGUUGAUCAUGGGAUCAUGCAUUACGGUACGAGUAAAGUGACUUGCCGGUAACGAGAUUGAACGAGGUAUUGGGAUACCGACGAUCGAGUCUCAGGCAAGUAACGUACCGAUUGACAAAGGGAAUUGUAUACGGAUUGAUUGAAUCCUCGACAUCGUGGUUCAUCCGAUGAGAUCAUCGAGGAGCAUGUGGGAGCCAACAUGGGUAUCUAGAUCCCGCUGUUGGUUAUUGACCGGAGAGUCAUCUCGGUCAUGUAUGCAUGUCUCCCGAACCCGUAGGGUCUACACACUUAAGGUUCGGUGACGCUAGGGUUGUUGAGAUAUUAGUAUACGGUAACCCGAAAGUUGUUAGGAGUCCCGGAUGAGAUCCCGUACGUCAUGAGGAGUUUCGGAAUGGUCCGGAGGUGAAGAUUUAUAUAUAGGAAGUCAAGUUUCGGUCAUCGGGGAAGUUUCGGGGGUAAUCGGUAUUGUACCGUGACCACCGGAAGGGUCCCGGGGGUCCACCGGGUGGGGCCACCUAUCCCGGAGGGCCCCAUGGGCUGAAGUGGGUUGGGAACCAGCCCCUAGUGGGCUGGUGCGCCCCCCUUGGGCCUCCCCCUGCACCUAGGGUUGGAAACCCUAGGGGUGGGGGGCGCCACCCUUGCCUUGGGGGGCAAGCCACCCCCUUGGCCGCCGCCCCCCUAGGAGAUUGGAUCUCCUAGGGCCGGCGCCCCCCCUAGGGACACUAUAUAUAGUGGGGGGAAGGGAGGGCGGCCACACCCCAAGCCCCUGGCCUCUCCCUCUCCCUCCCGUGACACUCCUAUGUCUCCCUGCGCUUGGCGAAGCCCUGCCGAGAUCAGCGUUGCUUCCACCACCACGCCGUCGUGCUGCUGGAUCUUCAUCAACCUCUCCCUCCCCCUUGCUGGAUCAAGUUGGAGGAGACGUCUUCCCAACCGUACGUGUGUUGAACGCGGAGGUGCCGUCCGUUCGGCACUUGGUCAUCGGUGAUUUGGAUCACGACGAGUACGACUCCAUCAACCCCGUUCUGUUGAACGCUUCCGGGCGCGAUCUACAAGGGUAUGUAGAUGCACUCCUCUCUCCCUUGUUGCUAGAUGAUUCCAUAGAUUGAUCUUGGUGAUGCGUAGAAAAUUUUAAAAUUCUGCUACGUUCCCCAACAGUGGCAUCAUGAGCUAGGUCUAUGCGUAGUUUCUAUGCACGAGUAGAACACAAAGCAGUUGUGAGCGUCGAUAUUGUCAAUUAUCUUGCUGUUACUAGUCUUAUCUUGAUUCGGCGGCUUUGUGGGAUGAAGCGGCCCGGACCGACCUUACACGUAUGCUUACGUGAGACUGGUUCCAUCGACUGACAUGCACUAGUUGCAUAAGGUGGCUGGCGGGUGUCUGUCUCUCCCACUUUAGUCGGAUCGGAUUCGAUGAACAGGGUCCUUAUGAAGGGUAAAUAGAAAUUGGCAAUUCACGUUGUGGUUUUGGCGUAGGUAAGAAACGUUCUUGCUAGAAACCUAUAGCAGCCACGUAAAAACUUGCAACAACAAUUAGAAGACGUCUAACUUGUUUUUGCAGCAAGUGUUUUGUGAUGCGAUAUGGCCAAAGGAUGUGAUGAAUGAUAUAUGUGAUGUAUGAGAUGAUCAUGUUCUUGUAAUAGGAAUCACGACUUGCAUGUCGAUGAGUAUGACAACCGGCGGGAGCCAUAGGAGUUGUCUUUAUUUAUUUAUGACCUGCGUGUCAACAUAAACGUCAUGUAAUUACUUUACUUUAUUGCUAAAGCGUUAGCCAUAGUAGUAGAAGUAAUAGAUGACGAGAAAACUUCAAGAAGACACGAUGAUGGAGAUCAUGAUGAUGGAGAUCAUGGUGUCAUGCCGGUGACAAUGAUGAUCAUGAAGCCCCGAAGAUGGAGAUCAAAAGGAGCAAAUGAUAUUGGCUAUAUCAUGUCACUAUUUGAUUGCAUGUGAUGUUUAUCAUGUUUUACAUCUUAUUUGCUUAGAACGACGGUAGCUUAAAUAAGAUGAUCCCUCGUAAUAAUUUCAAGAAAGUGUUCCCCCUAACUGUGCACCAUUGCGAAGGCUCGUUGUUUCGAAGCACCACGUGAUGAUCGGGUGUGAUAGAUUCCAACGUUCGUAUACAACGGGUGUAAGCCAGAUUUACACACGCAAUACACUUAGGUUGACUUGACGAGCCUAGCAUGUACAGACAUGGCCUCGGAACACGGAAGACCGAAAGGUCGAGCAUGAGUCGUAUAGAAGAUACAAUCAACAUGAAGAUGUUCACCGAUGUUGGCUAGUCCGUCUCACGUGAUGAUCGGACACGGCCUAGUUAACUCGGAUCAUGUUUCACUUAGAUGACUGGAGGGAUGUCUAUCUGAGUGGGAGUUCAUUGAGUAAUUUGAUUAGAUGAACUUAAUUAUCAUGAACUUAGUCUAAAAUCUUUACAAUAUGUCUUGUAGAUCAAAUGGCCCAUGUUGUCCUCAACUUCAACGCGUUCCUAGAGAAAACCAAGCUGAAAGAUGAUGGCAGCAACUAUACGGACUGGGUCCGGAACCUGAGGAUCAUCCUCAUAGCUGCCAAGAAAGAUUAUGUCCUAGAAGCACCGCUAGGUGACGCACCCAUCCCAGAGAACCAAGACGUUAUGAACGCUUGGCAGUCACGUGCUGAUGAUUACUCCCUCGUUCAGUGCAGCAUGCUUUACAGCUUAGAACCGGGGCUCCAAAAGUGUUUUGAGAGACACGGAGCAUAUGAGAUGUUCGAAGAGCUGAAAAUGGUUUUCCAAGCUCAUGUCCGGGUCGAGAGAUAUGAAGUCUCCGACAAGUUCUUCAGCUGUAAGAUGGAGGAAAAUAGUUCUGUCAGUGAGCACAUACUCAAAAUGUCUGGGUUACAUAACCACUUGACUCGGCUGGGAGUUAAUCUCCCGGAUGACGCGGUCAUUGACAGAAUCCUUCAGUCGCUUCCACCGAGCUACAAGAGCUUUGUGAUGAACUUCAAUAUGCAGGGGAUGGAAAAGACCAUUCCUGACGUGUAUUCAAUGCUGAAAUCAGCAGAGGUGGAAAUCAAAAAGGAACAUCAAGUGUUUAUGGUGAAUAAAACCACUAAGUUCAAGAAAGGCAAGGGUAAAAAGAACUUCAAGAAGGACGGCAAGGGAGUUGCCGCGCCCGGUAAGCAAGCUGCCGGGAAGAAGCCAAAGAAUGGACCCAAGCCCGAGACUGAGUGUUUUUAUUGCAAGGGAAGUGGUCACUGGAAGCGGAACUGCCCCAAAUACUUAGCGGACAAGAAGGCCGGCAACACUAAAGGUAUAAGUGAUAUACAUGUAAUUGAUGUGUACCUUACCAGUACUCAUAGUAGCUCCUGGGUAUUUGAUACCGGUGCGGUUGCUCACAUUUGUAACUCAAAGCAGGAGCUGCGGAAUAAGCGGAGACUGGCGAAGGACGAGGUGACGAUGCGCGUCGGGAAUUGUUCCAAGGUCGAUGUGAUCGCCGUCGGCACGCUACCUCUACAUUUACCAACGGGAUUAGUUUUAAACCUCAAUAAUUGUUAUUUAGUGCCAGCUUUGAGCAUGAACAUUGUAUCAGGAUCUCGUUUAAUUCGAGAUGGCUACUCAUUUAAAUUCGAGAAUAAUGGUUGUUCUAUUUAUAUGAGAGAUAUGUUUUAUGGUCAUGCUCCGAUGGUGAAUGGUUUAUUCUUAAUGAAUCUCGAGCGUAAUGUUACACAUAUUCAUAGUGUGAAAACCAAAAGAUGUAAAGUUGAUAAUGAUAGUCCCACAUACUUGUGGCACUGCCGCCUUGGUCACAUAGGUGUCAAACGCAUGAAGAAGCUCCAUGCAGAUGGACUUUUGGAGUCUCUUGAUUACGAAUCAUUUGACACGUGCGAACCAUGCCUCAUGGGUAAAAUGACCAAGACUCCGUUCUCAGGAACAAUGGAGCGAGCAACCAACUUAUUGGAAAUCAUACAUACUGAUGUGUGCGGUCCAAUGAGUGUUGAGGCUCGCAGUGGCUAUUGUUAUGUUAUCACCCUCACUAAUGACUUGGGUAGAUAUGGGUAUGUCUACUUAAUGAAACACAAGUCUGAGACCUUUGAAAAGUUCAAGGAAUUUCAGAGUGAGGUUGAGAAUCAACGUGACAGGAAAAUCAAGUUCUUACGAUCAGAUCGUGGGGGAGAAUACUUGAGUCACGAAUUUGGCACACACUUAAGAAAAUGUGGAAUAGUUUCACAACUCACGCCGCCUGGAACACCUCAGCGUAAUGGUGUGUCCGAACGUCGUAAUCGCACUCUAUUGGAUAUGGUGCGAUCUAUGAUGUCUCUUACCGAUCUACCGCUGUCAUUUUGGGGCUAUGCUUUAGAGACUGCCGCAUUCACUUUAAAUAGGGCUCCGUUGAAAUCCGUUGAGACGACACCGUAUGAAUUAUGGUUUCGGAAGAAACCUAAGCUGUCGUUUCUAAAAGUUUGGGGAUGCGAUGCUUAUAUCAAGAAACUUCAACCUGAAAAGCUCGAACCCAAAUCGGAAAAAUGCAUCUUCAUAGGAUACCCUAAAGAAACUAUUGGGUAUACCUUCUACCUCAGAUCCGAAGGCAAGAUCUUUGUUGCCAAGAAUGGGUCCUUUCUAGAGAAAGAGUUUCUCUCGAAAGAAAUAAGUGGGAGGAAAGUAGAACUUGAUGAAGUAUUACCUCUUGAACCGGUAAGUGACGCAGCUCAAGAAAAUGUUCCUAAGGUGCCAGCACCGACUAGAGAGGAAGUUGAUGAUGAUGAUCAUGAAACUUCAGAUCAAGUUGCUACUGAACUUCAUAGGUCCACGAGGACACGUUCCAAACCAGAGUGGUACGGCAACCCUGUCUUGGAAAUCAUGUUGUUAGACAACGGUGAACCUUCGAACUAUGAAGAAGCGAUGGCGGGCCCGGAUUCUGACAAAUGGCUGGAAGCCAUGAAAUCCGAGAUAGGAUCCAUGUAUGAAAACGAAGUAUGGACUUUGACCGACUUGCCCAUUGAACGGCGAGCCAUAGAAAAUAAAUGGAUCUUUAAGAAGAAGACAGACGCGGAUGGUAAUGUGACCAUCUAGAAAGCUCGGCUUGUCGCUAAGGGUUAUCGACAAGUUCAAGGGCUUGACUACGAUGAGACUUUCUCACCCGUAGCGAAGCUGAAGCCCGUCCGAAUCAUGUUAGCAAUUGUCGCAUUCUAUGAUUAUGAGAUAUGGCAAAUGGACGUCAAAACGGCAUUCCUUAAUGGUUUCCUUAAGGAAGAAUUGUAUAUGAUGCAGCCGGAAGGUUUUGUCGAUCCUAAGAAUGUUGACAAGGUGUGCAAGCUCCAACGCUCGAUUUAUGGGCUGGUGCAAGCAUCUCGGAGUUGGAACAUUCAUUUUGAUGAGAUGAUCAAAGUAUUUGGGUUUACGCAGACUUAUGGAGAAGCCUGCAUUUACAAGAAAGUGAGUGGGAGCUCUGUAGCAUUUCUCAUAUUGUAUGUGGAUGACAUACUGUUGAUGGGAAAUGAUAUAGAAUUCUUGGAAAGUAUAAAGGCCUACUUGAACAAGUGUUUUUCAAUGAAGAAUCUUGGAGAAGCUGCUUAUAUAUUAGGCAUCAAGAUCUAUAGAGAUAGAUCGAGACGCCUCAUUGGUCUUUCACAGAGUACGUACCUUGACAAGAUAUUGAAGAAGUUCAAAAUGGAUCAGUCAAAGAAGGGGUUCUUGCCUGUAUUGCAAGGUACGAGAUUGAGCACGGCUCAAUGCCCGACCACGUCAGAAGAUAGAGAAAAGAUGAGUGUCGUCCCCUAUGCCUCAGUCAUAGGGUCUAUCAUGUAUGCUAUGCUAUGUACCAAACCUGAUGUAAACCUUGUCGUAAGUUUGGUAGGAAGGUACCAAAGUAAUCCCGGCAUGGAACACUGGACAGCGGUCAAGAAUAUCCUGAAAUACCUGAAAAGGACUAAGGAUAUGUUUCUCGUUUAUGGAGGUGUCGAAGAGCUCGUCGUAAAGGGUUACAUCGAUGCUAGACUCUAAGUCACAAACCGGAUACGUGUAUAUUUUGAAUGGUGGGGCAGUAAGCUGGUGAAGUUGCAAGCAAAGCGUUGUGCGGGAUCUACAUGUGAAGCGGAGUACAUGGCAGCCUCGGAGGCAGCACAAGAAGCAGUCUGGGUGAAGGAGUUCAUUACCGACCUAGGAGUCAUACCCAAUGCGUCGGGCCCGAUGGCUCUCUUCUGUGACAACACUGGAGCUAUUGCCCUUGCCAAUGAGCCCAGGUUUCACAGGAAGACCAGGCAUAUCAAGCGUUGCUUCAACUCCAUUCGUGAAAGUGUUCAAAAUGGAGACAUAGAGAUUUGUAAAGUACAUACAGAUCUGAAUGUGGCAGAUCUGUUGACUAAACCUCUCCCUAGAGCAAAACAUGAUCAACACCAGAACUGCAUGGGUGUUCGAUUCAUCACAAUGUAACUAGACUAUUGACUCUAGUGCAAGUGGGAGACUGUUGGAAAUAUGCCCUAGAGGCAAUAAUAAAAUGGUUAUUAUUAUAUUUCUUUGUUCAUGAUAAUUGUCUAUUAUUCAUGCUAUAAUUGUGUUAUCCGGAAAUCGCAAUACAUGUGUGAAUACAUAGACCACAACACGUCCCUAGUGAGCCUCUAGUUGAUUAGCUCGUUGAUGAAAAGAUAGUCUUGGUUUCCUGACUAUGGACAUUGGAUGUCAUUGAUAACGGGAUCACAUCAUUAGGAGAAUGAUGUGAUGGACAAGACCCAAUCCUAAGCAUAGCUCAAAAGAUCGUGUAGUUCGUUUGCUGUAGCUUGUCUGAAUGUCAAGUAUCAUUCCUUAGACCAUGAGAUUGUGCAACUCCCGGAUACCGUAGGAGUGCUUUGGGUGUGCCAAACGUCACAACGUAACUGGGUGACUAUAAAGGUACACUACAGGUAUCUCCGAAAGUGUCUGUUGGGUUGGCUCGAAUCGAUACUGGGAUUUGUCACUCCGCAUGACGGAGAGGUAUCUCUGGGCCCACUCAGUAAUGCAUCAUCAUAAUGAGCUCAAUGUGAUCAAGUGGUUGAUCACGGGAUCAUGCAUUACGGUACGAGUAAAGUGACUUGCUGGUAAUGAGAUUGAACGAGGUAUUGGGAUACCGACGAUCGAGUCUCGGGUAAGUAACGUACCGAUUGACAAAGGGAAUUGUAUACGGAUUGAUUGAAUCCUCGACAUCGUGGUUCAUCCGAUGAGAUCAUCGAGGAGCAUGUGGGAGCCAACAUGGGUAUCCAGGUCCCGCUGUUGGUUAUUGACCGGAGAGUCGUCUCGGUCAUGUCUGCAUGUCUCCCGAACCCGUAGGGUCUACACACUUAAGGUUCGGUGACGCUAGGGUUGUUGAGAUAUUAAUAUACGGUAACGCGAAAGUUGUUCGGAGUCCAGGAUGAGAUCCCGGACGUCACGAGGAGUUCCGGAAUGGUCCGGAGGUGAAGAUUUAUAUAUAGGAAGUCAAGUUUCGGCCAUCGGGAAAGUUUCGGGGGUAAUCGGUAUUGUACCGGGACCACCGGAAGGGUCCCGGGGGUCCACCUAUCCCGGAGGGCCCCAUGGGAUGAAGUGGGUUGGGAACCAGCCCCUAGUGCGCUGGUGUGCCCCCUUGUGUUGGGGAACGUAGUAAUUUCAAAAAAAUUCCUACGCACACGCAAGAUCAUGAUGAUGCAUAGCAACGAGAGGGGGAGAGUGUGAUCUACGUACCCUUGUAGAUCGACAACGCAAGCGUUAACUUGGUUGAUGUAGUCGUACGUCUUCACGGCCCGACCGAUCAAGCACCGAAACUACAGCACCUCCGAGUUCUAGCACACGUUCAGCUCGAUGACGAUCCCCGGACUCUGAUCCAGCAAAGUGUCGGGGAAGAGUUCGGUCAGCACGACGGCGUGGUGACGAUCUUGAUGUACUACUGUCACAGGGCUUCGCCUAAGCACCGCUACAAUAUUAUCGAGGACUAUGGUGGAAGGGGGCACCGCACACGGCUAAGAAUAUGAUCACGUGGAUCAACUUGUGUCUCUAGGGGGUGCCCCUGCCUCCGUAUAUAAAGGCUCAUGGGAGGGGGGCAGGCCAGCCAGGAGAGGCGCGCCAGGAGGAGUCCUACUCCCUCUGGGAGUAGGACUCCCCCCUUUCCAAGUUGGAAUAGGAUUCACGGAGGGGGGAAAAGAGGAGAGAGAGGAGGAAGGGGGGCCGGCCCCCUCUCCUUGUCCAAUUCGGACCAAGGGGGGAGGGGCGUGCGGCCCAUCUCUGGCCACCUCUCCUCUCUUCCACUAAGGCCCACUAAGGCCCAUAUACCUCCCGGGGGGGGGUUCCGGUAACCUCCCGGUACUCCGGUAAAAUCCCGAUUUCACCCGGAACACUUCCGAUAUCCAAACAUAGGCUUCCAAUAUAUCAAUCUUUAUGUCUCGACCAUUUCGAGACUCCUCGUCAUGUCUGUGAUCACAUCCGGGACUCCGAACAACCUUCGGUACAUCAAAAUGCAUAAACUCAUAAUAUAACUGUCAUCGUAACCUUAAGCGUGCGGACCCUACGGGUUCGAGAACAAUGUAGACAUGACCGAGACACGUCUCCGGUCAAUAACCAAUAUCUCGAAAUACACCAACCCAACAUGUACCUUUGGAGACACCUGUAGAGAUCCUUUAUAAUCACCCAGUUACGUUGUGACGUUUGGUAGCACACAAAGUGUUCCUCUGGCAAACGGGAGUUGCAUAAUCUCAUAGUCAUAGGAACAUGUAUAAGUCAUGAAGAAAGCAAUAGCAACAUACUAAACGAUCGGGUGCUAAGCUAAUGGAAUGGGUCAUGUCAAUCAGAUCAUUCAACUAAUGAUGUGAUCCCAUUAAUCAAAUAACAACUCUUUGUCCAUGGUUAGGAAACAUAACCAUCUUUGAUUAACGAGCUAGUCAAGUAGAGGCAUACUAGUGACACUCUGUUUGUCUAUGUAUUCACACAUGUAUUAUGUUUCCGGUUAAUACAAUUCUAGCAUGAAUAAUAAACUUUUAUCAUGAUAUAAGGAAAUAAAUAAUAACUUUAUUAUUGCCUCUAGGGCAUAUUUCCUUCAGUCUCCCACUUACACUAGAGUCAAUAAUCUAGAUUACACAGUAAUGAUUCUAACACCCAUGGAGCCUUGGUGCUGAUCAUGUUUUGCUCGUGGAAGAGGCUUAGUCAACGGGUCUGCAACAUUCAGAUCCUUAUGUAUCUUGCAAAUCUCUAUGUCUCCCACCUGGACUAGAUCCCGGAUGGAAUUGAAGCAUCUCUUGAUGUGCUUGGUUCUCUUGUGAAAUCUGGAUUCCUUCGCCAAGGCAAUUGCACCAGUAUUGUCACAAAAGAUUUUCAUUGGACCCGAUGCACUAGGUAUGACACCUAGAUCGGAUAUGAACUCCUUCAUCCAGACUCCUUCAUUUGCUGCUUCCGAAGCAGCUAUGUAUUCCGCUUCACACGUAGAUCCCGCCACGACGCUUUGUUUAGAACUGCACCAACUGACAGCUCCACCGUUUCAUGUAAACACGUAUCCGGUUUGCAAUUUAGAAUCGUCCGGAUCAGUGUCAAAGCUUGCAUCAACGUAACCGUUUACGAUGAGCUCUUUGUCACCUCCAUAUAUGAGAAACAUAUCCUUAGUCCUUUUCAGGUACUUCAGGAUGUUCUUGACCGCUGUCCAGUGAUCCACUCCUGGAUUACUUUGGUACCUCCCUGCUAGACUUAUAGCAAGGCACACAUCAGGUCUGGUACACAGCAUUGCAUACAUGAUAGAGCCUAUGGCUGAAGCAUAGGGAACAUCUUUCAUUUUAUCUCUAUCUUCUGUAGUGGUCGGGCAUUGAGUCUGACUCAACUUCACACCUUGUAACACAGGCAAGAACCCUUUCUUUGCUUGAUCCAUUUUGAACUUCUUCAAAAUCUUGUCAAGGUAUGUGCUUUGUGAAAGUCCAAUUAAACGUCUUGAUCUAUCUCUAUAGAUCUUUAUGCCUAAUAUGUAAGCAGCUUCACCGAGGUCUUUCAUUGAAAAACUCUUAUUCAAGUAUCCCUUUAUGCUAUCCAGAAAUUCUAUAUCAUUUUCGAUCAGUAAUAUGUCGUCCACAUAUAAUAUCAGAAAUGCUACAGAGCUCCCACUCACUUUCUUGUAAAUACAGGCUUCUCCAAAAGUCUGUAUAAAACCAAAUGCUUUGAUCACACUAUCAAAGCGUUUAUUCCAACUCCGAGAGGCUUGCACCAGUCCAUAAAUGGAUCGCUGGAGCUUGCACACUUUGUUAGCUCCCUUUGGAUCGACAAAACCUUUCGGUUGCAUCAUAUACAACUCUUCUUCCAGAAAUCCAUUCAGGAAUGCAGUUUUGACAUCCAUCUGCCAAAUUUCAUAAUCAUAAAAUGUGGCAAUUGCUAACAUGAUUCGGACAGACUUAAGCAUCGCUACGGGUGAGAAGGUCUCAUCAUAGUCAACCCCUUGAACUUGCUGAAACCCUUUUGCGACAAGUCGAGCUUUGUAGACAAUAAUAUUACCGUCGGCGUCAGUCUUCUUCUUGAAGAUCCAUUUAUUAUCAAUUGCUUGCCGAUCAUUGGGCAAGUCAACCAAAGUCCACACUUUGUUCUCAUACAUGGAUCCCAUCUCAAAUUUCAUGGCUUCAAGCCAUUUUGCGGAAUCUGGGCUCACCAUCGCUUCUUCAUAGUUCGUAGGUUCAUCAUGAUCUAGUAGCAUGACUUCCAGAACUGGAUUACCGUACCACUCUGGCGCGGAUCUCACUCUGGUUGAUCUACGAGGUUCAGAAGUAUCUUGUUCUGAAGUUUCAUGAUCAUUAUCAUUGGCUUCCUCACUAAUUGGUGUAGGUGUCACAGAAACAGUUUUUUGUGAUGCACUACUUUCCAAUAAGGGAGCAGGUACAGUUACCUCGUCAAGUUCUACUUUCCCCCCACUCACUUCUUUCGAGAGAAACUCCUUCUCUAGAAAGUUUCCGAACUUAGCAACAAAAGUCUUGCCUUCGGAUCUAUGAUAGAAGGUGUAUCCAAUAGUCUCCUUUGGAUAUCCUAUGAAGACACAUUUCUCCGAUUUGGGUUCGAGCUUAUCAGGUUGAAGCUUUUUCACAUAAGCAUCGCAACCCCAAACUUUCAGAAACGACAACUUUGGUUUCUUGCCAAACCAUAGUUCAUAAGGCGUCGUCUCAACGGAUUUUGAUGGUGCCCUAUUUAACGUGAAUGCGGCCAUCUCCAAAGCAUAACCCCAAAACGACAGCAGUAAAUCAGUAAGAGACAUCAUAGAUCGCACCAUAUCUAGUAAAGUACGAUUACGACGUUCGGACACACCAUUACGCUGUGGUGUUCCGGGUGGCAUGAGUUGCGAAACUAUUCCGCAUUGUUUCAAAUGUACACCAAACUCGUAACUCAAAUAUUCUCCUCCACGAUUUGAUUGUAGAAACUUUAUUUUCUUGUUACGAUGAUUUUCAACUUCACUCUGAAAUUCUUUGAACUUUUCAAACGUUUCAGACUUAUGUUUCAUUAAGUAGAUAUACCCAUAUCUGCUUAAGUCAUCUGUGAAGGUGAGAAAAUAACGAUAUCCGCCACGAGCCUCAAUAUUCAUCGGACCACAUACAUCUGUAUGUAUGAUUUCCAACAAAUCUGUUGCUCUCUCCAUAGUACUGGAGAACGGCGUUUUAGUCAUCUUGCCCAUGAGGCACGGUUCGCAAGUACCAAGUGAUUCAUAAUCAAGUGGUUCCAAAAGUCCAUCAGUAUGGAGUUUCUUCAUGCGCUUUACACCGAUAUGACCUAAACGGCAGUGCCACAAAUAAGUUGCACUAUCAUUAUCAACUAUGCAUCUUUUGGCUUCAACAUUAUGAAUAUGUGUGUUACUACUAUCGAGAUUCAAUAAGAAUAGCCCACUCUUCAAGGGUGCAUGACCAUAAAAGAUAUUACUCAUAUAAAUAGAAUAACCAUUAUUCUCUGAUUUAAAUGAAUAACCGUCUCGCAUCAAACAAGAUCCAGAUAUAAUGUUCAUGCUUAACGCUGGCACCAAAUAACAAUUAUUUAGGUCUAAUAUUAAUCCCGAAGGUAGAUGUAGAGGUAGCGUGCCGACCGCGAUCACAUCGACUUUGAAACCGUUUCCCACACGCAUCGUCACCUCGUCCUUAGCCAAUCUUCGCUUAAUUCGUAGUCCCUGUUUCGAGUUGCAAAUAUUAGCAACAGAACUAGUAUCAAAUACCCAGGUGCUACUGCGAGUAUUAGUAAGGUACACAUCAAUAACAUGUAUAUCACAUAUACCUUUGUUCACCUUGCCAUCCUUCUUAUCCGCCAAAUACUUGGGGCAGUUCCGCUUCCAGUGACCAGUCUGCUUGCAGUAGAAGCACUCAGUUUCAGGCUUAGGUCCAGACUUGGGUUUCUUCUCUUGAGCAGCAUCUUGCUUGAUGUUCUUCUUGAAGUUCCCCUUCUUCUUCCCUUUGCCCUUUUCUUGAAACUAGUGGUCUUGUUGACCAUCAACACUUGAUGCUCCUUUUUGAUUUCUACCUCCGCAGCUUUCAGCAUUGCGAAGAGCUCGGGAAUAGUCUUAUUCAUCCCUUGCAUAUUAUAGUUCAUCACGAAGCUCUUGUAGCUUGGUGGCAGUGAUUGGAGAAUUCUGUCAAUGACGCAAUCAUCUGGAAGAUUAACUCCCAUUUGAAUCAAGUGAUUAUUAUACCCAGACAUUUUUAGUAUAUGCUCACUGACAGAACUGUUCUCCUCCAUCUUGCAGCUAUAGAACUUAUUGGAGACUUCAUAUCUCUCAAUCCGGGCAUUUGCUUGAAAUAUUAACUUCAACUCCUGGAAGAUCUCAUAUUCUCCAUGAUGUUCAAAACGUCGUUGAAGUCCCGGUUCUAAGCCGUAAAGCAUGGCACACUGAACUAUCGAGUAGUCAUCAGCUUUGCUCUGCCAGACGUUCACAACAUCUGGUGUUGCUCCAGCAGCAGGCCUGGCACCCAGCGGUGCUUCCAGGACGUAAUUCUUCUGUGCAGCAAUGAGGAUAAUCCUCAAGUUACGGACCCAGUCCGUGUAAUUGCUACCAUCAUCUUUCAACUUUGCUUUCUCAAGGAACGCAUUAAAAUUCAACGGAACAAUAGCGCGGGCCAUUUAUCUACAAUCAUACAUAAACAAGCAAGAUACUAUCAGGUACUAAGUUCAUGAUAAAUUUAGGUUCAAUUAAUCAUAUUACUUAAAGAACUCCCACUUAGAUAGACAUCCCUCUAAUCCUCUAAGUGAUUACGUGAUCCAAAUCAACUAAACCAUGUCCGAUCAUCACGUGAGAUAGAGUAGUUUCAUUGGUGAACAUCACUAUGUUGAUCAUAUCUACUAUAUGAUUCACGCUUGACCUUUCGGUCUCCGUGUUCCGAGGCCAUAUCUGUAUAUGCUUGGCUCGUCAAGUAUAACCUGAGUAUUACCCGCGUGCAACUGUUUUGCACCCGUUGUAUUUGAACGUAGAGCCUAUCACACCCGAUCAUCACGUGGUGUCUCAGCACAAAGAACUUUCACAACGGUGCAUACUCAGGGAGAACACUUCUUGAUAAUUUAGUGAGAGAUCAUCUUAUAAUGCUACCGUCAAUCAAAGCAAGAUAAGAUGCAUAAAAGAUAAACAUCACAUGCAAUCAAUAUAAGUAAUAUGAUAUGGCCAUCAUCAUCUUGUGCUUGUGAUCUCCAUCUCCGAAGCACCGUCAUGAUCGCCAUCGUCACCGGCGCGACACCUUGAUCUCCAUUGUAGCAUCGUUGUCGUCUCGCCAAUCUUAUGCUUCCACGACUAUCGCUACCGCUUAGUGAUAAAGUAAAGCAUUACAACGCGAUUGCAUUGCAUACAAUAAAGCGACAACCAUAUGGCUCCUGCCAGUUGCCGAUAACUUGGUUACAAAACAUGAUCAUCUCAUAUAAUAAAAUUUAGCAUCAUGUCUUGACCAUAUCACAUCACAACAUGCCCUGCAAAAACAAGUUAGACGUCCUCUACUUUGUUGUUGCAUGUUUUACGUGGCUGCUACGGGCUUAAGCAAGAACCAAUCUUACCUACGCAUCAAAACCACAACGAUAGUUUGUCAAGUUGGUGAUGUUUUAACCUUCACAAGGACCGGGCGUAGUCACACUCGGUUCAACUAAAGUUGGAGAAACUGUCACCCGCAAGCCACCUAUGUGCAAAGCAUGUCGGGAGAACCGGUCUCGCAUAAGCGUACGUGUAAUGUCGGUCCGGGCCGCUUCGUCCAACAAUACCGCCGAACCAAAGUAUGACAUGCUGGUAAGCAGUAUGACUUAUAUCGCCCACAACUCACUUGUGUUCUACUCGUGCAUAUAACAUCAACAUAUAAAACCUAGGCUCUGAUACCACUGUUGGGGAACGUAGUAAUUUCAAAAAAAAUUCCUACGCACACGCAAGAUCAUGAUGAUGCAUAGCAACGAGAGGGGGAGAGUGUGAUCUACGUACCCUUGUAGAUCGACAACGCAAGCGUUAACUUGGUUGAUGUAGUCGUACGUCUUCACAGCCCGACCGAUCAAGCACCGAAACUACGACACCUCCGAGUUCUAGCACACGUUCAGCUCGAUGACGAUCCCCGGACUUUGAUCCAGCAAAGUGUCGGGGAAGAGUUCGGUCAGCACGACGGCGUGGUGACGAUCUUGAUGUACUACUGUCGCAGGGCUUCGCCUAAGCACCGCUACAAUAUUAUCGAGGACUAUGGUGGAAGGGGGCACCGCACACGGCUAAGAAUAUGAUCACGUGGAUCAACUUGUGUCUCUAGGGGGUGCCCCUGCCUCCGUAUAUAAAGGCUCAAGGGAGGGGGGGCGGCCGGCCAGGAGAGGCACGCCAGGAGGAGUCCUACUCCCUCUGGGAGUAGGACUCCCCCCCCCUUUCCUAGUUGGAAUAGGAUUCGCGGAGGGGGGAAAAGAGGAGAGAGAGGAGGAAGGGGGGCCGGCCCCCUCUCCUUGUCCAAUUCGGACCAAGGGGGGAAGGGGCGCGCGGCCCAUCUCUGUCCACCUCUCCUCUCUUCCACUAAGGCCCACUAAGACCCAUAUACCUCCCGGGGGGUUCCGGUAACCUCCCGGUACUCCGGUAAAAUCCCGAUUUCACCCGGAACACUUCCGAUAUCCAAACAUAGGCUUCCAAUAUAUCAAUUUUGAUUUCUCGACCAUUUUGAGACUCCUCGUCAUGUCCGUGAUCACAUCCGGGACUCCGAACAACCUUCGGUACAUCAAAAUGCAUAAACUCAUAAUAUAAAUGUCAUCGUAACCUUAAGCGUGCGGACCCUACGGGUUCGAGAACAAUGUAGACAUGACCGAGACACGUCUCCAGUCAAUAACCAAUAGCGGAACCUGGAUGCUCAUAUUGGCUCCUACAUAUUCUACGAAGAUCUUUUAUCGGUCAGACCGCAUAACAACAUACGUUGUUCCCUUUGUCAUCGGUAUGUUACUUGCCCGAGAUUCGAUCGUCGGUAUCCUAUACCUAGUUCAAUCUCGUUACCGGCAAGUCUCUUUACUCGUUCUGUAAUACAUCAUCCCGCAACUAACUCAUUAGUUGCAAUGCUUGCAAGGCUUAAGUGAUGUGCAUUACCGAGAGGGCCCAGAGAUACCUCUCCGACAAUCGGAGUGACAAAUCCUAAUCUCGAAAUACGCCAACCCAACAUGUACCUUUGGAGACACCUGUAGAGCUCCUUUAUAAUCACCCAGUUACGUUGUGACGUUUGGUAGCACACAAAGUGUUCCUCUGGCAAACGGGAGUUGCAUAAUCUCAUAGUCAUAGGAACAUGUAUAAGUCAUGAAGAAAGCAAUAGCAACAUACUAAACGAUUGGGUGCUAAGCUAAUGGAAUGGGUCAUGUCAAUCAGAUCAUUCAACUAAUGAUGUGAUCCCGUUAAUCAAAUAACAACUCUUUGUCCAUGGUUAGGAAACAUAACCAUCUUUGAUUAACGAGCUAGUCAAGUAGAGGCAUACUAGUGACACUCUGUUUGUCUAUGUAUUCACACAUGUAUUAUGUUUCCGGUUAAUACAAUUCUAGCAUGAAUAAUAAACUUUUAUCAUGAUAUAAGGAAAUAAAUAAUAACUUUAUUAUUGCCUCUAGGGAAUAUUUCCUUCACCUUGGGCCUCCCCCUGCGCCUAGGGUUGGAAACCCUAGGGGUGGGGGGCACCACCCUUGCCUUGGGGGGCAAGCUACCCCCUUGGUCGCCGCCCCCCUAGGAGAUUGGAUCUCCUAGGGCCCCCCCCCCUAGGGACCCUAUAUAUAGUGGGGGAAGGGAGGGCAGCCGCACCCCAAGCCCCUGGCCUCUCCCUCUCCCUCCCGUGACACUCCUAUGUCUCCCUGCGCUUGGUGAAGCCCUGCUGAGAUCACCGUUGCUUCCACCACCACGCCGUCGUGCUGCUGGAUCUUCAUCAACCUCUCCUUCCCCCUUGCUGGAUCAAGUUGGAGGAGACGUCUUCCCAACCGUACGUGUGUUGAACGCGGAGGUGUCGUCCGUUCGACACUUGGUCAUUGGUGAUUUGGAUCACGAUGAGUACGACUCCAUCAACCCCGUUCUCUUGAACGCUUCCGCGCGCGAUCUACAAGGGUAUGUAGAUGCACUCCUCUCUCCCUCGUUGCUAGAUGACUCCAUAGAUUGAUCUUGGUGAUGCGUAGAAAAUUUUAAAAUUCUGCUACGUUCCCCAACAGCUGGAACCAAAGGUGUGAUUUUGCGGCGGCGACGGGGAAGUCUUGAUUUGUUGUAACCGGCAACCCGCAAAGCUUCCACCGGCAAGCUAUUUUGCUACAACGGUGUUGCGAGAGGAAGACGGUGCCCCUACAACGGCUGUCCGUUUUUUGCUAUAACCGGCUACAUGCGAUGCUGGAACCUGCGACGAGUUGAGCUGCAUCCAUGGUGCAAAAUGCUACGACCAUCAUCUGUUUUUGCUGGGACCAUAGAGAGCGGGGGUGCGAGGGACUGGCGUCAUGAGGACAGCCACCGACGGUACUUCGAGAUCGGCGAGCUCGACGCAGGGUCCGCGGGAGGAGCUCAGUGCGGGGAGGGGCGUAGAGUUGAUCCCGUGCGAGAGGAAGGAAAGAUGUGGCGAAGGUCGAAAAUUGGGACGGCCGGCUAGCGCCUAGCACUACCCAAAAGAAAGUUCCUCUUUGGCUUGUUCUUCUUCUUUUCUUACCCCUUCGACCACAAACAUGCGGCCUGAGGUUGGAGCUCGACCACGCCCGGCCCUGGGAGCUCCUAUGUAGCGCUGCAGGCGCCCGUUAACGAUCCGGCGCCUGCAGCGCUGCUAGCAUGGGCCUGCCCACUAGCGUGUUGCCCUAGUUUGUUUUUUGUUUUUUACAAAAAUAAAAUUAUGAAAUAAAAAAGGUUUACAAAUUUAAAGAAAAAAGGUUCACCCAUUUGAAAAAAAGUUCAUAUCUUUAAAAAAGGUUCAUCAAUUUUGAAAAAAGUUCAUCAAUUUGAAAAAGUUCAUCAAAUUUAGCAAAAGUUCAUUAAUUUUAAAAAAAGUUCAUUAUAUUUGCAAAAUUUCAUAUAAAUUCAAAAAAAGUUCAUGUAUUUUUAGAAAAAAUUCAUUGAACUGAAAAUAAGUUCAUAAAUCUAAAUAAAGUUCAUACAUUUUCAAAAAAAUAUGUUCAUCAAAUUUCAAAAAAGUUCAUUGAUAUUCAAAAAAGUUCGCCAAUCUGAAAAAAAACUGUUGAAAUUUUUAAAAAGUUCAUCGAUAUUCAAAAAUUUCAUAGAAUUUUCACAAACGAAAAUGUCAACCGGCGCCUAGAUGGGCCGGCCCAUUUACGGACGCUGCAGGCGCUAGUUAACAAAAACGCACGUUAACUGGCGCCUGUGGCGCCAAAUAGGAGAUGCCCCCGGCCCUGGCGACUCCAGGCUGGCUCUGAGGCAGGCGCAGUGGCCGAGCCAGUUUUAGAGGAAUGGGUGUACAUAAGGGCAUCUCCAGCCGCACACCCAGGAAGGCCUUCCCAGGCGAUUUUUUCGCGCCGGCGCCAAAAAACGGCCCAGUCGUGCCCCAGGAGUCCGAUUUUCGCCGGCCUGGGCCGAAAACAGCGCCGGCGGACCCAGGCCGAACCCGGUGCGCUGGGGGGUGCCCGGGGGCGCCGGGGCGAGCUGUUUUGGCGCGAAAAGCCGUGGGCCAGCCGCGUCAGCGACACGGCGCCUCGUCUUCCCCCAACGGCCUCGGUUCCCAUGGGGAAUCAAUGGCAAGGCUGCCGCUGGUCAGCCUUACCAUUGAUUCCUCACGGGCGACGCGUCUCGGAAUGGCGCGCCGACGCCUCCCCUCCCUCGCGCGCAUACACACGGCGCGGAGCGGCUAUAAAAGCCGGCGGUUCUCGCCGGUGCCCACACCAGACUCGCCCCUCGUCGCCGCCCAGCCCCUCUCUCCCCGUCUCCGUCUUCCUCUCCCGAGCGUCACCGACAGCCCCUCUCUCUCUCCCUCUCUACCACCGCCGAGCCCGUCGCCAUGGCAGAGCGCUUCCCCGGAGACGAAGCGGCGGCGAACGGCUUCGGCCGGCGUUCGCUCCGCGAACAGGAGUCCUGGCUCCUGUUCCAGGCGAACAUCCCGGCGCCGCCGGACAUGCGCGCCGGGCCGACGGGGUGGCGGCUCAGCGACAGGGGAGUGCCUGUUCCCCUGUUACCCGACGCCGUGGCGAAGCCCACGUACUUCGCCGAGGAGGUCGAGGUCGCGCGCACCUCCCUGACCGACGACGAGCGCUCCCUCCCCCAUUACGCCGCCGGCAAUCACGCGACAUGGGCGGCGUACUUCCAGCGUCGCCAGCAGCAGCGCCUGGCCUCCACCAACGACGCGCCGGUGGUCGGCGGCGUGAAGAACCGCGUGGGGCGCCACCUGUGGUGGGGCGUCCCGGGCCGCACACUGGAGGACGUGCUGACGCACCUCGACGGCGGCAACAACCCGCCGUUGACCUAUCCUGCGAUGGGGGCCGCCCCGUCGCAACACCGACGCGCAUGGGCGCCAAGGAGGUUCGCCUCCUCCUCGUCUUCCUCCUCUCGCUCAUCUUCCCACUCCUCCGGUUCUCCGGCGCUUCUCGGCGUCAAGGCCGAGCCCAUGGCGGAGACGCCAAUCGGCCGGCGCAGUCGCAGCGUCGGCAUCGUCAUCAAUGAGGGCGGCCGGCGCGCCCCCUCCUCGCCGGCUCCUCCGCGCUUCGUCAAGCUGAAGAUGGAGCCGGGGCUGGCGCCGGUGAAGACGGAGCCGGGGCUGGCACCGGUGGAGGCGGAGUUCGACGACGAUGACGCGGCCCUAGAAUGGGCGCGCCAGGACUCCAUUGCGAUGGAGAAGGCGCGCCGGGAGAAGGAGAAGGAGCGCCAGCGCGCCGCCCUGCGCCGCUUCGAGGAGCGCCGACGCGGCCGCGUUGAAGACGGGGUCGUCGUCUUAUGCGACAGCGACGACGACGAUGACGCGCCGCCGCCAGUCCGCCAUGGUGACGCCGGGCAGGGGUCCAGCAGGGGCGCCCGCGUCAAGGAGGAGAAGGCCGACGACGACGAUGGCGGCGACGGCGGCGACGACUUCAGCCCUUUUCUUUUUUAGAUUAGGUUAAUGUAAUGAAAAUGCGCGAAUUUCACCGAAAUUUGCCAUGUUUGACCGAAAUUUAACUAGUUUUUAUCAUAACUUCGCCGAACGGUCCUUUGUUUUCUUUAAUACGCGCCUGGGGGCCGACGGCUGGGGACCGACUCGCCCCCAGGGCCAUUUUUUGCGCCGGCUCACCCCCAGGCGGCGCUUUUAGACGCCCCCUGGGGGGCCAACGGCUGGAGAUGCCCUAAAUAAAUAUUAGUGUUAUCUUUGGUUAACUAAAAUUAACUACUUAUAUAUAUUAAAUGUUUUCAUUAAGCUUGCAGGUACACAUUCUUACGGUGAGAGCCACAAUUAACGGGUGUACAUUUGUACACCCAUAUCUUGGUGUGGCUUCGCCCCCCUUACUCCCAAAGCCUGAUGAUAGAUGGUUUGGGCUGGACAUCAUGGACCUGGUGACGGGUUCAAGGCCCUUUUCAGGCCACGAUGAACCCAUUUCUAGCAUGAGCCUCUCUCGGUGAUCACUACCAGUUCGGCAAAUGGUGGAACUCAUAGUUUAGCUAAAAUUUCUCUUCUUUAGAUCAGAAGCGCCAUGUGUGGCUGAUUCAACCCCAUGGACAAACUUGUAUCCCACGAACUGUGGCUUUUGAUAAAUCAAAGUUUGAUUUCACCCCUAAAAAAACAAGAGGAGCCAAAUAAAGAUCUAGAAAGAAGUAAAGACUAAAGACCAAGAAGCCAAUCAACCCAGAAGAAUUAUCGCUUGCAUUCUCCUCAUGUAAAUUUGAGCAAGACCAGAAGGCACGAACCGACAAAUUGUUGUUCCAAGAUUUUUCUUACCUGAAGCAAGAUACAUUCAAAACAGACACUAGUACAAAACAAGUGCCUCCCAUGUCCACUCAAUUCUCAGCAACUAGUCUAGAUGACUCAUCACACUAAGAUGACCUAACAACAUUCUCCUGACUCAUGUUCCUAUGUAUUCUCCUCUCCUCUCCCAGGAGGAAAGAACCAAAAAUGGUUUCUGAUAUCUACAUGAUAUUGUAAUGUAAUGUAAUGUAACAUCCCCUCACACUUCCAUGGUGUAUAUAUCAUCAUCAUCAAGCAGCUAAAUUAAUUAACUAACCAAUAAAAAAUGGGGCAGGCAGAAUAAAUGAAUGGCUAACUAUCUAU